rnacentral:lncRNA from 1 species
GUUUUUUUUUUUUUUGGUUCUUUUUUUAGACUAAAGCAUUGCUUUAUUACACAGACUGCAACCUGGGCAGGUGCAUUUUCCUCCCAUAAGAAGGCUUCAUUCACGUAGCAUUGAUAGCCCAAAUUGGCCAACUCGUGGGCAGCACUAAUCGCACUACGCCGGCAAACCUGAACUUCACAUCUAGAGAACCAAAGUCUCCUAUGCACCUUAGUACUCCUGAACUCCCUCCGUUCCGAAUUACUUGUCUUAGAUUUGUCUAGAUACGGAUGUAUCUAGCACUAAAAUGAGUCUACAUACAUCCGUAUCUAGACAAAUCCAUGACAAGUAAUUUAGAACGAAGGCAGUAUCUUCCAGCGUCAUAGCAUGCUUGGAGUAAUCUUGCCCCGAGAAAUUAACAGCGGCAGCUAGAAGUUGCGAAUCGGUCUCCAGAACAACACGGAUAGCUCCCAGCUCCAACGCCAUGUCUAUAGCCUGCACCAUGGCCUGCAGCUCCGCUUCAAAAUGGUUCAGAGAUAUGCUCUGUUCGCCCGGCUUUGCACGCCACCACUGCUCCCAGGUGACCCCUCACUCACAACGACACCCCAGGCCGCAACAUCGCUGCCAGGAAUAUAGGCUCACGGCCGCGCGACCGGCUGGAUAACUACGUGCAGCUGCCGCUGCGUGCAGGACGUCCGCUCUCCUCCAUCGAUGUUAAACUUGAGAUAGCCAUCUCGUCCUGUUUCAUUCUCUUCUCGGUCACUUCAGAAACAGCUAUAUAUUCAGCAUCCGUGGUGAGAGUUUGGUUCCACCCUAAGAAAAAUACGCAGGUUCCACCUUCUAUGUUCUGAACUGGAACUAUAUGAUAAACAUUCUAAAAAGUUCUGAAACUAUAUGAUGAUGGAGGAAAAAAACACUAUGCACAUUCUCAAAAAAAAAAACUAUGCACAAGCAGGUAUGUUUCCAUAAGCUUUGGUCUCCAUAGAUCAUACUUCGCAGUGUUUAGCAUCCAUCCAUCCAGCAGAAUCAGGAUUACCAUACUGCUUACAUAGAAAGCAGAGUCUGCUGUUUUAAAAAAAUUACAUAGAAAGCAGAGUCUACUCAGUUGUGAGAGCUCAGUUCAGUUCAGGUUUACACCAGUAGACUGCUGGCUGCCUCCUUAUCCUUCCAACUUUCCAAGAUGCAUUGCUAGCAAGUACAAGCAUACUAUGAAGUACUACAAAUUAAGACACCAGAUGAACAAGAGCCAAGCACAUCACAUCAUGACAUGAUGCACACAAUAACUAGCUAGCUUCGUGAGCUCUUCAGACUGACACAUGAGCAGCUGAAUGGAGUCUCAUCCACCCUCUUCAGACUUAACACUAAAACACCAUGUGGAUAGAAGCAACUUGAGAAUAAUGGAUUCUACAAAGAGUUCACAUAAAUUCCCCGCAACAAAAGAAAAUUCACAUCGACAUUGAUGGUUGAGAAUUUUAUCGCAUCACUGUUCCCAAAGCUUAAAUCUGCGCGAGCAAAAGGUAAAGCUUAAAACUGAGUCCGAAAAAGGAAAAACUCCCAAUAAGAGAGUCUCCACUUCCAUUUUGGGAAGUUUCUUUUACAUUGUUUUCACAAGUUACCUAAGGUAUAUCAGAUGAUGAAAAGCAAUGAAGUUAACCACUGAAAUAAUCUGAGGUCUUAUUAGGCAUCCUUAGAUCUAUAUAUCAUAGCUUAGAUCGUUGAUUAAUACACUGAGAUGGAUUAAAUACCCAAAGAAGCAUCACUGAAUGGCUGAAUUAACAUGUGAAGAGUUAAUCCACAUGAAGAGGAAUAUGCAGAAUUAUAGAUGUCUACCCACACAAAGAACACUGAAACGGCUGGACUUUUCCAUGUGAUCUAAGAAUCUACAUACAAAAACAUCGACUAAUCAAAUUAUCACCAUGUGUAAAUUAAAAGCACAUCUUCAACUCACUUCUACCCCCAAAACAGCAAAUUCUAUACACAAAAAUGGCACGAAAUAAGACCCUGGCAACACUAUCAGUUUACUAACACACAACAGAUGCAAGAAAUUCGUUCUUAAAACAUGUCAAAGCCAACCAAAACUACUUACUAAUAUUUUCAACAAUAACCUUACUGAUAUAAUAAUGGACACAAAUUUGUACUGAGUACCAAACUGAACCAUGUCAGGUGCUUACAACCUUCCCUGGUUCUAAAGAAAUGCAAACAGGAAGUGGGGGAUAAAAUAGAGUAGUCCUAUAGCAAAGAUUCUCCGUAGUUCAGAAAUUCGACAUUGAUGCUAAAGGCAAGAUAAUGGACACCAAAUGAUGAUAGCAAACGUGCUCUGCUACCAUCCAAAAUGUUAUGUUCUACAAGCAAACACUAUGGAGGUCAACUAAGAACAAAAGACAAAACGCAUAUAGAAUAGAUAUUCCAAUCGCGCAGCGAACCUGCAGUGUAGAACAUCAGGAUCAAGCACUGUAUCCUACAAUCCAACGAAAAAUGGAGGCUCCUGACUUGCACCAUCUUCAUCUCUCAUCUCAUGGGGCAGUGGAAGGGGAAUAACGCUCCCUCGGAGGUAAUGAUUGGUAACCCAUAAGUCGAUUUCUUGGUCAUCUUUGCUCUUCACAUAUCCUAAGAACUUGCCAUCGAUGUCAAAAUGCAACACACGCCUACGAGUGAACUGGAUCAGCAGAACACCCUCACUGAGAGCAGCCAUCCUAGGGAUCAUUGUCACCUCUGGAUCAACAAGCGCUGAUGGAUCCACCCCGGUCAAAUUAAUCUGAUGCUUGAAAGACCAGGUCUCGGCAUCGUAAUCCUGUACCACCCAAACAUCUAUGGUGUGUUUGUCACUACUGAUGCUGCACAAAGCAAGAGUGUCAUUCAUCUCCAGCAAUGACUCCUGUAAGCAGUUGCCCAAUCGGGCAGGACGACACAUCAAUCGAAAUUUUUCAGCUGAUGUGUUGAACACCAUUAUGUAGUCCGCAUCGCAGCCGUGGUAUUUUCCAAGUUUCCAGUGCAGGCCGCCACGGUGGUGGACUGGUGGAUAUUGGGACGAAUCAGGCAGGCCCCUGCGUAAUGCCAGCUCCAAGGAAGGCGACGAGGAUAUUGGUUGUGGUAUGCAUCCUUGUCUCAUGUAUCUUGUAUUAUCGGAUCCCGCCGCUAUGACGUAGUAGAAAGUUCUGUAAUUUGUGUUGUAUGCAUUGUAGAUUGCCGGACUAGAGAUCCAUAGAACUCGGAAUUCUCCUCCAGAUGGUUGGUGCCGGUAGAAGCCGAUAAUCUGGUGGUAAUAACCCUGUUGGGCCAGAGGCUUUGCUAGGCGGGCAGACUUGCGGGUGACCGGGUUGCAGAUGAACUCAUCCGUCAUGGAUCCGUGGGAGACAAUGAGGAGGCCAUCACAGGCGGCCUGGAGUUUACCGUAGUCGUAGGUCCGGACAACAGGGCAGAGUUUUUGCUGGCCUGCACCGGCAUCAAAGGAAAACAGGAGGCGGGCUUCCUGCGGCUGCGGGUCGACGACUUGGCUGAGCAUCGGGAGCAAGGGCUGGCGGCGGUGGUGGUCCAGCAUGAACUUGUCGGUGGAGGUGGCACUGUGCCACCACCUGCGGACGGCGCGGCAGCGGAGGAUGUCCUUGGGCGGCAAACGGAUGAGGAUCUCUUCGACAACGAUCCACUCGGAAAGGUCGUCCAGGACGGUCGCGCCUCCGGUUCCCGGCAUGGUGACUGGUCGCCGGUGCUCCGUACGUCAGAUCAGAUUCCGAUCAACUAUAAGAAUAACAAGGGGAACCGUAAGGAUGGCGAGAAUGCUCCGUCAGAUCCCUUGGGCACGCACGGAGGUGAGAAUGCUUACCUAGGGCGCUGCGGACGAUGGCGAGCAACGGCGGCGUUGCGAACCCCCAGCGGCGGCGACUCUGGACGGGAAGACAAGAACGAUUUGAGAGCAAAUCGAUAGACGGAGACAAAAAUUGAAUCGGAACGCGGCGGACAGCGUGCUCGAGAUCACCUCGCACGGCCGGUUUGGGCGGCGAAUCUGCCUACCGGCGUCGGGGAAGAGGGCGCUCCGGCGAGCAAUUCGCGGUGUUCCGGCGGGAUAGGUUGGGAAUUUGAGGGGGCGGCGGGGGUAGGGUUUGGGACUCCCCUGUUCCCCCUCUCGCCCUUUUCACAGUGAAAGUAUAUGCGCUGUUCAUUAAGGCCCUGUUUGGUUUCAAUUACCAACUUAUUUUACUAAAUAUACCCAACUUAUAAAUCAUAAAUUGCUCCACCUCAACUUAAAACUUAUAAGUCACCUCCUUUUGCAUGGGUCCCAUCACAUUUACAUAAAAAAACAAACUGAAAAAGUGUGGUCAAACUUAGACGGCGUUAUUCUUUUCGUCGUCUUGAUGCGAUGUUUUUAAUCAAUUAAAUCUAUCUUUAUUGAUCAAGAGGCCCGAGUGGAGAUGGAUAUUUAGCCCUGCGAUUAGCCAACAAAAGCUCUCUGCAAUAUAGCCAACUUCUAAAGUAAGUCCAUUCCUUGCACAUAUAACAAAGGAAUCCAGAUACGACGGCUAAAUGCUACUCCCUCAUAUAUUGGUUGUAAUAACAUCUUAUAUUAUGGGAGAGAAAAAAAGAUCAUGUUUGUGCAGAAGAAAAGGUGCAUACAUGGAAACAACCAAAACCCGGUGGUCAAAUAGGCAGAUCAUUUGCUUCCAGCAAAACUACAUUCCAAGAUUGGUAAUAGAAAUGAUCGACCAUAACACACAAACACACAAAAUAUAGGCAGAUCAUUUCUCCCACACAAUGGCACAGUCCGCACCGUAGUUUCCUCAAAAGUAUAUUAAAAACCACUUCCAAUAUUAGGAUUGUUCAUAGGCAACAAACUGGUUAGCAGCCAAAUACAAUUUAUACCGGGCUGAGAGUCUAGUUAGGUUCAGCAAACAAUAAUAAUUGAAUCACCAACAACUUAUCUCCAUCUCUUUAGUUUUUACACGGAGAAGAAGCAUACUUUUGACACAAGUCAUGCCUCCUUUUCACCUACAUGCUGUCGAGCAGCUCGGUCUCUUGCCCUCCAUUGCGUCUUUCUUUUUCCGACACUCCAGACAAAGAUACGGGCCUCCCCAAGGUGCGUAUGGAGAAGAGCAGUGGCUACCUCCAUUCUCCUCCAUCAAGCCUUCAAAUGGUUCUUGGUCCACUUGGCAGAUCGCACAGCGAGAAGGCGGCGAAGCUGCUUUCAAGGACAGAUUCCUACCCAGCCUGCAAGAGCAAAGGUUGGUGCUUAAUGGCCUGGGUGUGAGCAAAUUGAUAAGUAAUUCUGGACUGUCAUUUCAUUUCUCUACCAAAAACACAACACUGAUCAGAAGUUAGGCAGCUGACAUAGCUUUCAUAAUAAUCACGAUAUUUCAAAAGCGCUUCGAAGCAGACUUAUGUUCUAAUCACUCUUCAUCACGGAAUUUGUUUAUUCCAGGAUUCUGGCAGAAAUAUUACAUGUGCAAUCUACAGAAAGAAGUACUGAAAUGUAGGAAUGACAUGCUACCUCCAGACCUACUCUAAAAUGUAGAUGCCAAAUGGAAAGACCGAUAAAGCAUAUCGUGCUUUUCUUCUCAAAAGCAUACCAUGAGAGAAGACAUAUUAGUGCCCAGAGUAAGGGUAUACAGAUGGGAAUUCAGCUAAACAUUCUUAUCGGCUAUAAAUAAAGUAUGGCACAGAACUAUGCCCAAGUUUCAGCCACGCUUGAUUAAUUAAAUGGUUACAAUUUGAUUGAUCCACAGUCAUAUAACUCUAAAUUCAAUCUUUGAACCAAAAGAUCUGAAAUAUGAAAUAAAGGUGAUGCAAGAUGUCAACAAAAGGUUUCAACAAAUAACCGUGUCAAGAGAAUCAUCCUGUUGCCAGUAGCUAUCCAUAGAAUUUGUUAAAAAAAAAGUAACAGAAGAGGAGUCGCAAUAAGCAUGAUUCACAAUCACAUGACACCAAUUACAGAUGGAUGACUGAGGAGUGUCAUACUGAGUUUAUCUGCACUGAUUACUCUAUUCCGAUUCCAGAGUAUAACAUUCUGAACCAAAUAAAAUUCUUCGGUGCCAGCAAGUGUGAUACACAGCUGAAAGCUGAAUGAAGCAUAUGCACAAAAAUAAUCAUGCGGACAAGUGCAGGUGGCAAGCGGUUCAGAGGGUUCUUGUCACACAUAACAAUGGAAAGGAAUGGGAGUAGGUACUUGAUAAAAAAAAACAGCAUGUUGGCACCAAAGUGGGAAACAUGAUAUAAAAGAGUUACAUAAGCCAUGAUACAUACAAAAAGGCUAUCCAAAUGCUCAAAGAAAUUGACAAGAACACAUCCUAAUCUAUGUCUUAGCAUGCUACAGCAAAGGCAUGUGAUCAAAUAGGCAACAAGCAUGAUAGAUAUUCAAUCAAAAUUCGGAGAUGUAAAAUAGCAUAAUAUAUAAGAAAGCACACAGAACUAUGAGAAAACAAUUAAUUCAUUAAGUUUGCCGGAUCAUUGCAGUAGCAACUAGAACGUACCUUUCUUCCAACAUUGCAGAGCCUUCCUCAAAUAACUCCUCCACGGAACCAAUAGAGGCAGACUUGCCUCCAAACUUUCCAACUGAACUGUGCGACCUUCUACGAAAAAGAAGAGACUUGAGCUUGUUCUGAUUUCUCUUUGGGGAUAACUGUGGCGAUGUCAAAUGAUGAUCAGAUGGGAUGAUGUCAACCACCACACAGGUGGUAUCAUCUUUCAGCCCACAUUUUUUCAAAGCUUGCUGCAUACAUCAAAAUAGAUAUCAGAAUUGGCAAUUGACUGAAUCAUGUCCACAGCCAUGGAUAAUCUAGGUACUACAUGCUACUGGCUACGGGCAUAGUUACCUUAACCACAAGCUUUGCAGCGAGUUCUGCAGGCAAUCCUCGGCAUGACUUGGCCGCUGCCUCAUUGGAUAGCGCAUCCCAUAUGCCAUCAGAUGCCAUUAUCAGCCUUCCUCCGACACUUGAGAGCUGAGAUUACCAAAGAGAAAGAGACAACUUUCAGAACUCCACAAAAGAAGCUACGAAUUACAUUCAUUUUGUAAUGCCUACCCACCUUCACUUGCUUGACAUGUGGAACCGGCACAAUGUACUCCCCAACAUCCAUGUCUCCAAUGGAUCUUGAGAGGCACAAACCACCUGGCCAACAACGGAGAGGGCCAACCUAAGACAAAUCAUUCACACAACAAUGCAUCAUCAGACUGAUCACCAAACAAGUUAUUCACUCGCUCAAUCUAAAGUUCCAUGCUUUGUAAGGGACAGUUUGUUCGGUCCAAAGAAAAUUGCUACCUCCUGACCGCCGAAGAGAUUCAGACGGCCGACCUCCCCACCGCUCGCCGUGACACGCUCCCUCUCCUCGACAUUCUCCUCCAGCCUGUGAUCGACGGUUAGCAGCUGCAGCUCGCCGCCCUGCGUGUCCAGGAUGCACCGAGAAUCCCCGACCGACGCCACGGUGACCGUGAACCCGUCGACGACGACCAGCGUAGCCGUCGUCCCCGACACCUCCCCUGAGUAAACACACAGCCGGCGAUAUUUAGCAACAUGCUCAACAGGCGUGCUCUGAAAUCGCCAUUUGCAUACACGAUCCGUCUCACCCUUGCGCUGGAAGUCGAUGUCGGCCUUGACGAAGCCGGCGACGAGCGCGCGGGGCAGCGCCUGCAGCCAGUCCUCGCGGCUGCCGAUGUCCGGCGGGAGCGCGCUCAUCACGUGCUCCAGCAGGUGCUCCUUGCUGAACACCGCCGCCGACACCCCAUUGUGGCCGUCGAACACCUGGCGAAACGGCCACAGAUCCAGCGAACCCGUCAGAUCACAGAUUUCCACAAACCAACGACGAACCGGACACGAAGGACGGGGGCGGGGAGAGGGGGAGAGCAGUACGGCGAAGACGGAGAAGGCGGUGGAAGGGUCGCCGGGGACGCGGAGGCAGUCGGGCUUGACGAGGAAGUAGUCCUCGCCGCGCUUGGCGAAGCCGGCGUGGCCGUAGCGCAGCGCCGGGCGCUCGGAGCCCCCGGCGCGGAGCUCGCGCCCGAUCAGCGUGGCCAGGGGCAGCGCCGGCAGCAGCGGCAUCUUUCUCCUCUCCCUCUCCGCGCCGGCCAUCUCGCCGCCGCCGCUUCUUGCCCCCGCGGUCCUGCUCGUGUCUGCCUACCGCCGCCCGCAGUGCACCAUUCCCUGCCGGGGAGAAGGUCGGGGACGGCGGCAAUGGCGAGACGCGUCGGGGAUUCGGAUCUGGGACUGGGCUGCCGGCCGGCCGGCGAGGAUCGGAGCGACGGGGAGGCCACGAAAAAUUGGGAUUUGGGAUGCUCUCGUGCUUGCCUGGAGUGAGAGGAGAAAGGCUUAUAAUUAGCUGGCGAAAUGCGGCGACAGGGAGGACGAGUGGGAUUUUCCGAAAGUGCAGGGUGUUCCCUGAUAAAACAAUGGCCAGCCAAAGAAAAAAAAAAUUCCUUUCACAAAAGUAGAGCCUUUAAUUAUAUACCGCAAAAAAGGUAAAUCAGUAUUUUCGGUUUGCUAAACCUAGGCUGUUUCGGUGAGUCUAUGUGCGUGUAUGUGAGUAUUUAAGAUUGUACUAUGUGUUAGUACAAAAAACUAGGCUAUUGCAGAUCGGGUUUGCUGAUUCUCAGUCUACCGGUGAUUCGGAAAAUCUCAUUUAAUAUCGAGAUAUGUGCAAGAUAUUUGUUUGAGUUGUGAAAACAAGCACUACAUUUUUUCUGCACCAGAUAAACAAUAUUUUAAUGACACGGCAAGUAUUUAUUAGAUGUGUAUGAAUAAAACCGACUGCAUUUUCCAAUUGACGGAGGGCUAGUCGCCCCCAUUUGAGAUUUAUUUAUGCCUAUAUCGGUUUCAAGAGACGGUUGAUGCGGAUAUGGCCAUAGUUAUAGUUUCUCGACUGCAGAUUUGACCGCUUCGUUUUGUUUCUUUCUUUUUUAUUGUUUAUGCAUAGCUCUUGGUCUUAUAUCAUUUUGCUAUUUGCUAGCGCGUGUUUAUGCAUGUUGUUGAUGUUGGUUGUGCACGUCUUGGCCAUGUAAAGGCUGGGUGUGUGUCCACGAAAGGCGAAAGGGACCAGAACCAAAUCAAACGGCCAAUUUUACUCGACAUUUACGCAAAUAAAAUAAUAGGCAUGUAAUGAUGUGGUUGCAAUGUAGUAUAGUAGUAAUGCAUUGUGGCUGGCAAGUGGCAAGCCCAAGCCACGCAUGAGCCUACGCUUUACAGCAUACCCUUUUACAAAUCCACGAAUCAAACCACCGAUGCAGAAGUAGUAUAUCCAUUUUAUUACUCCAUGCUUGCUUAGGGCAUGUACAAUGAUGGCAUAUGAAUAUAGAUGCCUCAUGACAAAAAAUAAUUUGAAGCAUAUGUGUUGAUUUUUCUUUCCAAUGCAAGCUACUGCUAGUGGAUUUUAUCAAUAAAUAGAAAGUAACUUUCACUACACAUGUAUCCCUCUUUUUCAUUUCAAUUUUUUAACUUUAUGUACCGGACCAUACUUUUUGUCUCUAAGCACCUGCCUUCUGGAGAGGAUCCCGCUUGGAUCCGGCUUGCCUGCUCCCUCCCUAUGCUCCCAUCCGUGCUCCCACUCCAUUCUAUGGUUGUCUUUUUUCCUCUUUUCUUUCUAAUCUAAUCAUCUCCUCCUUGAUUUUAAGGGGGUGAGGUUGGGCCUUAUUUUGUUCCAAUCAAAUUAAGUCACGUAUGCGGGAGCACGGAUGGGCACACGUCGGGGGAGCAGGCAAGUCUCGUCCAUCCCGCUGCCCCAUCCAAACCUAUACUUUUUCUAUUAUUCGAUCCUACAUGGCAUGUGAGGCAUCACCCUGAAGCUAUGCAUUGGUCAUGCCCUUAGCAACCUUCCAAGAUUGAAAAAGGUGAGUAUAUACUGGCAUGCAGUAUAAUCCUAGUGGUACAGUACAUACAGCCCUGUUGUCCCCCGGGAGCCCACAGCCAAAGGAAAAGCAAGGCAAUGGGUGGGCCAGCGCAAGUUGCAGAUGAAUCCAGUGGCAACCAAAGAUUACAGAAAGGGGAUGCAAAUCGACCUGGAAAGCGAUUGGGAAGCGCAACUGGGCUACGAAUAUGUCUGGCGUUUGUUUGUUUAAUGGCGGACGCGUCAAUUAGGUGGGCUGAUGGGCGGGCGACGGUGACCAUCAUGCUGCGCUGCUGCCGCGAGCACAGUUGGCCGGCUAGCUAGCUAGAUAAUGCCCGGUGGUCACCGCGCCGCAGGAUAUAUUCGGGAUCUAAUAAUCCAAAUUAGACUAAACAUGACAUGAUUGUUCGUUUGUUGGUUGGCUGGUUAAUCAUUGGAAUGGGGCGAUUACAGUACGUUAGAAUCGAAUGGAUUUGUUGAGCAUGGAAGGGAGUAGAGUGCAUGAUUCAUUGACGUCCGAACGGAUCCAGGAAACUUCCUGUUUGUUGUGAUAGGUAAGAGCAGAGCAUGCUCAUAAGGGUACGAUGUGUCUGCGUGCGUAGUUGUAUAUGUUCAUAGAAAUGCGUGUGUGUGCGUCCGGAGGGGUCCUCUCUAUGCCCCUCCCCACCCGCGCACCUCAGCCUAGGCGACAGUGGGAAUGACUCCACCUCUUUCGAGGAGUCCUCGGACGGUGGGGGCAGUCAGGAGUAGCGUCCUCGCCCUCAGUGGCGGAGCCACGUCUAGGUUGUGUAGUCACUUGACUACACAACUCUUUAAAAAAAACGUAACACAUCAAGUAUAAAUCAAGCAAAAAACACACAAAAUAUGUAUAUUUGACUACACAACAUUGAAGUGACUACACAUGAUUUUAUUCCUGGCACCGCCACUGCUCACCCUCCCCCACCCGGCCCCUUGGCCUCAUCCGCGUUAGGGCAGGCAUCUUUCCCCGCCGCCUCCCUCGCGCUUGGCCCAGCGCUGACAUCUUCGCCGGCCACUCCUGAUGCCAGGCCCACCUCUCCCUCACCAAUCCUUUGUGUGGGUUCCCCUCACACCCAGAUCAGUGCGGAGGAGGACUCUUUAAAUGUUGGGACGGACGGACACCCCCAUGAUCCCCUCACUCCCCGGGGGUUGUCUGCUACUCCCACUCGCCAGGGUCCCCACCCUCACCAGUUCAGGGGCUCCUCGCCCCUGAUGAUGCCUAUCAAGCCGGUGUCACCUGGCCUGGAUCUGUCCACGGCCCGCUCCGACACUCCCGUGUGUGACCCCAUGGGCGGUCCCUCUCUCCGUCCUUCUCCAUCCCCACCUAUCGUCUCCCGCCAGAGCGCGUGUCUGGGCCGCUCCAGGGUACACGAUUAAUUGGCAUCCGAACGGAUCCAAGAAACUCCAUGUUUGUUGUGAUAGGUAGGAGCAAAGCACGCUUAUAGAGGUACUAUGUGCGAAAAUGCUCCACUUACGAACUCUAUCUACGCUAAAAGUCCUACGGACAGACGUGUUGCCUCCUAAUUCACCUCUCCGUCCCUGAUUUGCAGGGUGGGGCCUCCUUCGACCAAAUUAGGGGAUGCCACCUUUGCAUGUAGGACUUGUUCCGUGAAAAAAUGCCCGUAGUUGUAGUAUUGCUCAUAUGAUGUGUGUGCAUGCGUGCGUUCAUAGGGAUGAGUGUAUGUAUGAUAAGAAUAAUAUACUAGAUAUACAUCACUGAUAUAUCAUUAAAAAAUGCUUUCCCUAAAAAAAUAUCAUUAAGAAACGGAGAUCUCUCUGUGGCUAGCUGUGUCCAUCUGCCUGUCCUCUUUUUGAAUUGAUGGAUAAGCAUGUGUAUCUUGAAGAGCAAAGUCGGUUGGUUAGUUGGCACUAAUAAGACUAAGAACCUUGGAACACUCCUUAAACUGGUCCGUGUGUUGUGCGUGGGUUGACAACGCACGGUACGACAGGACGACGCGGCGAGAGAUUUGGGCGGCAGGUUCGUUACGCAGGCAGCUGUAUCCCACGCCGUCGCUUCAAGCCAAGCCAUGCAUAUCUCACCCGGAGCUGGGCUCAUCAUGCCGACGCCGACGCCGCCGAAUAAUUCGUGGCGCCGCGGAAUUAUUGGUGGUGUUUCGAUUGCCAUGAUGCCAUCUACGGAGUAUCUAUCUGCACAUGGAAGAGCAACAGCGACUACUCGUCGUCGGAGCGCGCGCUGCGGCGACCAUACGUACGCACGUCGUCCUUAUCCGACCCGGUGCCGGCCGCGUCGAAGACGGAGCGCCACAGUGCCACAUGCGGUCGGACCAGCAGCGACUCGGAGGGCUCGCCCGUCUCCGACAUGGACUCUGCGUCACUCCGGCAGGUCACAAUGAAGGAUAAUAAAACGGAACAGAGUAGCCGGCCGAUCGAUCGAAUCGCCUCGGGCAUCUUCAUACGGUAGAUAGAUUGAUUGAUCUCGACGAGAUGGCGAAACGGCUGCGAUCACCGGAUCGCGGCGACGGCGGGAAGCGGCCGCGGCACGGCCGGAAGCACCUCUACGUCGUGCUGGACGACCGGCAGAAUGGGUACAGCGUCCACAAGGUCGACGCGGACGCCGACGGCGUGGGUCUCGCCGACCCUCCGCUGUUGCAACUCGAAUCCAUGGAGGACUCUGGGGGCGUGCUGGUCGGCGCCCUCGGCAGCAAGAUCCUCGCCCUGUGGCAGCCGACGGCGGACGGGCAGCUCACGACCCACGCCGUCGCGUAUGGCACCGACACCGAUAAGCUGGCCGUCGGCCCCCCGCACCCGGACGCGCUGCUGACCAUGCGCUUCGUCGUCGCCGCCGGGGAGCGGCUCUACGCGCUGCACGAGGGAGGCCUGCACUGCUUGGAGUUGGUAUCGGAGUCGGACUCGGACUCGGACGAGACGCUGCCGUCUGGCGCGGACGAGGCGGAGGAGCACCGGUGGGCGUGGACGAGGGUCUCGUCGCCGCUGCGGCUGCCGGGCUGCGGCGGCGACCCGGAGGAAGACGACGAGCCCAUCGAGAUCACCUCGUACGCACUGCACCCCGACGGGCGCACCAUCUUCGUGUCCGCCCACGCAACCGCGCCGUGGCGGCUACGCGGGCACCUUCUCACUCGACACGGCGGUCGGCGGCGGGGACGCCGAGUGGACGCCCCGCGGCGAGUGGCUGCUGCCGUUCCAGGGCCAGGGCCACUACGACGCCGGCCUGGACGCCUGGGUCGGGCUCCACUCGCCGGGGUACAUGUGCGCCUGCGACGUCCCGGCGCCUGUCACCAACGGGCACCACAGCGGCGACGCGCCGCGGCAGCCGGCCUGGGAGCUCGUGAGCGCGGCCAGCCUGCUCUACGCGGACCCAGACCCGAAGGUGAGCGACUCCGCCGCCUGGCUCGUCUGCAUGGGGGGCGGCCAGUUCUGCGUCGUGGAGUCCAUGGCGCUAGCCGAGGCCGAGCAGGAGGACGAGCAUUUGCUGCUCCGUCUCGCCACGCUCCGCCUUGAACGCGAUCUCCAUGGAGGGCUGCGCGCUUCGUCUCGACGCACCCUCGCCUGCCGAGUGCUCAAGUUUGAUCCACUGUUCAGUCCGCGGGCAUUCUGCAUGUAGUUUUGUCCCAAGCAGCUCAACUGCCGUGCGUGCGUUCUGGGGCAUCGCCAUUCACAGGAUCGAGCUAGAGGAAGAAACGUGGUCCGGGGAUCUUGAUCUAGCUGCUCUCAAGUUUGUAGAGAUUUUCUUUUCAGUCUUCCUGAGUGUUACAAUGGAUAUUUGUCGAAGACUUACAAUGGAUGUUUUUGCUAGAAGAAUAUAAAUUAAGUGCUCCAUAUUUCAACAAUCGCAUAUCGAGCCUUAAUGUCAUAAAAUAGUGUCCCAACUCCCAACUCCAAAUGUUGAGUAGUAAUGUUUUUCUUUACAAAAUUAGGGAUUUGCUUUUACCCAAACAUCACUAUAAUCGCCAAGCAGCUUGACAUUGGAGGCGAGAAUGGUCCAUGUGCUGCUCCGAGAAAACGCGUGGGAGGCCGCCGCAUGUUUUGACGGUUUCCUCCAGGUGCCAGUUUGAAGUAUCCAUGUGUUCGAAAUGAAGUUUAUUGAUGACCAUCCUUCGGAGCCUAAACGUAUGACAACACUUGAAGAAGAGAUGUGCCCCAGACUCUUGUUCCUGCUUGCAAAGGAUGCACAAACCAUAAUUUGGCCUACCUAUACACGGUCCAAAUUCUAUCUUGAAUUGUCAACCAAACAAAGAAUUUGACCUUUGAAGAUGUCCACAUCUUCCACACUAUUUUGUCCAUUGAGGAUAGAUUCAUGCCCAAGAACUGGAUCGCUCAUUGACACGGUGGAAACGCCUUCCCGCCGGACAACGAUACAAACAUGAAACAUCACACGGUCACACCUGAGCGUACCUAGCAAGUUUCUUUGGGGGCCAUGCAGAAGCUGGCCCAGGCAUCACCGAUGUUGGAGCGAAGGCUAUAUGUAACGAAUGACAAAGCAAUGUCAAAAGACGUGAGACGAGUCGCAUCAGGCGGCCAGGGACAUCACACGCAAGAGUGCUGCUGAAAUCCAAGUAUUUAGCAUCCUUUAUGGUUUCCUUAGGGCCUCCUUGAGUUGCAUGAUUUUUCAAAACAUGGGAAUAGCACAAAAAACAUAGAAAUAAAGUAUAUUUUUCAUCCUUAAACUCUUUUGGAAGUAUAGAAUUGAUCCCUUAAUUUCAAAACCGGCAAACUUUAGACCCUCAACUUUUCAAAUCGGAUUACCUUAGUCCCUUAACUCGACAAAAACGGUUUUGUGCUGACUUGGCAUGGUUUUGACCCAUCAGCGCCCACGUGGCAAUCUUCUUCUUCCUUUUCCUUUUGACCGCGGCUGGGCAUUUUGUCUAACAGUUGGCGAGCGCAGAGGGUGUGUUAGACUAUAUUUACAUGUGUAUAUUGUAACGUUGUAUACCACCUCAUUAUAUAUAUAUAUAUGUGAUAGGCCAUCCCUAGAGGGUUGUGCCGGUUCCCCCCAAAGCCUAUUGUCUUACAUGGUAUCACGCUAGGUUACGUCCGCUUCCGCCUAAAAACCCUAAACCGCCGCCGCCGCCGCCGCCACCGCCGCGCCCGCCGUCGCCGUCGCCCGACUGCUAUGACGUCCGCCGCUGCGUCCGGCUCCACCGCCACCGGUUUUCUGCCGGCCUCCCUCGCGGCACUUCUCUCGAGGCCGCUGGAUGCCGCCUCCCUUCAGGCGCCGAUCGGGACACGGAGCGUCGGCUCCCUCUUCGCGCUCCCGCCGGCUGCUACUUCGCCCGGGCAGGCGCUUGUGGCCCACACCGCCGCCGCCCCGUCAACCGCGGCUGUCGCGCCCUCGGCCACUGCGCCGCUGGUGGCGGAGGACGUCGCGCUGGCAGGCUUCGCGGCGUCAACCGCGGCCAUCUCGCCCUUUGUCACCGCGCCGGCUGCCCCUCUGACUGUCUCCACGGUGGUCUCACCUCAGCCAGUCUCCUCGAUGGGAUCGCAGCCGCCGCCGCCGUUUCACUUCGGCCAUCUCAUCACCAUCAAGUUGUCGUCGGACAAUUACAUCUUCUGGCGCGCGCAGGUUCUUCCGCUUCUUGGGAGUCACUAUCUGCUUGGCUAUGUCGACGGCUCUCUCCCUUGCCCUUCUGCGCUGGUUGACAGCGUGCACGGUCCGGUCUAUAAUCCGGCUCACCGUGUCUGGACAGGGCAGGAUCAGGCGAACCUCUCCUCCAUCCAGGGGUCGCUCUCUCCGGCCGUUGCUGGGCUUGUUGUCUUCGCCAAGACAUCCCACGAGGCAUGGACUAUUCUUGAGCGCUCGUUUGCGGCAUAGUCGCAGGCUCGUGUAUCUGGGCUCCGUCGCCAACUUGGGGAGUGUCAGAAGCUUGACUCUACCGCCACUGAGUUCUACAACAAAGUCAAGAGUCUCGCCGACACGCUGGCCUCCAUUGGACAGCCCCUCACCGACUCCGAGUUCAACUCGUUUAUUGUCAAUGGUCUUGAUGAGGAGUAUGACGCCCUAGUCGAGAUCAUCAAUGAGAGAGGCAACUCCACGCCCAUGCCAGCACACGAGGUCUUUUCACGCCUCCUGCUUACUGAGCAACGAGUCGAGACGCGCCGAUCCAGGGGCAACGGCGCCCUCUCGGCAAACGCCGCCACCAAGGGUGGUCGCUCCUCUGCUUCAUCCAGGGCUCCUUUGGGGCAGUCACCACCACCCGCCUCGGCCCCUCCUCCUACUGCGACGCUACCAGGGGCUGGCGGUCCACGUGUGUGCCAGCUUUGUGGUCGCGAUGGGCACUGGGCCUCGAAGUGUCACAAGCGCUUCCAGCGGGGUUUUCUUGGUCUCGGCAAUGACGGGAAGGAUACACGCAACUUUGCUCGUCAGGUCGCCAUGGCUGAUCGUCCGCCGCCGCAGAAGCCACAGGGACACACUCAGUCCUACUCCAUUGAUCCCCACUGGUACAUGGACUCUGGGGCGACAGAGCACCUGACCAGUGAGAUGGGGAAGCUUCACACUCGUGAACCCUACCAUGGCUCCGACAAGAUCCACACCGCCAAUGGAGCAGGUAUGCACAUCUCUCAUAUUGGUCAAGCAUCACUUCUCACUAGACAUGCCAAUAGGAGUCUUCAACUUCGCAAUGUUUUUCGAGUUCCAUCUGUGACACGUAAUCUUCUUUCAGUUCCUAAACUCACUCGUGAUAAUAAUGUGCUUUGUGAAUUUCAUCCUUUUGAUCUUUUUAUUAAGGAUCGAGGCACGAGGGAUAUUCUUCUUAGUGGGCGGCUCUGCCAAGGUCUCUAUCGUCUGGAGCAUCCUGGCGUCGCUCGCGUCUUCAGUGGAGUUCGGGUAUCUCCGUCACAGUGGCAUGCUCGUCUUGGUCACCCGGCCACACCUAUUGUCUGGCAUGUUUUGCGUCGUCAUGAGCUUCCUAGUGUGUCUAGUAAUAAAGAUGUAGCAGUGUGUGAUGCUUGUCAGCAGGGGAAGAGUCAUCAACUUCCUUUUUCGGAGUCCAGUCGUGAGGUGAAACAUCCUUUAGAACUUGUGUUUUCAGAUGUAUGGGGUCCUGCUCAGACUUCUGUUAGUGGUCAUAAUUACUAUAUCAGUUUUGUUGAUGCUUACAGCCGCUUUACCUGGCUUUAUCUUAUCAAAUGUAAAUCUGAUGUGUUUGACAUUUUUGUUCAGUUCCAAAAACAUGUUGAACGCCUUCUCAAGCACAAAAUUGUUUAUGUUCAGUCGGACUGGGGUGGCGAGUAUCGCAACCUCAACUCCUUCUUUCAGUCGCUUGUGAUCACUCACCGUUUAGCAUGUCCACAUACACAUCAGCAGAAUGGUUCAAUAGAACGUAAGCAUCGUCACAUUGUUGAAGCUGGUCUGACUCUUUUGGCCCAUGCAUCUGUUCCAUUUCGUUUUUGGAGUGAUGCUUUCACCACUGCAUGUUUUCUCAUCAAUCGUACUCCCACUCGUGUUUUGAAUAUGAAGACUCCCAUUGAAGUUCUCCUUAAUGAACAACCGGACUACACCUUUCUCAAGGUGUUUGGGUGUGCUUGCUGGCCCCAUCUCCGUCCACAUACGCGCAGUCGGAGUGACAUUUUUCAACCUAAGCAACGUCACGAUGGCACAGUUGCUUGGUUAGCGGCGUGCAUGUCUGCUGCUCUCGCAGAUCCAUCCUCUGAGCCACGCACGUAUCAAGCUGCUAUGCGCAUUCCUCAUUGGAGAGAGGCCAUGGAGCAGGAGUAUCAAGCAAUCACGGGUAAAUGUCAUUGAUUCCAAAUGGGUUUUCAAAGUGAAGAGGCAUUCUGAUGGGUCCAUUGAGCGCUAUACGGCUCGUCUGGUUGCUCGUGGUUUUCGACAGCGUUUUGGACUUGACUAUGAAGACACCUUCAGUCCAGUGGUCAAGCCUACUACCAUCAGACUUCUUCUCUCUCUGGCUGUUACUCGAGGUUGGUUUCUUCGUCAGCUUGAUGUUCAAAAUGCUUUUCUUCAUGGUGUCUUGGCGGAGGAGGUUUACAUGCGCCAGCCUCCGGGUUUCUCUGAUCCGGAUCGCCCUGAUCAUCUCUGUCGUCUGUCCAAGGCAAUUUAUGGUCUGAAGCAGGCUCGUCGUGCUUGGCAUGCUCGUCUUGCAAUGGCUCUUCGUGCUCAUGGUUUUGCAUCAUCAACUGCUGACUCCUCAUUGUUUCUUCUUCAAAGGCCUGAGGUUACUAUGUACUUGUUGGUCUAUGUAGAUGAUAUCAUUUUGGUCAGCUCCUCUCAGUCGGCUGCUACUGCGCUUGUUCGCUCACUUGGUGCUGAUUUUGCGGUCAAGGACCUUGGGAAGCUUCAUUACUUUCUUGGUGUGGAGGUUACUUCUCGUGCUGCUGGCCUUGUUAUGACGCAGAAGAAGUACUCUCUGGAUUUGUUGCAGCGAGCUGGGAUGCUUAAGUGCAAACCGACGACUACACCCAUGUCUACCACUGAUAAGCUCAAUGCUAUUGAUGGUGUGCUUCUUUCUUCUUCUGAUGCGACAGAGUACAGGAGUAUUGUUGGUGGGCUCCAGUACUUGACGAUCACGCGACCAGACAUUUCCUAUGCUGUUAACCGAGUCUGCCAGUAUCUGCAGUCACCCCGUGACACUCAUUGGUCUGCUGUUAAGCUGAUUUUGCACUAUAUUCGUUUCACGGUGGCUCAUGGUUUGCAUAUUUGGCCGUCUGACUCUGGUUGUCUUUCAGCAUAUUCUGAUGCAGACUGGGCUGACAAUCCGGAUGACAGGCGAUCCACGGGGGGUUAUGCUGUCUUCUUUGGCUCUAACCUGAUUGCCUGGAGUGCUCGGAAACAGGCUACUGUCUCGUGUAGCAGUACUGAGGCUGAGUAUAAGGCUGUGGCCAAUGCCACAUCAGAGAUCAUCUGGGUACAGUCCUUGCUUCAGGAGUUAAGUAUACCCCAAUCACAGCCUCCUGUUCUUUGGUGUGAUAACAUCGGUGCUACAUACCUUUCUGCAAAUCCGGUAUUCCAUGCCCGAACGAAACACAUUGAAGUUGACUAUCACUUUGUGCGUGAACGUGUCUCUCAGAAGCAACUACAGAUCAAGUUUAUUUCUUCCAAGGAUCAACUUGCUGACAACUUCACCAAGCCAUUGCCUUUGCCACAGUUUGAGACUUGCAGGCGCAAUCUUACCCUUCUAGAUUCAUUAGAAAGUGGCUAAGAUUGAGGGAGGGUGUUAGACUGUAUUUACAUGUGUAUAUUAUAACGUUGUAUACCACCUAAUUAUAUAUAUAUGUGAUAGGCCAUCCCUAGAGGGUUGUGCCGGUUCCCCCCAAAGCCUAUUGUCUUACAGGGUGCAGGCGGCCAGGGGGUACAACUACAACACCGCUAGGCUCACAAGACGAGAAGGGCCGAGGCGGGACUGUGCUCGCGGGUAGCUUUCCAUGGCGCAACGGCGUAGGCUGUCGGCAUCUGCGCGUGCGGCAUAGAUGGCUCAACGCCGGCAGUGGCGCGGCCGCGUGCUGUGUGGCGUGGAGCUCGACGAGAGGUCGUGGGGCGGUGCACACCUGGGCGCCGUGUGUGGCGGAGAGCGCGUCCAGGAUAGCGGAGCUCCGCGCGUCAGCGCUCUGCGUCGACCCCUCCUCUAUGUGCUCCGCGCUCCGGAGCUCGCAUCCAUGUGACCAGCUCACGGCGCUCAUGACGUGCCUGAUGUGGGACUGAAGAACGUGGCGACCCCGACCUAUCUCCCCGACAGCUUCGCCAUGGCCCUUCUCUGUAUCCUCAUCAGCCUCCCGCUCCGCCGCAACCCGUCACAUAUCACGGGUCAUUGAGUCCAAUUCAUAGUAAGACUUGCGUUGAAUUUUCUUGGGGAAAACAGUGUGAUACUGCUCCGAUUUUGGAUGUGGACGUGAACUGGAUCACGGGGAGACAUCGACGGUGCCGUCAUUUACAAUGGCAGAGGCAGACCAUGAGCAUGAGACAGCAAGGAACAUAGUUAGUUGUGUUACGAGCGUGUCUUUGCAGAGCAAGCCGCCGCUUGCCUCCAUGCCUAGUGGCUCGGCCCUGCUGGUCUUGCUUGCGAGCCUCGCCGUGCCACAGCUCCCUGGUCGCCUGUACCCUCUGUGUGUGCCGUCACGAGCCACACAAACUCCACGUCUACUCCUUCUUUUGUUGCUGGGCGCGCGCCAACUGCUUGACGAAAUGCCCAGCCGAGGUCAAAAUGGGAAGGAAGAAAAAGACCGCCACAUGAGUGAUGACUGGUCAAAACCAUGGCAAGUCAGCAUGAAAACCAUUUUUGUUGAGUUUAGGGACUAAACUAAUCCGGUUUUAGAAGUUGAGGACUAAGGUUUGCCGAUUCUAAAGUUGAGGGACCAUUUCUAUACUUCUAGGAAGGUUCAGGGACAAAAUACAUACUUUUUCCUAUAUUGUACGAUUGUAAGGAUGUUUUUUCAAGGCCCCUUCUAUUCGAAGGGUUUUCAUGACAAUUUUGAAGGAUUGGAAUCCUUAGGAAAGUUACAAUCAUGGUUGUUUGGUUCAUACGAUUGAAGCCUAUAAGAUUUUUUUUCCAAGGACUCGUCUGUACUAUAUUCCAUAGAAAUUUUAGCAUCCACUCAAACCUUCUGCGAAGAUCAUUUUUUUCAUGAUAAAAUAAAAUAAACCGGUGCAUUGUUGGUAUGUCCCAUGCAUUGUUGAUGGUGGGCGAGAGGAUCGCCGUGGAGGCGGGUAUUCAAUGUGUGCUGGGUCACCAUAUGCUUGGUCCAGUGUGUAUUGUGCCGUGUCGGUGGGGGUGAGAGACCUCCCUAUUGCCUAGCAUGGCACAGCCAUUUAAUACGCUAGGUAAUAGGAUGACAUCGCCUCACACUUUUUGUACCGUUAACUACAACAUCUCUAGUAUAAGGGUCCUUCCUAGCUCCUCGAGCUUGCACACCCGCUCGACGCCUGUUGCAUUGUUCGUCCUAAGGUGGAUUCGAACCACUCUCUCCUUUCGGAUUUCGAGUCCAAAAGGCCCGAUGAAAGAGGAUUUUCAAUCCUAUGCCCGCGGCCAAGCUGAAUACCAACGUAAAAUACCCCCCCCCCCCCGUGUACAGAAAAACCGGCAGACUUCAACCGCGUGCUUGGAUGGUUGUUUUUCAUACAUAAUCUUUACGUUAGUAUCCCAGAUUGCCCCUACAGCCUUUAAAUAAAACACCCCACCCAGUUUACCAGUUUUCCCCACCCACGGAUCCAUCUCUCCAGUAAUCCACAUGCCCGCACCGCCAGAGCUAUGGACGGGGUGAAGCAUCGGUGACAGGGGCGAGCGACCACGACACCAACAUCAACAAUGAGGUGCCCUACUACCGCAACAGGAGUGAUGUGCCGACGACCAUGAAAGGGGCGGGGUCUAGGUUCAGGCGGUUGUAACCUUGACCAUGACGCGACGGUGGCGAGUGGCGGCCACUCGCUCCGGCUCCUCGUGCAAGCCCUCCAAGCAGCCAUAUCAAACCUCCUCUGCUUCACCAAUGUUGUCAACCUCCUCACCAAACAAUAUGUGUGCUUGUGAUCUGUUUGAUUACCUUGGUAUUGCAAACUGGGAGCCAAACGCAUGUUACAGUCGGAAAAAUAUUUACAACUCUCCACCAAGAUUUGUUGGAGGCAAGUAUUAUACAAGUGUAAAGAGGUACAUGGGCAGAAAAAUUCAGGAUUCCAAGCAUGGCCAAAGUCAAUCCCAUGGAAGGAAAAAUAAAUAGAAUCAACUGACAAUGUGGCCAUGAAUAAUAACCAACCCACACGCUGCCAUCCAAUAGCAAACAAUCACCAUGUAAAUGGGGCAGUGGCGUCUCUUGCUGCCUAGACAAAAAAAGCACCGCGUGGCUCACAAAGGAUAACAUGUUGAAUGUGAAUGUGAUGUAAAGAUAGAGAAGAACUGAUGAUUUCGUAUACUUGCAAUAGUAUUAUUGAUAAUUAGCCCUCAUAACAGGGGGUAAGUACAUGGUCAAUGAGCACACACAAACCGUACUUUUUUAUAUAGACUGUAAGGAAGGCCCCUAUAGACUACAGUAUAAGUGUAACAAACCCAAAUUAUAAGUACCAUGCUUUGAACCUAGGUGGGUGGGAAGGCAUAUAAAUACUGGCGGAGCUUGACUAGGAUGACACGGGGAAAAGGUAAUGUAUGAAUGUUUUUAUUCAGGGUGGAGGGCUAAUGAGAAUAUUUUCUUCUAACUAUGUCCUUCCAAAGAAACUCCCUUCAGUGAUUNNNNNNNNNNNNNNNNNNNNNNNNNNNNNNNNNNNNNNNNNNNNNNNNNNNNNNNNNNNNNNNNNNNNNNNNNCCCCUCAGAUAUACACAUAGGCACACAGCUCCAACCCUCCGACUAAUGACAGUUCUAAUUAAGCAAAGUUCAUUUUGUUCCUAAUAGUUUUAGGAAAAACUUUCUUAGGGGAAUCAUGGAUUCACUCUAGUUAACUAUAUUUUGGUAACAUGAUUCAUAUUUUCACUCAGGCUCAACCUUCUUACGCCCACAGGCCACAGCCUUUUGUUGCAACGCUUUUAUGCAAGACUCUAGCUCGUUAGCCUCCAUGUUUGUUGCUGCAAGGGAUUGCUUCGCCCUCGCGAUGAGUUGGUUUUGCUUGCUGAUCUUACGGUAGUGGAACAACACCCUCACACCAUGUUCUGACCUUUUAUUCGAAAGAUGUGUGAGAUUGCAUAUAAAUGUGGUGGUACAUCUAAUUUCUCAAACAAUGCUAACUCAAAACAGAUUAAACUGACUUAUAGUAAUUUGUAUCUCCUUUGGUGGAGUUUAUUGGGGCCAAUUGCAUCACGCCUUGAUGACCAAUCUGAUCAGUGGCGGAGCUAGACGGAAAUAUUUAUUUUGGGUGGGGUGCAAAACACGGAUCAUUAGUACUUGGGGUGAUAAAAAUAUAUAAUCUGAGCCCUCCUAAAAAGUUUCCCUUCACAACUUUAUCCUGGGUUGGGGGCCAUGCCCCCCCCCCCCCCUAAGUGCACAUAGCUUCUCCUCUAAAUCUGACGGAGCAGAGAAAAUGAAAAGAAAAGACAUGGGCUUUAAACUAUCUUUCUAAAGUUUAUGAUAAAAAGGUAACUUGCAUUGCUCAAUGUUAUUUUACGAAGACAUAAAAUAUGGCAAGGGAAAUGCAAGGAAAAUUCUUGGCGACUCAAUAUUCUCUGCCAAAAGAAUCUAGUCGGUACAAAAAUCAGAAAAGUUCUCAUCAGCCAUAAAAAUUGCACAUGUAAUAUAGUAUCACGUUUGUUCUACAACAAAUUUUAUAGAAUGCUUUAUUAAGAAAUGACAUCGAUAAAUAGUGAAUAAUUUCUAGAAUGAUAAUCAAGUCAUUUCGUCUGUAGUUUUUGGUGGUUUGAAAUUUGAAUAAUAGAAGAUUCAUUGUGACUGAAAUGUACACUUUAUUGCUAAGCCAACGUGCAUGUGUUGUUGUUUCCACGAAUUGAGCAAUCAUACUUGCAUAGAAACCACUCAAGUAAAAAUAGCUUGCUUAUCUCAUAUUACUAUGACAAUAGAUCUUCACAUGUAAGAAUAUUAUUCUUUGGGAAAAGUCCAUUUUACUACCCUGAAGAAAGUUGGUGGUUCACAUAAUCCCUGACAUUUAUUUCUGCUCCUUUCACCCCCAAAUAAUCCCAUACCGGUCAAAAUCAAUCCCUGGGUGGUUUAACUCGACUGGAUGCUGACAUGACAAUGGUCAACGACGGUUUUGACCUAUGUGUGGUCCUCCCUUGUCAGGUGGGUGGCGGUGGCCCAGUCGUCGGGCAUCCUCGUCCCUCUCCUCGUGCAGGAGGUAGCAGGGGGCGCUACAACUACGAAGGCGACGCGGGGAGGCGAGGGGGGCGACCAGAUCCAAGGGUGGCGGCCCCAUCUGGCCUGGUUCCGGUCGGAUCUAGAGUCCGAAGGGGGUGUGAAGAUGGAAAGGCGGCGAGCUUGUGGUGGCGACGACCCAACUAUCGGGCAUCGCCGUCCCUCUCCUCACGUGGGAGUAGCAGGGCAGUGGUGGUGACGCUGCAGCGACGCAGGCGGCGGGGGAGGCGGCGAGGGGGCGGCCCCAUCUGGUCUGGUUGCGGUCGGAUCCAGAGUCCGAUGGCGGUGUGAAGAUGGCGCGAUGGCGAGCUUGUGGUGACAGCGUGACUUGUACCUGAGAGAGAUACGAGGGAGAGUUUGGGUGAGAGAAAAGAGAAGGGAAAGGAAGGAGAAGCAAAGUGCUCGGGGUGGCGGCUUGGAACUCCGGCGGUCGCUGGUGUUAGCCGUAGGCGGUGGGGUCGAGUGCGAGGGCGCGGUGCUCGAGAGGAUGGCGGCUGCGAGGGGAGGUCGGGAGGAGCUCCUCUAUCUCAGCCCAGCCUGACGAGGGAGACCCACCGCAGGUCAAAACCGUCGUUGAUCAUUGCCACAUCAGCAAUAAAUCGACUGAAACCACCUAGGAAUUGAUUUUGGCCGGUAUGGGAUUGUUUUGGGGGUGAAAGGAGCAGAAAUAAAAGAUAGGGUUAUAUGAACGACCAACUUUCUUCAGGGUAGUAAAAUAUAUUUUUCUUAUUCUUUAGAAAAAUGUACUUAUAUCAGAAAAACGAUGGUGAUGUUACAAAAUCUAGCAAAGCAAGACGAUGGUGGAGUUGUUACUAUGAUGAUUGAUCAAGAAUUGCAUCUAUCCAAGUUCUUUUUACCUUUCUUUAUACCUACUAGUGCUACUGUGCCAUAAAAAAUGGUGGGAUUGCAAAGAAAGUCGUGUGAAGAAUCUGGCACAUAAACCAUGAAAGAAGAUGGAAAUCUAAUUAAAAAUAAAAGAACAACAAUACAUAUUUUGAGCUGUUAAGCCAUGGAUCACCUCACCAAGCCAUGCUGAAACUACUAGUAUUUUUUUGCAAAUAAAUUCUUGCAUUACUCAGAGCUUAAGAGUUACAAUCCGGUUCGACAAUAUUCAGGACCUCAUCUGGACCAGAGCCUAGCCAAACCGCAUUUCGGCGUUGCAACCUACCAAAAUUGGCCAUGAAAUGACUAGCCCUAUUGCAACAUCGACGGAUAUGAGUAAUGCAAGAAUCUCUCUCUCUCUCUCUCUCUCUCUCUCUCUCUCUCAUACUACUAAUGACCUCUUUGAUAAUAAAAGCAUACUUUCACUUAUUUCCUUCUCCUCCUUUGAUCAUUGUUACCACUUCAAGACUGUCUGAUGAUUCGAUCACAAUCGGCAAACUGCUCCAUUGUAAAGCUAGCAUAACACCUUCGAAGAUAGCAAGUAGCCCAGCUUCCAGAAUAUCAGUGCACGUGAAUAGGUACCUGCAGGAGCUGAAAAUUAUGACACGCUCAUCGUCCAUAACGAUCAUACGGGCCCCUGCACUACCCUCUGAAAUCGAUCCAUCAGUACUCAAUUGAACUUUUCCCACCUCUGGUCUAGUCCAAGGACUAACCGUAGAAUUACAUUUAUUAUUAUUUUUACAUGUGGACCAAUCAUGAUCGUGUACCAUGGUAACCGCUGAUUUGCCCUUGAAAGAAUCAUUUGGGUUACAAUGCAAGGUUUGUAGUGGUGUUAGGUAGCUGGACAGAAACCGAACAGAUACGUCGAUAGGAGACGCCGGCUUAGAGUGAACAAUCUCAUUCUUGACGUACCAAAUCCUUCAAAGCAACAUCAUUAGGCAAAUACGAGAGGGCUCAUUAGUUUCAACAAUUAAGUUUAUGAACCACUCUUUGUCGGGUUGAAUUUGGGUGCGAUCUGGGAGAUUCCAAACUGCCAACCUUAUUGUCCCAAGUAGCAAGAGAAUUAACUGCAAGACGCCAUGAGAAGGACUUCACCAUGGGGGAGUUGGGCAUCACUAAAUGGCUUUCCACAUGUCCCUCCUGCCAUCCGGUUGAGCAGUAGAUGAUGCAAUCAACGGGGUUUGCAAUAGCGUCAGCUGCUAACUUGUAUGCAGACCGAAUAGAAAAAUGCGGCUUUUCUCAGGAGUCCAUGCAACAAAAUCAUCAUCGAAACGUUCCGAGGGCCUUAGGUCCUCUUUGUUUCACAUGAUUUUCAAAACUCGGGAAUAGGAAUAACAUAGGAAUAGAGUGGCAUGGCACCUUAAAUACUGCAAGACUAAGAUUUUUGUGUGUGAUUUCAUGGAUGUUUGACUAUGCAUAGGGAAAGCAAGCCCUUUUUGGUUCAAAGGAUUUUCAUAUGUGAAUUUUCGAGGAUAGGAAUCCGUAGUAAGUUUUUAAUGAUGGUUGUUUGAUUCACAUGAUCGAAUCAUAUAAGAAUUUUUCCUAAGGACUCAUCUAUACUACAUUCCAUAGAAAGUUCAACAUCCACUCGAAUCUCUUGCAAGUAAUCCUUUUUCCUAUGAUGCAAUGAAACAAACCAAAAAUCAUGUAUGAUUCAAAUGAGCAUGAAAUUACAAUCCUAUGCUUUUUAUUACUGCAUUUUUGGAAUGUGCGAAUCAAAGAUGUCCUAAAUUUAAAAAGCAUAUGGUUUGCAAUUCUACAAAUGAAAAAAUUCUUAAGGAUUAGAAUCGUCUAAAAUUUCUUUAAGAAUCAUUUGAAUCAAAGAAGCCCUUGUAUCCUCAAGAAUUUCUUAGAGGCGACUGUGUUAUACUCUUAAGAUUUUUUUACUCAUGUACUAGCCCAUGUUAGGAGAAGUAAGCGAGGUGUGUUUGAUAAAUCUUGCAAGAAGCACAAAUAGCUUACCCUUUUUAAAAGGAAAAAUGGUAGUUUUACACCCUAAAGAGGAGUGGCAAAUCUUUCUCCGCUUCAAAAUACUUGAAGUUAGGUCUAUAUAGAAACAUACCAACUACAAGCAAAAUUAGUUUAUAAUCAUAAAAUGUACUUAUGCUAUAUAUAUUUGAUAUUAUGGAUGUUAGUAAAUAUUUAUACAAUUUGACUUAGGACAAACAUAAAACCUCAAGUAUUUGAAAACGGAGGGAGUGUUUUUUUUCUGGUGGAACCGGCAGCAAACAGUUUUCUUUUUCUGUUUUUAUGGUAUUUUUUUAUUUUCGCGAGGCUUGCUGCACCCGGGAACCUCAUCUACUCGCAAAGAAAUCAGGCCAUUUUCCAUGUAUGGCCCAUUUUCACCCUUACAUAAAAUACAUAUAUUAUACACUCAAAAUACCAAGGUGGGUUAGCCGCCGCCACGCCUCUCAUCCAAACCAUUUUCUGUACGGCCCAUUUGACGAGACAACAAAAGUUUCAGCAAACAACGAUUGAAACUAAGUGCUUGAGAGCCUUGAUGAUGUGGGUGUGUUAGCAAGUUACUCUAGAAUCAUGUUGUCCUUACAUGCCUUUCACUCCCUAAUUCGUAUUUUCAUUGCUCAAAGAAAGAAAAACUCUUAUGUGCAUUCCCGACAAACAAUUGUUAACUAGAGGAAUAGAAUUAAGUGCUACCAUGUUAUUUUAUCCAGUUGAGCAAGAACUUUUAGUUGAUUAUAUUUGCGUCACUAACAAUUGCAUAACAAUGUCACUGCCACAACUAUACUAAGCUUUCUGGUCAAGAAGCGGAGGGCUAUCAGGCAUACCAAUCGUAAGUGAACCAAAACCUUCUCGCUACUUUGUCUUACACAACUGAGUUCCUUAUAAUUUGGAUUUCUCUCUAUGUUGCUUGAGACGAUCAAGUUUAAGCUUGUGGGAGUUGAUGAGUGUUAUCUUUACACUCGUCUAACCUAAGUUUAAACCAAAAUAUUUCAUUAAAAUGAUAUAUUCGCUCUGAUAUUGCCACUGAUGACUUAUGAAUGCAAAGGAUUUCAAAUAUCCGACCUAUAUUUCGUUUCCAUGGGAAGUGGGUUAUUUAUGGACGAAAUCAAGCCAACACAUGGAAAGGAGUAAAGUGGAGAUUGAGAAGAUCAAGUGGGAGCGCCAGAGCAGAAGAUGGCGUUCCAUACGACCGCGCCUACUCGUACGGGCGGUCCUAUGGACUGCCAACGAAGGCGCCUGAUCCACCUGAACAACCUUUAUAAAAGGUCCGAUGCCAAAUGAGCAACAGAAAAUCGUAGAACAAGCCAACCAUCUUCACCAUAGCCAUCUCCAUCAACCCGAACCGCCGCUAUUUCUCAUCUCCACGGCCACAACCUUCACCACCACCAUAGUUCUCAACAAACUAGUCAUACUUAUAAUUGUGUAUCACACACGACAUCCAUUCUAAGACAUAUUAUCAAUCACUCAAAUCUCCAUGAUGUGUUCUUCGAUGAGUUCUUCGUGUGAUCUGAUCUCCAUGUGUUCGUAAUUCGGUAAGUUCAUUGGUUGAGGCAAGAGCCUUGCAACCUGAUGUAUUUGUUGGAGGGAUCGAUGGAAGUUCUUUGAAUGAACGUAUCAUAUGUGUAGCAUAAAGUUUCUUCGUAGUUGUCUCUUGUCUCGUUCAUGUUCUUCAUCCUUGCAGGUACCGAGGAUCAUGGAGAGCGACUUGCGGAGAGGCUAAGGGCAGGGAGGACGUGAAGUGUUAUUCUGAACACCAAUGACAGAAAGGUUUAGUACGGUAACACGGAUCUAAUCCUUGGAGAUUCAAGAGGUGUACUCAUUAAACACACAAUGCUUUUGUCUAAUCAUUGCAAUCUUAAUUACCUAUGCAGCCCCGCGCUAUGGAUAGGACCUUCGGUUGGACAACUAAUUCUUUAUGCACGACACGUGUCGGUCAAGACGUAAUUUGACACAUCCCCAACUUUGAUACAUAGCAAGAACAUCUUGAUGGAUGGAUACCGGAGCAUAAAUUGAGAUCAUGAUGAUCCCAACACAAAUAUAUGGUUGAAAGCAUUGGCUUGUUUUACGAUCCAGUCAAAAGCUGGAAUUUAACUCUCUACAAAAGCUUGUCUAAGACCCUAGCUUAAAAUGCACCAUCCUCUAGUGUGUUUGAUAACUCAGUUUCACCUUUGAGGGAAAAAGCAAGAAUCCUUUCUGCUCCAUUCCCAGAUCACUAAAGGAACUAAUCAGUAAACUACAACGAUGAGAUAUCCGCACCAAUCAUUUAACGACAUCACAUGGACGACGAGGUUCUUCAACAGCAAUGCGCGCGGGAAACGAGAGGGAGAGAUACACAAGCGUUGCUGCACCGGAUCCAACCACAAGGCCAAAAUCUAGGCUUUCAUCUUGAAUAAUCACUCCUACAUAUCCGAGCAAUGCCUUCAACGAGGUAACGAUGUAACAAAAACAUCAACAUUGUUAGGUAUAACCACUCGGGUCUGACAUAAGCUUUCGCCCCGAAGCUCGAGACUGGAUGCUUGAGUAGCACCGCUAUCGAAGUCACUCAUGUGUUAUCACCAACAUUUUUCGCGAUCCUAUCAACAACAUGCUAUGCGACCAUCACCAUUGCACCACCAUCACUUCGUGCCAAAUCAUUAUUCAUAAUUUGCAUCUCACUACUGGAGUCAACCAUCGGAUCAGGAGAGAUGACCCCUCCCAAAGACCUUUUGGUAACAACCAGAGUACACUGUCGGUCUCACCGCGGAAACAGGGAUAACUCACCUUUUACCUCAGAGACCCCACUUUCUUCUGAAACGUUCUCCAGAGAUCCCAUAUCAGAAGGUUUUGGUUUUCCAUGAAUGUGUGUCAACAAGUGGCCAUGAAAGCCGAGGUUUAGGCGUCAUCGAUGUUGGACAAAGUCUGGACAUAACAAUUGGGUUCCUUUUCCUUGAACUUCUAGAGUUUCUUGAGGCGACUAUGUGUCCCCCAUCGACUCUUGAUGAUCUUCCACUCAUGGACCGGCCCACGGUACGAGAAGUAACAUAUGUGCAGAUAUCAUUUUCUUUUCACUGGGGCUAUAUCUUGCCCAUUGCGAGACAUAAGUUAGUCUCGCCUUCAACGCCGAUGCGAAUGGGCCAACCAACCAAGAGAUUUUUCUGUGCACGUAGGAAAGUUCGUCUACUUUUUUAUUCAUUUAUGUCUUCAAUUAACUCAAAGUUCUUUCUUUUUCUUUAAAGAAUUGUGCCUUCCUUCUUCUUGUAAGCAAUGUUUUUCUUUUUAUUUGGUUUGGUUAUUUUUGAUAUUUGUUUUUUCCUUUUGGUUUUCUUUUUCUUGUUUAGUUUUCUAGUAUUAUUUUUUUGGGUUUUUUGUUUUUCUUCCAUUUUUUUAUUCUCCAUGGUUGUUUAUUGGUUCUCUUUUAUUUUUCGUUUUUUUCCUUUUCCUUUUUAUUUAUUUCUUUUUCUUUUUUAUCAUCUUUUUUCAAGACAUGUUGUAAUUUUUUUGUAUACAUUAUUUUUAUACAUGUUGAGCAUUUUAAAAAUGCAUGGUUAAUAUUUCCAAAUACAUGUUUUGAAUAGACUUUAAACAUUUUUAAAUACAUGUUGACCUUUGAAAGAUUUUUAUAUUAUAUAAACAUCUUCUUAAAAUGGCAUCGACAAAAUUUAAAAAUGUAUGAUUUUCUAAAUGUAAUUUAUUAUUUUUCAAAUGGUACAGAUCAUUUUUAAUCUACAGGGACUUGUUUCACAUUGUAUAUUUUUGUAAAAUGCCAAGAACAUUUUUGAACGGUGCAAAACAUUAACUUUUUACAUUAUAUAACAUUUUUUAUAUUGCCUUAACAUUUUAUUGGAUAGUACAAUUUUUUAAUAUAAUUAUGCGAACGUUUCUUACAUAUUGUAGUUGCCACGAACAUAUUUUUGAAAUGCCUUUAAAAAACAUAUUUUUGAAAUGCAUGGACAUCUUUUUAAUGUUACAAACAUUUCUUCAAUGCUAUCAACAUUUUUUAAAGCCAAGCUGGCCCAGCCCCUUGAACCGCUCCCUCUUUUUUCUGAGAGAAACGUUGGCAAAAAAUCGGAGGCAAGUAGUUUUUCGGAUUAUCGUGGGGUUCUCUGAGCCCAGCAACCUCAUCUAUACCAGCGUCCAGUGCGGCAGUGCCCAUUUCCCCUUACGGCCCAUUUCCAUCUUGAUAUAUAUAGCACUAGUACAUGGCACUGCACUCAAAUACCAAGGCCGCCGCCACGCCUCUCAACAAAACCAGGACCAGAUCCGAGCAGAUCGCAUGGGCAAGCGGCGAAAGAGGAGCAACCUCGCCGUCGUCGAGGAGCAACCGUCCCAAGAACGCGGCCACGAAGAGGAAUGGUCAGUUCAAAAUUGUUCCCCCGUCCUCUGUCCUGAUUUCUCUUGCUUUUCUGACGAUGGUCUACACACGAGCAGGCGAGAUUGGCUCAACCUGCCGACGGCGCUCGUCGACGACAUCGCCGACCGGCUGCUCAGCCACGACCUGGCCGAGUACAUCCGCCUCCGCGCCGCGUGCAACGAGUGGAGGAGAUGCACCGCCGACCCGCGCGCAGGGGCGGAGCUAGGCUAAUGCAAGGUAUGCAAUGCAUACCCAAUCUUUUUUGCAAAAGAAAUUCAAUAUAUAAGCUCCUAUAUGCUUUUAUAUCACAUAUGACAAUCUUUUUGUACGUACAGAGAAGAGAAACAAAGAAAAGAACGAUUCCAGUGCCACUUGGCGAAGAUUGGGCUACUACGUUGCUAGUUAGUGCUACUGGGCCUUAUCAUUGAGGCAAUGAUGCGGCUGGCCGAUUGACAAAGCCGAGGAGACAACACGACCUGGAACGUGUCGCCUCGAUCGUUCGAUUCAACCGCCGCUGCGCUGCGCUGCGCCUCCUCCGCCGCCUGUGACGCACAUCGUUGCGCCGCAUGCCCGUAUCUGCCAUUGGCAUAGUCGCCGAUCUGCCAUCUUGGAUCUUGCAGAUCGAUCUCCUCGCGCCUGUUCGCUGCUUCGCCUCCAAUUGAGAAACGGCGGCCGCCGCGGCACCACCGGUGCACACAUAUCAGGCACCGAUUCCUGUGAUUGUUUUUUUUUUUGAGUUAGCGAGUGUUCAAUCUUGAUUUCUCCUAUUUGUUAGAUAAGAUGAGAUGAUUGUUUUCACUCCCUAAUUUUGUUUCCAUUGACCUAUUGUAGCAUCCAGUAAAUUUUGGAUGUGGUUUGCAUUGGCUUGCUAGAAAACUUGUAAAGCAGUACAGAGAAAACAAGGUGAAUCUCAUGCAUAUAAAUUUCUGAAUUAUGAAUAUUUGAAUUUGUGAGACUGCCCACCAUGCCCGUAUGCCGCCAUCACUAUCUAACAUGUUUCUUUUGUUAUUAUUAUGAAAUUUUCUAUUUCUUACAAUGUCGUGAAGCAAAUUUUUUUACCACGCAUACCCAUAUCGAAAAUCCUGGCUCCGCCACUGCCCGCGCGAGGGAUGCAACCACCUGGACCCGCGCUUCCGCCUGCGCCGCCGGAUCAUGCUGUCCAACCGCACCGACGGCGACGGUCGCCGCUUCCUCAACCUCUCCACCGGCGCCAGCGCCCGCGCAGACCUACCACCGAGGGCCUCUUGCUCCUGCGUGACAAGGCGAGCCACGCCGUGCAGCUCCUCAACCCGCUCACCAGGGCCCUCACCGACCUCCCGCCCGUCACCGCGGACCUUGGCGGCGCAUACGCCGUCUGGACGGGGUCGUUCCAGUCCGCGGCGCGCAUCAUCUACGCCGGCGUCUCUGACGAGACCUCCCCAUCAUCAGUCGUGCUCCUGAUGGCUGGCCGUCACCUUGGGCGUGCCAUAGCCUACGCCAAUCCUGGUGACCAGCGUUGGGCGGUGGUGGAUGACGAGAUGUGGAGGCCCGGCAUCCCCAUGUCAUGUCGAUUCUCGUCGGCCUCAACCAUGCAGGGGCGCAUCUACUUUGCGACUGUCGAGGGGUACAUAAUACAGGUGAGGCUCUGCCCAGAGCCUCGUCUGGUGCCCGUGGUGGUGGACCAGCCCAACACCAAAUACAACAUGUUCUGCUACCUCGUCCCUCCCGAUGACGACCACCGUCGCGGCGGCAACAUGCUCAUGGUGCGCUACUACCUCAACCUCUAUCACCUCAGCGAUGAAGAGCGGAGAAUCAUGACGCGCAAGAGGAAGGUCAGGGACGUCAUCAGGGUGGAGCACCUUGUGAAGGAGCACCGGUGGAACCUAAUUCAGGUGUUGGAGGUGGAUGUGGCCGGGAAGCGGCUUGUUCCGGUGGAGGACAUUGGCCGGCACCGCGCCGUGUUUGUCGGGGAUGUGGCCUGCUUCUCCCUCUCGGUCAGGAGGUUUCCAUGCGUGGCAGGGAACGCGAUACACAUGGGGGCGCUUGGGGCUCGCUGCCCUCCUGUCGGCGUGCGGUAUCUGGCCGACAAGACUGCUGAUCUGUCGUUUGUGUUCGCCACCGACGUGCCAGGGCUUCUAGACGAUAUAUCAGUGAAACGGUACCGCCAGAGGAUACCGGAGCUGAAUCUAGUGCCUCUUGCUCGCCCUUGUACACUCCAAGAGUACCUUGUCUGUUGCGCUCUCGUCCUUGGCGGUCUCAAAGACUAAUUCAAGAGGUCAUCAUCAGCAACUUAAAGAAAGCAUGUUGUCUCCUCCUCUGUUCAUUUCUCAUUGUGUUGAAUCAAAAAAAUCUGAAAGAUGGACAGAACUGUUGACACCUAAUUUUGGCAAGAUACAGAUUGUAAUGGAGAUGGUCUCGGGUGAACGGGUUUUCAGCAUGAAAAGAUUCACGUCGCCGAGUGAAACCACUUUGAUGUUUUGGUUAUAUUCAUUCGACUUUAUCUUACGGACCGAAACUAUAUUCCGAGUGGCAUAAUUCAAUGUUCUGAGUGGUUUUUGGCCAAUCACGUCUCCAAAAUGACCUCAGAUGAAGGAGCACUCUUAAGGAAUUGUCUUCGUCUCGUCGAGGCAAUCAAUUUUGAUAUAUAAAUCAUCUCAAUCCGAGUUCAUAUGCAAAAGUUAGAGGCAAUACACUGCAGACCGAACUUCAACAGAAAUAUGGGGUGAGGUGCCAGACACUUGUCUAAUAGGUUGCGCGAGUAAUUCGGCCAUCAAGACGGCCUUGAAUCGAAAAACCUUCAACACGGAAAAGUUUCGUCUCGUCGAGCCAAUCGAUUUUCAUAUAUAAUUUGUCUCAAUCCGAGGUCGUAUGUGGCUUGGAGAGACAAAUCAAGAUCGGGCUAUGUUUUCAGUCGGAAAUCCGAGUGAAAAGUUUACCAUCCGAGUGGAAGUUUACGGUCGAGUGAAAAUUUACCGGUCGAGUGAAAGUUUGCUGACCGGAUGAACUUAUUAUUAUCCAAGUGGAAAUAUAGUCAUCCGAGUGGAAAUAUAAUCAUCCGAGUGAAAUUGUCGUCCAGGUGAAAAUAUUCUGAGUGAAAAGAUUACCAUCAGGACGAAAACUUGCCGAUUGAAUAAGAUAGUGCCUUCCGAGUGGAAAUAUAGUCAUCCAAGGGAAAGAUUGUCUUCCGAGUGAAAAAGUCCAAUCGGACGAUCCGAGUGAAAGUAUCUAAUAUCCGAGUGGAUGAGCUCAAGUCCGAGUGAAAUUGAACAUGUGCUCGAAAGUUUAUCAAAAUGACCUUGGAUGAAGAAGUGUUCAAUACAGAAGUUGUGCGUAUCAUCAAGAUGGUAAACUUUGAUUUUGGAGUCAUCAUCAUCAGAGAUAAUAUAUAGCCCACAAAUUCACUACGAGACUCGGAUAAUCCAGUCUACUGCAAGACCGAGUCCGACUGGAAGAUAAGGAUGAUCUCGAGAAGUAUUCAAGAUGGCCUUAUUUGAAAAAGUGAUCAACAUGAGAGUUGUUCAUAUCGUCAAGGCGCACAAGUUUGAUAUUUGGGCCGUCUCGAUCGGAGAUCAUAUGCAAGCCCGGCGGCCCGCGCAAGAAGAAAGACAGAGUUUGGGCCAGAUUCAGACUGAAUCCGAGUUGGAAUAGAAUUAGGACUCUAGGGCGUGAAUUGAUGUAAUUUUUCUUGUAAGAAAAGCCUAGAUGAAUCCUUUACUUGUACGGGAAGUCCAGCCGCCUCUUAUAUAUGUUGGGGAUGACGGCCGAUUGAACAACACACAAUCGAACAAAUCAAUAUACUACUUUUUCAUCUACGUUUUAUCUCUCCACUGUUUUUCUCUCUCGUUCUUCGCUGUUCUUCGUGUUUGAGAGCUGCGAAUUCCGAGGCUCUAGGGGCGAGCGAAUCGACCUAGGGCAGCCCAUAGCCGCCGCACUCCCUGACGGGGUCCCUCCCGGGGGUGUGGGGUUUUCGGGUCUGCAAAAGCGCCCGUCGACUGUCUUGCGUAUCGCGUUGUCGGUCGGGUCUCCUUCGACGUUAGCUGCGGUGCAUCACCCCCGGCGUCGAGGGUACACGUGACGUGAUCGUGUGUCAACACACUUUUUGGCGACUCCGCUGGGGAUCGAAGAUCAAUCAUCAUCAUCCACCAUGUUCGAUCUUCCCAAGCCAUCUGAGGUAGACGCCGAUAACAUCAUUAAGCCCAGUCUUGAUGAGGUAUCGGCCGAUCAUCGCGAAGUCUAUGAGGAGUACAAGAAGGCACGUGAGGAGAAGGACCUGCAGGAGUUCCUUGCAAAAUUCAAGAAAGAUCGCUCAAGUUCCCUCCUUUUCAAACUGAACAGGUUAAACCCUCUGUAAGUACUGCCUUUUCUCCUGAGCAGUGGGCUGAGAUUGAAAGUCGUAUGUUGAUGGUAACAAUCUAGUCUAUCAAACUUUUAUAGAAAAUACUAAUGCUUAGAAGAAUAUAUCUCAAUCGUCUAGUGGUAAUAAUGGUGUAGCUGCUAGUGUGCAAAACCCUAAUCUGGCUUUACCUAUUGCAUCGGCGCCUCCCGUGUCGAUGGCUUAUUAUCCUACCCAAACAAAUCAGAUUGUGGCUACACCCAUUAAUCCUAUUAUGAGCAUGACAGGUUCGGUGGCAAUGCUGAACCAAACUCUACCUAAAGCUACAACCACUCGACCACUACCAAAUUAUGGGUCGACAUACAUGCCACAAUUCCUACCCACAACUAGCAACCCUACUCCUUCUAUGCCAAUGCCACAAGAUGCAUCGUCCACUAUGGAUGAUGGUCUAGCUAAUCUUAGAGAGGAGAUGGCUAAGAUGCUUCGAGAAAAUUUUGGAGUUUAGUUACCUCGGAAUCGGAUUUACCAAAAGCCGUACCCUGAGUACUUUGAUGCCAUCCAGUGCCCUCCGGGAUAUAAGAUUCCAGAUUUUGUUACACUACUGCUAGGAAAAGGCCUACUAAUGGCGCACCAGUUUUGCCUACUAAUGGCGCAUCACUGGUAAUUUUUACUAAUGGCGCACCACUGGUGCGCCAUUAGUAUCUGGUAUACUAAUGGCGGCCACGGUGCGCCAUUAGUAUAGGCCACUGAUGCGCCAUUAGUAUAGGCCACGGUGCGCCAUUAGUAUUUUUGAAUUUUGAAGGCGGGAAAAUAGUAGUGGCGCACCGUCUAACCCCCACUGUGCGCCAUUGCUAUUUUUGAAUUUCGAAUUUGGAUCUGGACCGUGAUUUUUUGCCCAUUUUUUGCUAGUUUUUUGCUCGUUUUUUGGCACGAUAUUAUUUCAAAUUUUGUUCCUGUUUUUGGAUCUUGUACGUUCUUUUGCCGUGUUGUUUUGCCGGAGAGGAGUUCGCCGGAGAGGAGGAGGAGGAGGCCACCGGAGAGGCGCUCGCCUACAUCGCCGGAGAGGAGGAGGAGGUCGCCGGAGAGGAGUUCACGGAAGCAUCGGAGAGGAGGAAGGAGAAACCAUGAGGGAAUGGGAGGAGAGGAGGGAGGAGGAGCUCAUCGGAGAGGAGGGAGGAGAAACCGUGAGGGGAGGGGAGGGGAGGAGAGGAGGGAGGAGGAGGUUCCCGGAGAUGAGGAGGUCGCCAGAGAGGAGGAGGUCACCGAAGAGGAGGAGGAGGUCGCCGGAGAGGAGAAGGAGGUCGCCGGAGAGGAGGAGGAGGAUGUCGUCGGAGAGGAGGAGGGUAGUAUGGUGGAGGAGAGAAGGGAAGAUGGAGUGGAGGAGAGGAGGAGAUGAAGUGGAGGAGAGGAAAGGAGGAGAUGGAGUGAAGGAGAGGUGGAGUGGAGGAGGUGCGCCCAGCCAAUAUACGACAUAGUAAUGGCGCACCGUGGGCAGGUGCGCCAUUACUAACUUUUUUUUAUUUUUUUUUGAUUUAUUUUGAAUUUUGAAGGCGAGAAGAUACUAAUGGCGCACCAUGGGCAGGUGCGCCAUUAGUAACUUUUUUUUUAUUUUUUUGACUUAUUUUGAAUUUUGAAGGCGGGAAGAUACUAAUGGCGCACCAUGGGCAGGUGCGCCAUUAGUAACUUUUUUUUAUUUUGUUGACUUAUUUUGAAUUUUGAAGGCGGGAAGAUACUAAUGGCGCACCAUGGGCAGGUGCGCCAUUAGUAAGUUUGAAUUUUUUUGCCUCUCCAGAUCUUAAAAGCCUCGUAUCUUUUUUCUGUUAGGUUUUUGAGGAUUUUGAAAAUGUUUAACGGGGUUCCCCCGGUUAAAUUCGGAUGUAACUUUUCGAGUAGAUGAUUUUUCAUAUAAAAAACUUUUUUAUCCGAGUUCGUACGCAAAAGUUAUGCCCAUUUUUACAAAUUCUCGAGAGAUUUUGCAAAAAAGUCGAAAAUUCAUGUUUGUAAAUUUUGCUAACAACUAGACCACAUAUCACAUGGGAAUCUUAUUUUCUUUUAUUUUUUGACAUUUCUAUCAUUUUCUUUUAUUUUCUUUGAAACUGAAAAGGCGGUCCACAAGGGGGGGGUGCAUUUGGGCGAAUGUUUGGGCCAAGUUACUAAUGGCGCACCGUGGCAUGGUGCGCCAUUACUAAUUGAACUAGUAAUGGCGCACCACUCCCACGGUGCGCCAUUAGUAGUUUUGAAAAAAUUAAAAAAAUUUUACUAAUGGCGCACCGUGGACGUGGUGCGUCAUUAGUAUUUGCACACUAAUGGCGCACCAACACAUGGUGCGCCAUUAGUAUAUAGUAAUGGCGCACCACAUGUCUGGUGCGCCAUUAGUGUCAAUUCCAUCUAUGGCCCUUUUUCUAGUAGUGUUAAGUUCAAUGGAGAGGGCACAAAAACCACAUGGGAGCAUGUUAGUCAAUACUUAGCACAACUAGGUGAAGCAGGCUCACUAAGUGAGUUGAAAGUGCGUUUGUUUCCUUUAUCUUUAACUGGUACUGCAUUUUCAUGGUUUUCUUCUUUACCACAUGGUUCCAUUCGGGUUUGGUCGCAGCUAGAGCAGAAAUUUCAUGAUCACUUUUAUAGCGGCGACAAUGAACUCAAGUUAUCACAUCUAACAUCGGUUAAACAGAAGCAUGAUGAAUCGGUCUCCGAUUACGUCAAGAGAUUCACAGAAACAAAAAACCGGUGUUUUACUUUGGUGAUAACCGAGAGAGACUUGGCAGACCUAGUGCUGAGUGGUUUGAGAACUCCCAUUAGAGAAAAGCUAGAAGGUUAUGAGUUCUUAAAUAUCAACCAAGUCUUACAAAGGGUUUUGGCUCAGGAAAGCCGAAGCAAAGAUCUCAAAAAAGUGCAUAGAUACAAAGCCGAUCGUCCAAAGAUGAAUAUGGUGGAAUAUGAUAGUGAUCACUCGGAUGAUGAGGGUGAUGUUUUUGCGACUGAAUUUGUUUGGCCAUCUAAGACCAAACCCUUUACUUGCAAUGAUCUGAAACCGAUUCAUAAGAAUCGUGAUGAAGAGAUGAAGUUUACUUUUAACAUUGCUAAGUGUGAUAGAAUAUUUGAUGCUUUGCUGCAGGCUAAGAUUAUUAGAAUAUCUCAUACUUCACCGCCGUUUGAAGAGCUAAAACGGCGUGCUUAUGGCAAGUAUCAUAAUUCUUUUUCUCAUGCUACUAACGAUUGCAAUGUUUUUCGACGACAGAUACAAUCGGCCAUUAAUGACGGACGAUUGAACUUUUCUGAGAUGCAAAUUGAUAAACAGCCUUUUCCAAUGAAUACCAUGGAUUUGGAGGGGGAAAAGCUACUCAUUUGGCCGAAGGUAGCCGAAUCUGCUAAUAAAGCUAAUGCCAUUGUUGGUGAGCCCAGAAAAGACAAUGAGGACAACAAGGUCUUGGGGAGACAGGUUGUGCUUGGUAAGCAACCCGAUGGCAAGGAAGUGAUCAAAAUCACCAUCAAGAAUCCUACACUCGGGGGGCAACUGCAAGUGCAAGAAAAUGCUCGUGUGAGAUUUGUCAAGCCCAAGAGUCCAGAAAUUGGCAAGUGGAAAAGGAAUGAAGUUAAAGUACAACACAAACGGAUCAAGCCAACUUUUGAUAUGUUGCUGUCCAAGUACACCAACCAGUCGGCCGGUUCUAGCUUUAAUCGGCUGACUCAUCUGAAGCGACCAAGGUCACCAUCAGCUGAUAUGUUCAGUCACUAUAUGAAACCGAGUGGACCAAGGGUGCCGUUUCCAGAAGAGCAUACACAAUCUGUUUGGGAUCGACUUGGCUAUUCAUAUAGAGGCCGACUGAACAUUGGUGGCUAUCAGUCGGCUGGUCAAAACAUGCGACCGAAUGGAAAUUAUCCGAGUGUAAGAAUGCACCCAGGUGGAAGUUAUCCGAGUAAAAAAAUGUGGUCAAGUAGAUUCCAUCCGACUGAAUUCCAUCCGAGUGACAUCCAUUCGAGUGGAUUCCAUCAGAGUAAAAAGGUGCACCCGAGUGGAAAUUUCAUGCAUCUGGAAAGUCGAAAGGAAUGGCGUGUUAAAUCACCAAGUGUUGCAGCAGUUGAGUCGGGAAAAGGCAAGGAGAAAAUGGAUGCCGACUCACUUAUCUUGGGCACCAAAACAUUCGCCAUACAGCAGCCGAUUGUGCAUAGCAAUCCGACUGAGCCGAUACUUUCUAUCACGCCAAAGCACUCGGCUAAUGACCAUGAAGCAAGCACCAGCCGAGUAAAAACGAGAGAUCCUAAAUACACUCAGCCAAAGUGGUGUCCUCCAGGGCUAACAAAGACACAAAAGAGGAAACUACAGAGGUUAAGGAGUCAAGAGAUGGCAGAACAAGAGGCUGAGAAGCAAAGGGAUAAGUUGUUCAAUGACACUCGGCCUAUGGUACCUACAAAAUAAGUGUGGAGGCCCAAAAAAUACAAGAUGUUGUGGCUUCUACACCUAUCACAGCAGCACCUACACUACCAAAAGAGGACGACGCAAUCAUUGCAUCGUCUACGUUACCUAUUGCUUCCUCUUCACUCGGACAAGUUUCUAAAUCGGUGGACGCACUUGAGGAGAAGGCUGAUAUGUUGGACUAUGAGUCUACACCGGUUCAUGAAGGUAUGGAUAUCAAUAUGGUGUAUUACUUACCUGCUGAGUUUCGUGCUGUAGAUGAGGAAGGGGAGGUGGCUCAGCUCGAUUUUGGCCCUAAAAACGCGAUAUUCGAGAAGCCAAAAGAACCAGUAACGCAUCUGAAACCAUUAUAUCUCAGAGGUCAUAUCAAUGGGUUGCCGCUCACUCGGAUGCUUGUUGAUGGUGGUGCUGUGGUAAAUCCUAUGCCCUAUUCGGUCUUCAGGAAAUUGGGUUUGCCUGAUGAAGAAUUGAUCAAGAACAAUAUGGUGCUCAACGGGUUUGAAGGCAAAGAGAAAACUAAAGCCAAAGGUGUAAUGUAUGUGGAGCUUACAGUCGGAAGCAAAACUUUGGCUACUGCAUUCUUUGUCGCUGAGGUGCAAGGUAACUACAACGUUAUACUAGGCCGCGAUUGGGUUCAUGCAAACCAGUGCGUGCCAUCCACUAUGCACCAGUUUUUGAUUCAGUGGGUUGAUGAUGAAGUGGAAGUCAUUCAUGCGGAUAACUCGGCUUGUGUUGCUUUGGCCGAUGCAUCGGUGGAUUGGCAACAUCCCAAUGCUACUUGCUUGACGGGACGUGACUUAUCAGAAUUUGAUUUUCUCAGCGCGACCAAGAAUGGUUUUGUGCCUGUCUCUUUAAAACCGACUGAAUGCAAUCGGCUCCAAGGUAUGAUAUGUUUAAAUGGAUCCUAAUUCCGAGUGGUUACAAAAACGUCUUGUAAAGUAUCGGUCCAGUGAGAACGAUAUGUAUGAGUCUAUAGAGGAGUUGGAUGACACGGAUAAACUUGGACAAGGUUUUACAUCAGCCGAUCCGUUAGAAGAGGUAGAUAUUGGAGAUGGUUCAGUCACACGACCGACAUUUAUAAACAAAAAUUUGAAAGCCGAUUGUAAGGCUAAGUUAAUCGAGCUAUUGAAAGAAUAUGUUUGUUGCUUUGCAUGGGAAUAUCAUGAGAUGCCAGGGUUAAGCCGAGAGCUAGUGGAGCAUCGGUUGCCUAUAAAGGCCGGUUUUAGACCUUAUAAACAAUCCGCCAGAAAAUUUAAUCCAAAAACAUAUGACCGAAUCAAGGAAGAGAUCGGUCGACUGCUUGAAGCUACUUUCAUUCGACCUUGCAGGUAUGCCGAGUGGAUUUCUAACAUUGUCCCGGUGGAGAAGAAAGGGUCCGGUAAGUUGAGGGUGUGCAUUGACUUCAGAGAUUUGAAUAGGGCUACACCCAAAGAUGAGUAUCAUAUGCCAAUAGCCGAUAUGCUUAUUAAUGAUGCUUCUGGACAUAAGGUUAUUAGCUUUCUAGAUGGUAAUGCCGGAUACAACCAAAUUUUUAUGGCCGAAGAGGACAUGUACAAGACAGCUUUUCGAUGCCCUGGUUUCCUUGGUUUAUUCGAGUGGACAGUGAUGACAUUUGGAUUAAAAAAUGCUGGCACCACAUAUCAAAGGGCUAUGAAUUUGAUUUUUCAUGAUUUACUCGGUGUCAUACUUGAAGUUUAUAUUGAUGAUAUUGUUGUCAAAUCGGAUGCUUUUGAAUCUCACUUGGCCGAUUUGCGUUUAGCUUUUGAAAGAAUGAAAACGUAUGGACUGAAAAUGAAUCCUUUGAAGUGUGCUUUCGGCGUGUCAGCUGGAAAGUUUUUGGGUUUCAUUAUUCAUGAAGAUGGUAUAGAGAUUGAUCCCAAAAAGAUAGAGGCUAUACAGAAAGUGGAGGCUCCAACAUGCAAGAGAGAUAUGCAAAAGUUCCUUGGCAAGGUCAAUUAUUUGAAAAGGUUCAUAGCUAAUCUAUCAGGGAAAGUUGAUGCAUUUACUCCUAUCCUUCGGUUAAAGAAUGAUGCUGAUUUCACUUGGGGGGCAAAACAGCAAGAAGCAUUUGAUAUGAUCAAGAAUUAUUUGUGCACUCCUCCGGUGAUGAGAGCACCCAAGCAUAGGGAACUCUUCAGACUUUACAUUGCAGCAGAGGAAGGAGUUAUUGGUGAUGUUCUAACUCAAAAGACCGAAGGAAAAGAGCAUGCCAUCACUUAUUUGAGCCGCCGCUUAUUGGACGCAGAGACAAGGUAUACAUUUAUUGAGAAAUUAUGUCUAUGCUUAUAUUAUGCUUGCACAAAACUGAGACAUUAUUUAGUGCCGAGUGUUUGUGUAGUAGCUUGUCAAACCGAUGUCAUUAAAUACAUGUUGCAUAGGCCAACUCUUAGUGGUAGAAUUGGCAAGUGGGCUUAUGCUUUGAUUGAAUAUGAUUUGGCUUAUGAAUCUCUAAAAUCCAUGAAAGGCCAAAUUGUUGCUAAUUUCAUUGUUGAACAUCGGAUUAAUAAAAAGCAUGAUGUUGAUAUGAACCUUGUUUCAUUAGUACCAUGGAGAUUAUACUUUGAUGGUUCAGUUUGUAGCAAUGGCCAAGGUGUUGGUAUUGUUUAUAUAUCUCCUCAUGGUGCUGUUUUUGAAGCCUCAUGCCGCUUAGAAUAUUUUUGCACAAACAAUCAAGCCGAAUAUGAAGCAUUGUUAUUCGGCCUAGAGAUGUUACUUGCUAUAGGUGUUACACAUAUUGAGGCUUAUAGUGAUUCGUUACUAGUGGUGCAGCAAAUAUCCAAAGUCUUUCAGUGUUUGGACGAAUCACUUAAUGUUUAUCUUGAUAAAUGUCUAGAUAUAAUCUCUACUUUGGAUUGUUUUAGCAUUGCACAUAUAUCUAGACAUGACAACUGGAGAGCAAAUGAGUUGGCACAGCAAGCAUCUGGAUACCAUGUUGAUCAUGGCAUGUUUCAUAUUUCUCAAAGUCCGAUGUCUUGUCUUACCAGUAUAGAAGAGGCCAACCAGAACCCACUGAUUCGGUCAUUGACAAAAAAUCUAGUGCAGGUGACAAUCCCGACUGGAGGAAGCCCAUUGUUGAUUACUUGUGCAAUCCGAAUGAAAGGGUGGACAGGGCUGUUCGGCAUAUGGCUUUCAAGUAUACAAUGAGAGAUGAUGGUCUUUAUCGCCGAACAGUCGAUGAUGUUCUUCUAAAGUGUUUGGAUGAGGACCAGGCAAGAGUUGCUAUGGGAGAGGUGCAUGAAGGCAUUUGUGGCACUCACCAGUUAGCUCCCAAGAUGAAAUGGUUAUUGCAACGUGCUGGGUUUUAUUGGCCGACUAUGAUUAAUGAUUGCUUCAGAUAUUAUAAAGGGUGCGAAGCUGGUCAAAAAUUUGGUGAUAUUCAAUUGGCUCCUGCUGCUAUGUUGCAUCCUGUUAUCAAGCCGUGGCCUUUCAAAGGAUGGGGUUUAGACUUUGUUGGACAAAUUCAUCCAUCUUCCUCAAAGGGGCAUCGGUUCGUAUUGGUGGCAACUGAUUAUUUCACUAAAUGGUCUGAAGCAGUACCUCUCAAGAACAUGACACAUACAGAGGUAAUUCAAUUCAUAACCGAGCACAUUAUUCAUAGAUUCGGUAUUCCUCAAACGUUGACAACAGAUCAAGGUUCAUCUUUCAUGUCACACCAAGUCAGAGAGUUUGCCGGAUCUUAUAACAUAAAGUUGCUAAAUUCCUCUCCAUAUUAUGCCCAAGCUAAUGGACAAGCUGAGUCUAGCAAUAAAAUUUUAAUCAAAUUCAUCAAGAAAAAGAUUGAAGAUAAUCCAAGGAGAUGGCAUGAGUUGUUGUUUGAAGCUUUGUGGGCAUAUAGAAUUUCAAGGCAUGGUGCUACGAAGGUGACCCCAUAUGAGCUAGUAUAUGGUCAAGAGGCCGUUUUACCAGUGGAAGUAAAUUUGAAUGCUUUGAGAAUAGCCAAACAAAAUGAUUUAUCGGCAGUAGACUUUUAUAACUUGAUGAUGGACAAUAUUGAUGAGGUUGCCGAUAAACGUUUGGUUGCUUUGAAGUCCAUAGAGAAAGACAAGUUAAGGGUUGCAAGAGCUUACAAUAAGAAAGUUAAGUUGAAGAAUUUUCAAGUUGGUGAUCUCGUCUGGAAAGUGAUUCUGCCGAUUGGUUCAAGAGAUAGAAAACUCGGGAAGUGGUCUCCAAGUUGGAAAGGUCCUUUUAGAAUUACAAGAGUUAUUUCCGGAAAUUCAUAUUUGGUGGAAUCAAUACAAGGGGCAUUGUUACCUCGAGCUCUCAAUUGCAAAUAUUUGAAGAAGUACCACCCGAGUGUGUGGCAGGAAGCCUAAGUAGGCAAUGGCUGAUAUACGAUUAUCGCCCUUAGCACAAACAUGGCCGAUACAUAAUUAUCGCCCUGAGAAAAAUAAAUGGCCGAUGAAGUGUUGAUAUCGUCCUUAGAACAAACACCAUGCAUAUUAUUUUUCGGCGUGCAAGCUUUGCCGAAAAACAGGGGGGCAUGCAUUGACACCUGAUUUUGGCAAGAUACAGAUUGCAAUGGAGAUGGUCUCGAGUGAACGGGUUUUCAGCAUGAAAAGAUUCACGUCGCCGAGUGGAACCACUUUGAUGUUUCGGUUAUAUUCAUUCGACUUUAUCUUACGGACCGAAACUAUACUCCGAGUGGCAUAAUUCAAUGUUCCGAGUGACAUAAUUCAAUGUUCCGAAUGGUUUUUGGCCAAUCACGUCUCCAAGAUGACCUCGGAUGAAGGAGCACUCUUAAGGAAUUGUCUUCGUCUUGUCGAGGCAAUCGAUUUUGAUAUAUAAAUCAUCUCAAUCCGAGUUCAUAUGCAAAAGUCAGAGGCAAUACACUGCAGACCGAACCUCGACGGAAAUAUGGCGCGAGGUGCCAGACACUUGUCUGAUAGGUUGCGCGAGUAAUUCGGCCAUCAAGACGGCCUUGAAUCGAAAAACCUUCAACACGUAAAAGUUUCAUCUCAUCGAGCCGAUCGAUUUUCAUAUAUAAUUCUUCUUAAUCUGAGGUCGUAUGUGGCUUGGAGAGACAAAUCAAGAUCGGGCUAUGUUUUCAGUCGGAAAUCCGAGUGAAAAGUUUACCAUCCGAGUGAAAGUUUACGGUCGAGUGAAAAUUUACCGGUCGAGUGAAAGUUUGCUGACCGGAUGAACUUAUUAUUAUCCAAGUGGAAAUAUAGUCAUCCGAGUGGAAAUAUGAUCAUCCGAGUGAAAUUGUCGUCCAGGUGAAAAUAUUCUGAGUGAAAAGAUUACCAUCGGGACGAAAACUUGCCGAUUGAAUAAGAUAGUGCCUUCCGAGUGGAAAUAUAGUCAUCCGAGUGGAAAUAUAGUCAUCCGAGGGAAAGAUUGUCUUCCGAGUGAAAAAGUCCAAUCGGACGAUCCGAAUGAAAGUAUCUAAUAUCCGAGUGGAUGAGCUCAAGUCCGAGUGAAAUUGAACAUGCGCUCGAAAGUUUAUCAAAAUGACCUUGGAUGAAGAAGUGUUCAAUACAGAAGUUGUGCGUAUCAUCAAGACGGUAAACUUUGAUUUUGGAGUCAUCAUCAUCAGAGAUAAUAUAUAGCCCACAAAUUCAUUACGAGACUCGGAUAAUCCAGUCUACUGCAAGACCGAGUCCGACUGGAAGAUAAGGAUGACCUCGAAAAGUAUUCAAGAUGGCCUUAUUUGAAAAAGUGAUCAACAUAAGAGUUGUUCAUAUCAUCGAGGCGCAUAAGUUUGAUAUUUGGGCCGUCUCGAUCGGAGAUCAUAUGCAAGCCCGACGGCCCGCGCAAGAAGGAAGACAGAGUUUGGGCCAGAUUCAAACUGAAUCCGAGUUGGAAUAGAAUUAGGACUCUAGGACGUGAAUUGAUGUAAUUUUUCUUGUAAGGAAAGCCUAAAUGAAUCCUUUACUUGUACGGGAAGUCCAACCGCCUCUUAUAUAUGUUGGGGGUGACGGCCGAUUGAACAACACACAAUCGAACAAAUCAAUAUACUACUUUUUCAUCUACGUUUUAUCUCUCCACUGUUUUUCUUUCUCGUUCUUCGCUGUUCUUCGUGUUUGAGAGCUGCGAAUUCCGAGGCUCUAGGGGCGAGCGAAUCGACCUAGGGCAGCCCAUAGCCGCCGCACUCCCUGACGGGGUCCCUCCCGGGGGUGUGGGGUUUUCGGGUCUGCAAAAGCGCCCGUCGACUGUUUUGCGUAUCGCGCUGUCCGUCGGGUCUCCUUUGACGUGAGCUGCGGUGCAUCACCCUCGGCGUCGAGGAUACACGUGACGUGUUCGUGUGUCAACAAGAGCAUUCUAGUAUUAUACAAAACCACUUGUUAUUCUUCGAGAUCUUGGUUCAUUUCUACCUUGUGGUUCUCCAGGAAGUUCUGAAGGAUGGACAUGCAAGCUAGUCUAGAAUUAUGCAAAACCACCUGUUUUCUACCUCUACAUUUAAACCAAUGUUUCAGUAUUCUUGAAAUACUAGAUAAUUCUAAACCUACAUAGAAAAUGCAUAUGAACCUGUGGCGCUAAUCCUUACAGUGGGAACCAAACUGAACAUACAGACACGUUACUUGUGAGUAGUUCACGAAUAAUGGCCUAUAUAUAUUUGCUUCUUUGUCCCAGAGUUCCAAGUGUACCAAAUUCUGUAUAAUGCACUGUUAAUUCCAGUGAUUUGUUAUAUCUUUUGAAAAAUAUACAUUCAAUAACACUAGAACAGUUUGUAAUGCAUGCAUACCAAGUUAAGAGGCGCUGAACGGAGAUAACAGCUGAUCCCUUGUACGACAAACAAUGGACAGACCCAGACAAGGUGGGGUCUGGGGAGGGAUUAUAGGAACCUAGUCUUGCCCCUGCAAAGUGCAAUGCAGAGAGGCUUGUUCGAACCCAGGACCUCUUGGCACAAGUGGGAGGACUUCACCACUGCGCCAGGCCUGCCCUCUUGUACAACAAACAAUGGAAGUGCCAAAUUUAUAGCUUCCAAACUCAGUGUAUCAGCAACAUUUUUUUCGUCGAAUAUGCUCUCAGCAACAUUAAAGUACAAAGAUUAUAGAAGGAUCUAACUUUUAGACAUUUUUGCUUAAACUACAUGGCAAUCCUUCUUUAGAAAAAUGUAAGCAGCAAUGGUAGAGUAACUGGAGCUAUAUGCAUGCAAUUUGAUUUCAGAGGAAAAAAGAUUCAUAGAUGGACCAAACGAAAUUAAAAAACUUGAUCCAUCUCUCUUUUUGUUAAAUGAAUCUCAGACAGAGGAGAGCAUGUUCUUUAGGUUGAAAUCAAAAAAUUUGCUUAUCUUUGUGCAGCAUGGAUUUUUCAAAAUAGUUGUUUACAUUAUCUCCUUGCUUUAUAUCGAGCGAAUAUUUUUUUAGCAUUUAGUUCAGAAAACUGUAUACAGGAAGCGGGCUCUCUGUUACAGCUUGCUAGCCAUUUUUGGUUGUUAAUACGUAAGGGUGCCUUCUCUACUACAAUGAUUCAGGUUGGAUAUGCUUGCUGCCCACAUUUUUGUAAGUGAUGCUUGCUUAACUAAAAUGUCUUGUGAUUGUACUGACAUAUUACUUUUCUUCCUCAGCUAGUGCAAAUACAGAAGGGACAUCAGAAGAUUCACUCCCUGUGAUGCAUGUAUGUGAUGAUUUUGCGACCAUCAGGAUUGAUCCGUAUUAGUUCAGUGGCCCAUGAGAUGUUUGAGGGAAUGGCUGUAGUAGAUCAGCAAAUGAGUAUACAUGUAGCACUUUAGUUCAUAUAACCUAUGAUUUACUCAUAGGAGAGAGCCAUUUUUUGACCCAACUUGAGUUCUUUGAUUUUUGACAACAAUUAUUGAUGCUGCUGCUGCUGCUAAUAUUGAUCUGAAGUCACAAACAUUUCUUAGUCCAUGUAAAUUUGUACAAUAUAUGAACAUAUUGCUAUCUAAAUUCUGAAAUUACCAAACAUGGUCUUUUAUUUGUUGUGUAUGACAUCACUGAGUACUUUAAUUAAGCUAGCUGUAGUAAGAUCACAUUUUACAUGGCCGGUCUUCAAGUUAAAGGUUCUAAUACAGUUCACGUUUCCAGAUAUUUUUAAUCAUGGCGUUUGAUAUACUUCACACAUGUGUUUUUAAGCUAAGAGCUCCUAAUAUCACUGAGAGAGAUAAAAGAAUAGUAUUCAGAGAAAUCAUCUGUCCUGUGAUGAGAUUAGGUAUAGCAUUUUUUGUUUGUUUCUUCAGUAUCAUUUUAUUUUCAGUCUUCAGUUAGCUGAGCGAGCUAGAGAUAAUAUGGUAAACAAUUUCUAUCAAGUGGUUGAGCUCCUUUUUUCAAGGUCAAUCAGGUCAUUGGGCCAAGACAAUAAUAAGGUGAUUAAUCUUUUAUCAUGUGAUUUGAGCUUAUCUAGGUUCUAUAUUCUUUCAUGCCAGACUGAUACAGCAAAAGAGUAAAUCUGUUUUGUUGUACUGAAUUUUGGUAUAUUGUAGUUCUCCUAUCGACUUUCCUCGACAUAUUAAUUAUACAAAGAGUACUCCUGUUCUGCUCAGUGGAAAUUUCAGCUGAGCUGAGCAAUCUGUGCAAUUUCACAAAGCUUAUUAUGGCAUAUUUUAGUGAUUGCAUUAUUUGGGGCUAUGUUACAUCUGUAUGGUCGAAUUGAUUGCUAGAAAUGCAGAGUAACAUUUUGCCUUACGGAGUGAUAAUUAGGAGGCAUACAUAGCUGCAAGAGGGACCACUCGAAUCAAACAAGCUGCAAAUUUAGUAUCUCUAGCACUCAUGGAGAAGGUAUGCUCUUAAGAUUUUUCUGAUUCAACGUCAAGGUGGGAUUCAUAUAUGCACCACAAGGUUUGUGCAGUGUGCUUUGCAUCCAUCUCUUUUUCUGUUAAAUGAAUCUCAGGCUGAGGAGAGCAUGUACUUUAGGUUGGCAUCACUGUCAAGGACCCGCACCUCCCUGCUAAAUUGCUUAUGUUUGUGCAGCAUGGAUUUUUCAAAAUACUCCCACCGAACGGAAUUACUUGUCACAAAAAUGGAUGUAUCUACAACUAAAAUACAUCUAGAUACAUUUAUUUCUUGGACGAGUAAUUCCGAACGGAGGGAGUAGUUGUUUACAAUAUCUCCUUGCUUUAUAUUGAGUGAAUAAGAAAAAUGUAUACAGGAAACGGGCUCUCUGUUACAGCUUGCUAGCCAUUUUUGGUUGUUAAUACGUAAGGAUGCUUGCUGCCCACAUUUUUUUAAGUGAUGCUUGCUUAACUAAAAUGUCUUGUGAUUGUGCUGAGAUAUUACUUUUCUUCCUCAGCUGGUACAAGUACAGAAGGGACAGCCGAAGAUUGAAGAUCACUCUCUGUGAUGCAUGUAUGUGAUGAUUUUGCAACCAUCGGGAUUCAUCUGUAUUAGUUUAAGUGGCCCAUGAGAUGUUUGAGGGAAUGGCUAUAAGAGAUCAGCAAAUGUGUAUACAUGUAGCGCUUCAGUUCGUAUGACCUAUGAUUUACUCAUAUGGAGCCAUUUUGUGACCCAGCUUGAGUUCUUUGAUUUUUGACAACAAUUAUUGAUGCUGCUGCUGCUAAUAUCGAUCUGAACUACAUAGACAUUUCUUAGUCCAUAUAAAUUUGUACAAUAUUAACAUGUUGCUAUCUAAAUUCUGAAAUUUACUAAACUUGACCAUAAAUUUGUCGUGUAUGACUUCACUGAGUACUUUAAUUAAGCUAGUUGUAGUAAGAUUACAUUUUACAUGGCCGUUGUUAAAGUUAAAGGUUCUAAUACAGUUUACAUUUCCAGAUAUUUUGAAUCAUGCUGAUUAAUAUACUUCACACAUAUGUUUUUAAGCUAAGAGCUCCUAAAACUGUUUCUCCUAAAUGCAACUGCUAAUUCGGUAUCAAGUGGCGGGGGCGGAAAUAUGGUAAACAAUUCCUAUCAAGUGAUUGAGCUCCUUUUUUCGAGGCCAGUAACAAGGAGAUUAAUCUUUUAUUAUGUCAUUUGAGCUUCUCUAGGUUCUAUUUUCUUUCAUGCCAUAAGCUACGAUCUUUUGGUUAGACCUACUGAUACAAUGAAACAGUAACUCUGUUUUGUUGUGGUGAAUUUCUGUACAUUAUAUUUUUCUUAUCGACUUUCCUCAGCAUAAGUUAAUUCUAGAAAAGGAUGCUCCUAUUCUGCUCAGUUGAAAUUUCAGAUGAGCUAUCUGUGCAGUUUCACAAAGCUUAUUAUGACAUUAUUUUGGUGGUUGCGUUAUUGGUGGCUAGAAAUUCAGAGUGACAUUUUGUCUUAGGAAGUGAUAAUUAAGCAGACAUACCUAGCUGCAAAAGGGAGCGCUCGAAUCAAACAAGCUGCUAAUUUAGUACCUCUAGCACUCAUCCAAAAGGUAUGCUCUUCAGAUUUUUCUGAUUCAACACAAGUAGAAGUGAACAGAGGAGGGGACAAGAUGCAUGCUUCCCUUAACUUGCUGAUGAUGACUGAAUUAGUCUUUGAGGCCGCCGAGGAGGCCUGCGCAACAGACGAGGUACUCUUGGAGCGUACAAGGGCGAGCAAGAGGCACUAGAUUCAGCUCCGGUAUCUUCUCGCGGUACUGUUUCAUUGCUUUACAUUCUAGAAAUCCUGGCACAUCUGUGGUGAACACAAACGACGGAUCAGCAGUCUUGUCUGCCAGAUACCGCACGCCGACGGGAGGGCAGCGGGCACCGCGCGCCCCCAUGUACACGGCGUUCCCUGCCACGCAUGGAAACCUCCUGGCCGAGAGGGAGAAGCACGCCACAUCCCCGACAAACACGGCGCGGUGGCGGCCAAUGUCCUCCACCGGAACAAGUCUCUUCCCGGCCACAUCCACCUCAAACAACUGAAUCAGGUUCCACCGUUGCGCCUUCACAUGGUGCUCCACCCUGAUCACGUCCAUGACCUUCCUCCUGCGUUUCAUGAUUCUUUGCUCGUCGGCGCUGAGGUGAUCAAGGUUGAGGUAGUAGCGCACCAUGAGCAUGCCACCGCAGCGGUGGUCAUCCGGAGGGACGAGGUAGCAGAACAUGUUGUACUGGGUGUUGGGCUGGUCCACAACCACGGGCACCAGACGAGGCUCUGGGCAGAGCCUUACCUGUAUUAUGUACCCCUCGACAGUUGCAAAGUAGAAGCACCCCCGCAUGGUUGAGGCCGACGAGAAUCGACAUGACAAGGGUUGGUCUGGCCUCCACAUCUCGUCAUCCACCACCGCCCAACGCUGGUCACCAGGAUUGGCGUAGGCUACGGCACGCCCAAGGUGACGGUCAGCCAUCAGGAGCACGACUGACGAUGGGGAGGUCUCGUCAGAGACGCCGGCGUAGAUGAUGCGUGCCGCGGACUGGACGGCCCCGUCCAGACGGCGUACGCGCCGCCAAGGUCCUCGGUGAUGGGCGGGAGGUCGGUGAGGGCCCUGGUGAGCGGGUUGAGCAGGCGCACUGCGUGGCUCGCCUUGUCGCGCAGGAGCAGGAGGCCCUCGGUGCUGGUCUCGAGGUGGUGUAGAGAGAGCUCCGGGAGGUCGACGCGGGCGCUGGCGCCGGUGGAGAGGUUGAGGAAGCGGCGUCCGUCGCCGUCGGCGCGAUUGGACAGCAUGAUCCAGCGGCGGGGACGGAAGCGGGGGUCCAGGUGAUUGCACCCCUCACGACUCACGAGGGUCAGCGGUGCAUUUCCUCCACUCCUUGCAAGAGGCGCGGAGGCGGAUGUACUCGGCCACGUCGUGGCUGAGCAGCCGGCCGGCGAUGUCGUCGACGAGCGCCGUCGGCAGGUUGGGCCAAUCUCGCCUGCCCGUGUAGAUUAGACUAUCGUCAGAGAAGCAAGAGGAAAUUGGAUAGAAGGAAGGCUAACCCACCUUGUUGCUGCGUGCCUAUCUAUGCAAAACCCUAGGACGAAAAUGGGCCGUAGAGGAAAAUGGGCUGGUUGGUAGCUGUGAGGUUCGGCGCUGCGGGCAGAUUUGACGGGCGGCAGUUUUUCUAAAAAGAAAAAGAGUCAAUUACACCACAGGUGUUUAAACUUGGCACAAAAAGUCAGUUUAGUGCUGAAACUUGUGGCAUACGUCGAUCUGGUUACAAAACUUGGCUUGAUCGUUCAUAUACGGUCAGAAUCACGUUUGGAUACGAAUAGAGGGCUGAUUGGGAUCGCCAGCGUGGCGACGGGCCCAUUGUCAGUGCCUGCAAGGCGCGGGCAGAGGCGUGUGGCCUGGGUGUUUGCAGAAAACCCCCUGGAAGCUUUAUUUUUAUCACGAAAAAGCCCCUGCACAGGCGGGAGAGGUUUGGCCUGUUAGUUAUAUGGCCCCGCAUAUGGCUGAAUCAGUUUACCCAAACCCUCCCUCAUCGACUCCCUCGCCUCGUGCUCUCCUCCUAUGUCUCUCCUCUUGAUCGUUUGCAGGUCACGGCGGCGUUGAUCGGAGCGACGGCAUUGAUCGGCGGCGUCGAUGACGAUGGAGCCCCGUCGGCGAGAUCCCAGGGAACCAGCCCCUGUAUAUGGUGAGCAUGCCCUCUAUCUCUCUCUCUGUCCGCCACCUCUUUCUCCCCUGUUUAUGUUAGGGUUUUAGUCAAUGUGCUCGAAUCGGUGAAAACCUUUAAUUGGCCUUGAUUUCGUCAGUGGAUGCUUGCUAGAUGCCCUGACGUAAGAAGCCCCCUUUCCAUUCAUCCGUAAUGUGGGCUGUUUAUAAGAUUUCUCGCAGGUCCAAACGGGCUCUGUUUUCGUGAUCUGAAAUAUUCAGAUAUCUGUGAAUAAUUAACCCCCCCGUGUAGAAGAUUAUUAGAACAUGUUUGCUCCAGUGAAACCAUUGGAUGUGGUACAGCAGCUUGUAUUUUUGAUGAAAUUGUACUUAACUGAAUUUCGACACUUGCUAACUGAACCUUCGACAGUUGAUAACUGAAUAUUUGGACAACAGUAGAUAUUUGAAAGUUAGGAAUUUUGAGUAGUUUGUUUGUUGUUUUUUCAGUAAGCAGUGUUAACUACAAAUCCAGUAGUUAGAUCCAUUAUUUGUGACUGGACAUGACAGAAUCGUAAUGGAAUUUGACAUUAAUGUUAAAUGAAGAUGUGCAUUCUCAACUGAAUUUAUUUUGGUUGUGUGAACUAUAGAUCCCUGUUUUUUUUCUUUGCACUCGAUUGCAGAUGCAUGCUAUUUUUGGCACUAUGAAGUGAACAUGUUAGCUGUUUUAAGCAUAAUUAAUUGAAGAUGUGUAUAGUUUACUAAAUGUUUUUGCAUUCUUUGCAUUGUAGGUGAUUUUGAUGGGCGGUUCACGGUUGAAAUUCAUCACAGAGGAUUUUUCUGUGGAGCUGACAACAACAGAAGCUACAUUGACUAUGAAGUUGACUGGUUUGAUCACUGUGACUCUGACACUUGGUCCAUACUGUGGAUUGAAGACUUUGUGAAGCAGCUGGGCUAUGAUAGAGAAACAGGGCAGCAUGUUGUAUACUGGUGUCAGUCUGGUAGGACAGUUAAAGAAGGAAUGAGAGAGAUGACUUGUGAUGCUGAUAGCCUUGCAAUGAUAGCAGCUAGUACAUUCCACAAGAAUCUGUUGCUGCUCAUAGACCAUGGAGAGACACCGAGCAACCUUCUUAGAGAUGAUGUUCCAGUUGAUGGACUGCCUGAGUUGCCAAAGGUCGUAACCCCAACAAAAGAUGGCAAGGGCAAAGAACAAGCUAGCUCAGCUGAAGAGAGAAGUGACUCAACUAAAAGGAGAGCAAGGAGAUUGUUUACUAAAGCAACAUAUUCAGGAUGUGCUUCUGAAGAAACGGAGGAAGAAGAUGAAAAUGGUGCAGCAGGUUCAGACACAGAUGAGGAAUUCUAUGAAAGUGACUAUGAUAUUAUGGACGGGGAUGAUGAUCUGUUUGAGGAACAUGUUGACAAAGAGGUGGAUGAUCAUAGAGAGAAGGUUUACACAUGUGACUAUGAAACAGAGCUAGCUGAAGAUGCUCUAGAUGAUCCAACCAUAAUGUUAUCCAAAGAAGAGAGGGACAAGCUCAAGUACAACUUCAAGGCUUUUAAUCCAGAAACUGAUUUGAAUGCCCCUGUAUUCAGAUUAGGUAUGGUGUUUGGUACUGUUGAGGAGCUCAGGCAUGCUAUUACCUCUUACAGCAUCAGAAAUAGGGUUCCAAUCAAAAAGACCAGAAACACAUCAACUACAGUAGAAGCAGUAUGCAUUGAUGAUUGCCCAUGGUACUUGAAAGCAGGGUUGGACAACAGGAAAAAUAGCUUUGUGAUCAAGAAGUACUUUGAUGAGCACACAUGCCCUAAGACAUGGAAGCUCAAGGGUCUGACUGCUCCAUUUUUAACCAAGAAAUUCAGAGAUGAGUUCAGGGGCAAUGAGAAGAUGCCAUUGCAGAAAUUUGAGGAGAAGGUUCAGCAAGAGUACAAUCUAAUUCCAAGCAGGAGCAAAUUGGGAAGAGCUAGAAGAGCAUCAGUAAAGCAGAUCAGAGGUGAGGAUGAUGACCAGUAUAAGAUGCUAUGGGAUUAUGGAGAGGAGUUGAGACAAACAAACCCUGGCAACAAGUUCUACCUUUGCACAAAGGAGAUCUUUGAUGAAAAGACCAAGGAGACAAAAGAACAUUUCUCAACUUUGUACUGGUCACUGGAUGCGUGCAAGAGAGGUUGGUUGAUGGGAUGUAGGCCAAUAAUAUUUGUAGAUGGAUGUCACAUUAAGACCAGGUACAAAGGGAAUUUACUGACAGCGGUGGGCAUUGACCCCAAUGAUUGUAUUUUCCCCCUAGCAUUUGGGAUUGUGGAAGUGGAGUCCACUAGCAGCUGGGAGUGGUUUUUGGCUAGCCUAAAGGAUGACCUCAACAUAUGCAACACCUCUCCAUACACAAUAAUGAGUGAUAAGCAAAAGGUAUGUGCAACACCUUAUAUUUUUUUACCUUAUUGCUUGCUAUAAUAUAGUGUAGUUAGAUUUAAUGGAUACUUGCAUUGUUUAUGUGUUCUCCAGGGUCUUAUAGCUGCAGUUGCAAAGGUGUGGCCAGAUGCUGAACACAGAUUUUGUGUCAGGCAUAUGUAUCAGAAUUUCCAUAAGCUUCACAAGGGGGAACAACUAAAGAAUAAUCUAUGGGCUAUUGCAAGAGCCACUAACAAUCCAACAUACAAAAAAGCAAUGGAGAAGAUGAAGGCGGACAGUGUGCAUGCAUACAAAUGGGUUGAGAAAUGGCCACCAAGAACAUGGAUUAAAGCUUUUUUUAAUCCUUUUCCAAAGUGUGACAUCCUGCUCAAUAAUAUGUCUGAAGUAUUUAAUAGGUACACAUUUCUUGGCUGUGCUUUUCUGAACUGUUAAAUGCACUAAAAUGUUAAAUGAAAUGAACUAACAAGUUUUUUCAUUUGAAAUGACAGCUGGAUUUUGCCAUCCAGAGAACUUCCUAUUUUCUCCAUGGUGGACAACAUAAAUAGCAAGAUAACAGCAAGGUUGUACAACAAGCAGAAGGAAGUUGCACAAGAUAGGAAAUGGAGUAUGAGAUUGUGCCCAAAAAUUCAGAAAAAGUUGGACAAGUACACUGAUUGGGCUGCAAACUGCAUGGUCUUUGGAGCUGGUCAGAAAGUUUUCAAGGUUGUUUCAAUGAACCACUCCUACAUAGUGGACUUGGAAAUGGAAACCUGUGACUGCAAGAGAUGGGACCUGUCCGGCAUCCCAUGUCACCAUGCUAUUGCUUGUGCUAGAAAUGAGAGAAUUGAUCCUGGAAGCCUGGUGCAUGAGUGCUAUUCAGUAGAGACAUACAAAAAGGCUUAUGCUUUCAAUGUAAAACCUGUGAGGGACCAGGAACAUUGGACUAAGAUGUAUGGCAUUGAUGUACAUCCACCUGUGUACACUAAAGUAAUGGGCAGACCAAGGAGGAAUAGAAAAAAAGAUCCAGAAGAGAAGUUGAUGAAAGAAGGAGGGAAGAAGCUGACAAAGCAUGGUGUAACCAUGCACUGCUCUCUUUGUGGAAGUGCAGGUCACAACAAGAAAGGGCAUAAGAAGUGGGAGGAGACCAACAGAGAUGCACCGCAACCUACAAAUGUUGCAUAUGAUGAAGAAGAGGAGUAUGAUGAUCCUACAAUCAUUUCUGUAAGAUGUAACAUGUUGACCAACUCAAUUUACUGCUCAUAUACACUUGGCAACAUAUACUGACAAGUUGUUUCUGCUUUCUUUAGAACAUUAUGCCACACACAGUACAUGCACACAUGGAUCCAAGUCAAACCCCAGGGUCCAUGGUUUAUCUCAUGCAGCAAAUGGUAACCUUCUGUUGACCAUGUUAAUUUUUUUGGUUUCUGAAUUUUUGUCUAAUUGUGCAUUUUGGUCCAUCAGGAGAGGAGAGCAUACAUUCCAAGCAUGGAUCAUGGACCUCUUCCAGAAUCUACAUUUGUUGCACAAGCAAGAAAUGACAUACCCCCUCCCAGGGUUACAACUGCUAUGUCAAGAGGCAGGGUUAGAAGAAGAGGAAUCACUGAAGACAUACCAGAAGAUGUACCACAGUCGAGCAACCAAGCAGCUACAGCUUCAAGAGGAAGAAAGAGAAGAGCUGCUGGAGCUGGUGGAGCAGUUGGCAGGGUAGGCAGAGGAUCUGUAGGAGCAGUAGGCAGGGGAGGAAGAGGUUCUGGAGGAGCACACAACAAGGGAGGCAUGGGAGCUAGGGGAUUAGCCGGCGGAGCAGACGGAGGAUAUGUACAACAGUCAAGCAACCAAGCAGCUGGAACAAGAGCAGGGGAAGCAUAUACUGGACCAGGUGCUGGGUUCUGGAACCUUAUGUUUGGACCAAAUUCCGAUAGUUCUUAUGUGCAAGCAGAAGAGGAGCCAGUGACACAAAAUGCACCAGAAGAAGACUGGACUGGUGAUUUCCAAAGCUUAUAGGUCACAAUGCCAAGUGACUUAGUUCAUGAGUGAAUUAGAUACAAGUGCAAGUUUAUGUAUGAACUUUCGUCAUAAGACAUGCCAUAAGACUAUUUUCCCUUUUGUUUAUGCUGUAAUGUGAGGAUUUGAACAAGUGUUUCGCUGCUCUCUUUAAGACAAAAAUGCAGUACUAAUGAUGCUCUGCUGCAAUGAAGUUUCAAAUUGUCCUGUCAAAAACUGCUAUUUUUUCUUUACUGUGUUACUAACAAAAACUGCACUUUCUGAUAUUUUGAUGUCAAAACUGCAUAUGCAAAUCUGCAGGACAAACUGAUGCUUAUGCAUUUCUCUGAAUUCAUACAGACAAAAACUGCAUACACAAAUUGUUUUCCUCUGUUUUAGUUGUAUGAUUCUAAAGCACAAAUACUGAUUCAUCGAAUGGUAAUAUGGAAUUCUAAAGCACAAGCCACAAAAUACUUUGAAAUUCAGCAAAGAGUCGAUACAAAUUUUCAACACUGCCAAAUGACCUACUACACUGGAAUGACAACAUCACUUCUUGUCGGCCAUAGCAAACAUGAUUGCAACUAACUCAAAGUACAUGAACACAGCAAGCAUAAUCAUCCUAUCUCUAGCUAGAUUGUAACUGAUCUUUGUGCAUCCUUCCAAUCAUCUUCUUCUCCGGUCCGCGCUUCUCCUUCUCAGCUUCAAUCUGACCAUCUUUCUGCAUUAUCUUCUUCUCCAACACCUCAUUCUUGUUAGCAAGUUCAGCAAUGAUAGUCCUUUCCCUCCCCUCCCAUGGCUUGUCAAUCCAAUUGAAAUAACCACAUGUCCUAGCAUCCUGUAGAGGCACACAUUGCAGACUAUUAAGUACAUACACACAUUAAUUUGGUCAUGACAAAACGACAACCAGUGAUGUAACAGCAGUGGAGAGGGAUUUACCUGAUGCUUGCCCUAGUACACGACCGAGGUAAUCUUGGCCCAGGGUUCGUCUUCCUCCUCCAUCCACCAUCCUGGUUAUGCCGGUCCCUCCCAUCUAGAAACAGGGGCGGAUAGGUCCGAGAUGUGAGAGAGAAGAACAGUCAGAGGUCUAAGAGAGGGGUACUGAAAGAAGAAAUGUGUGAGCUAAACGCCGCCGCCACCGCCGCUGUGCCACUGGGCCGCUGCACCGCUGUGGCGCCGCCGUCGCCGUUGUGCCUCUGCUGGGCCGCUGUGUGCCGCCGCCGCUGAUGUGCCUCCGCUGGGCUGCUGUGCGCCGCCCUCGCUGCGCCGCUGCGCCACNNNNNNNNNNNNNNNNNNNNNNNNNNNNNNNNNNNNNNNNNNNNNNNNNNNNNNNNNNNNNNNNNNNNNNNNNNNNNNNNNNNNNNNNNNNNNNNNNNNNNNNNNNNNNNNNNNNNNNNNNNNNNNNNNNNNNNNNNNNNNNNNNNNNNNNNNNNNNNNNNNNNNNNNNNNNNNNNNNNNNNNNNNNNNNNNNNNNNNNNNNNNNNNNNNNNNNNNNNNNNNNNNNNNNNNNNNNNNNNNNNNNNNNNNNNNNNNNNNNNNNNNNNNNNNNNNNNNNNNNNNNNNNNNNNNNNNNNNNNNNNNNNNNNNNNNNNNNNNNNNNNNNNNNNNNNNNNNNNNNNNNNNNNNNNNNNNNNNNNNNNNNNNNNNNNNNNNNNNNNNNNNNNNNNNNNNNNNNNNNNNNNNNNNNNNNNNNNNNNNNNNNNNNNNNNNNNNNNNNNNNNNNNNNNNNNNNNNNNNNNNNNNNNNNNNNNNNNNNNNNNNNNNNNNNNNNNNNNNNNNNNNNNNNNNNNNNNNNNNCCGCUGCGCCACUGUGGCGCCGCCGUCGCCGCUGUGCGCCGCCGCGCUGUGCCGCUGUGGAGCUGCCGCCGCUGGCGUGCAGCCGCUCUGCUGAACCAAGGGAAGAGCCGCCACUCUGCUAUGGAAUUGGGGAUCGUGGGUUAGUGAUUUUAGACAUACAAAAUUCAGAUCGUGGGGUUAUAUGUGGUCGCGUGGCUUUUUCAUGAUAAAAAUAAAGCUUCCAGGGGGUUUUCUGCAAACACCCAGGCCACACGCCUCUGGCCGCGCCUUACAGGCACUGACAAUGGGCCCGUCGCCACGCUGGCGAUCCCAGUCAGCCCUCUAUUCGUAUCCAAACGUGACUAUGACCGUAUAUGAACGAUCAAGCCAAGUUUUGUAACUAGAUCAAUGUAUGCCACAAGUUUCAGCACUAAACUGACUUUUUAUGCCAAGUUUAGACACAUGUGAUGUAAUUGACUCAAAGAAAAACAACAACAACAAAAUUGACGGGCGGCUUUGCUACACGCACAUGCAUUUUUUUUAUUACGGGGCUGCUACGCGUUGGCCGACGAUCUUGAGAGGUCUGAACUGAGAAAAUCAAGCGGCUAAACGGGUUUCUCUUCUUUCCAACAAAGUUUUCGUUGAGGAAACAUUUGUAACAGAGUUUGUGUUGUGGAUUUUUUUUUUGCAACAUAGGUUGUGUUGCAGGAUUUAUUUUUUUGCAACAUAGGCCCUUGCAAAAAAAAAUAGGCCCUUGCAGAAUUUUGUUGUCUUCAUUUUUUUGGAAACAUAGGUAUUGUUGCAAAAAAAAAUUGUAACUGAGGUGAUGUUGCAUUUUUUUUUUAUCUUUGUCUUCACCUUUAUAUGGUGUUACGGAAGAAAGUUUUGCAACAUGACUGAUGUUGCAGAAAUCUUUCUUGCAACAGAUUGAAUGUUGCAAAACAAAACAUCACCAUCGUUCACCGCGAGCAUGUUGGACAGUGGUGAGGGAGGACUGGCGCCACCCUUUCCUGCUAUGGCGCUGCCGUCGGCGAGUGGCGGACCUCCGACAAGGUCGCCUCACCAAGUGAGGUGGCGCACCGUGCACGGCCAGACGUCAUGGUGGAGGCGGGCGACAACGGUGACGACCGUGCGAGACCCCGGCUGCGACGACAGACCGAGAUGGCGACCAGUUGUAGAUUUUAUUUUUUACAACAGAGCACCAAGGUCACCCGGCGCCAGGGAGCGGGAGGAGUCACGGACGCCAUGGUGGAUUGGUGUUGGAGGAUGGGAGUUGGGGAUGGUGUUGGAUCUGCUCAAAGGAAGCCUCCUGUGAGGAUAAGGCGAAGAAGAGGUAGCAACGUUCGUGCGUUGUUUGUGGGAGGCGGCGGAUAAAACCACGAGAUCGACCAGACGAAAGAAAUCAUUUCCCUUUUUUUAUAUGAACUAUAGGCGGCGAAAGAAAAUAAACUUUUUUAAAAGAUCUAGGCCAUUAGAUAUGAUCAAUCUGGCGGCUGACGUCUUCUUAUGGUUUGCAACAAACACCUUGUUGCGGAAAUAUUUGCAACAUAGGUUGCGUUGCGGAUUUAUUUAUUUUUCAACAUAAGUUAUGUCACGGGAAUUUAUUGCAACAUAGGCUGUGUUGCGGUUCUUUUCUAUCUUCACUCUUUUGAAAAUAUAGAGAUGAGAGAAGAAGAGAGGAACGCGAUGUUUACUACACGAAGAGGUACGUCUCGUAUUUCCUUGAGUGGGGCAUUGAGGGCACGUAGCGCUCAAAGAAGGUGACGGAAGCGUCGAUUGUUUUGAGCCGGUUGACGCUGAACGUUUCCCUUUUUCCUCACCAAAGUAAAUAAAUUUACAAAAAAAUGAACAUUUUCAAAAUUUGCUCACAAACUUUUCAAGACUCGGACAUUUUUUGGGAGUCAACUUUUUUUGCAAAAUAAAGGAACAAAAUUGAAAACGAGAACAUGUUUCAAAACUACGAACAACUUUUUCAAAAUGCGAACAUUUUUUUUAAAAAAAGGAGCAAAAUUGAAAAAGCCUAACAAUUUCCAAAAAUAUGAAUAUUCUCUUCAAAACACGAAUAUUUAUGAAAUUCUCCCAAACCUUUUUCAAUUUGUGAACAAAUUAUGUAAACAUGAUUUUGUUUUCUUAAUUUGUGAAGAAAUUUUGAAAAAAGGAACAUCUUUUGAGAAAAUGGUAAUGAAUAAUUUUGCCAAGGGAAAUACUAUCGCUCACCCGGCAGAUCUCGCGAAACAUCGACCGCCUUGUUUGAUCGACGCGCGUCCCAUGGACCCACUUUCUAAACAUCAAGCCUCCUCUUAUCCAGUCGCUCAUCCUAGUCCUCCAAGCUUAUCAUCUCAUGUUUGUUUCCAAGGCGCUGUUCCAUUGCACAUCAAGACGGGAUGUGCGUCGACUGAUAGCCACCAGCCACCCGGCUGCUGCAUUCCGUCCCCCCAGGGUACUGGAGCCGCUGGACUGCGCCACCCGCCUCUGCGAGGCAUGCCGUGCCAAAGCCUGCGUCCGCCAUUCCACGUCAUUGUCGUCCUAGAGGAGCACUGGCGUCCAUGGCUGCCGCCUCCUCGAGCUCACCCACAUCUGGUGCCGCCGCAACAACAUUUCCUACAACAUGAUCUUUGUUGCAUAAAUUUCUGAAACAUGACCUCUGCUGUAAAAAAGAUUACACACGUUUCUGUAACAUGAUAUUUGCUGCAAAAAAAAAUCUACAAACAUUUCUGUAACAUGAUCUCUGCUACAAAAAUAUUCUGCAACACAACCUCUGUUGCAAAUAUUUUUGCAACAAGAUCUCUGUUCCAAAAGGGUUUUUGCAACAAGACUUCUCUUGCGGAAGUAGAAGACCACACGUGGCUGCUCGAUUAUACAAGAUAUUAUGGUAAAAGAUCAGCCGGCCGACGCGUAGUACUCCCCUUUUGCCAAACGCAAACAUUUUCGUAGUUUCCCGGACACUUUUUGAAUUUGUGAACAAAUAGUGGAAACAUGAACAAAUUUUGAAAACAAAAACAUUUUCUGAAAUCAGUGAACAUUUUUUAAUAUGUAAACAAGAUUAAAAAAUGCAAGAAUUUUCGGAAAUUUUAAUCUUUUUGAAUUUUUGAACAUUUUUUAAAAAAAAUGAACAAAUUUUGAAAUACUAAAACUUUCCGAAUUUCUGAACAAAAUCUGGAAAAUUUAACAAAUUUUAAGAAAUACAAACAUUUUUAAAUUCCAAAAAAAAUUGGUGAAAAAAUAAAAUAAACUUGAAAAGGAAAAUCUAAAGAAACUAAAAGGCAAAUAAAAAGAAAAAAGGAAAAGGGAAAACGAAAAUUUGAAAGGAAAAAAUAAAAAAUGGUUUGGGAACUUCUAGAAGGCUCCCAAAACCAGGAAUGCCAUGGAGUUUAAACAGAAGUGUCUAAAAGUUAGAUCCUUCUAUAUUCUUAUACCUUGACGUUGCUGAAAGCAUAUUCGGCAAACAAAAAAAUGUUUCUUUCAGACUGAGUUUGGAAGCUAUAAUUUUUACACUUUCAAUGUUAGUCAUUGUGUUGUCGUACAAAGGAUCAACUGCUAUAUCCAGUUCGGCGCUACUUAACUAGGUACGCAUGCAGUCUGAAGUUACAAACUGUUGUAGUGUUACUGAGCGUAUAUACUUUCUCAAACGAUAUGACAAAUCGGUCCAAUCAAUAGUGCAGUAUUCGGAACUUGGUACGCGCUUACGACUCUGGGAUAAAUAAAGAAGCAAAUAUAUGUAGGGUUUGGUGUUGGAACAACUCAAGAGUAACGUCCGUCUGUGUGUUCAGUUUGGUUCCCGCUGUCCGGAUCGGCACCAUAGGUUCAUAUGCAUUUUCUGUGUAGCUUCAGAACUCUCUAGUAUUUCAAGAACACUGAAAUAUCAUUUUCUAUACUGGCUUGUAUGUUCAUCCUUCAGAACUUCCUGGAGAACCACAAGGUAGAAAUCAACCAAGAUCUUGAAGAAUACGUCAGCUCAAAUUUAAGACAGAACAACAAGUGGUUUUGUACAAUAUACUAGUAGAAUGCUCUGUCCAUCUUUCAGAUUUUCCUGAGGAAAACACAAGCAGAAAUGAACAUAGGAGGAGACAACAUGCUACCCUUAACUUGGUGAUGAUGACCUCCUGAAUUAGUCUUUGAGGCCGCCAAGGAGGCCUGCGCAACAGACGAGGUACUCCUGGAGGGUACAGGGGCGAGCAAGAGGCAGUAGAUUCAGCUCUGGAUCUGCUCUGGCGGUACCGUUUCACUGAUAUAUCGUCUAGAAGCCCUGGCACGUCGGUGGCGAACACAAACGACGGAUCAGCGGUCUUGUCCGCCAGAUACCACACGCCGACGGGAGGGCAGCGGGCACCGCGCGCCCCCAUGUACACGGCGUUCCCUGCGACGCAUGGAAGCCUCUUGGCCGAGAGGGAGAAGCACGCCGCGUCCCCGACAAACACGGCGCGGUGCCGGCCAAUGUCCUCCACCGGCACAAGUCUCUUCCCGGCCACAUCCACCUCAAACACCUGGAUCAGGUUCCACCGUUGCGCCUUCACAUGGUGCUCCACCCUGAUCACGUCCAUGACCUUCCUCCUGCGUUUCAUGAUUCUCCGCUCGUCGGCGCUGAGGUGGUCGAGGCUGAGGUAGUAGCGAACCAUGAGCAUGCCGCCACCGCGGUGGUGGUCGUCGGGAGGGACGAGGUAGCAGAACAUGUUGUAGUCGGUGUUGGGCUGGUCCACGACCACGGGCACCAGACGAGGCUCUGGGCAGAGCCUCACCUGUAUUAUGUACCCUUCGACAGUUGAGAAGUAGAAGCGCCCCUGCAUGGUUGAGGCCGACGAGAAUCGACAUGACAUGGGUUGGUCUGGCCUCCAUAUCUCGUCAUCCACCACCGCCCAACGAUGGUCACCAGGGUUGGCGUAGGCUAUGGCACGCCCAAGGUGACGGUCAGAGCACGACUGACGAUGGGGAGGUUUCAUCAGAGACGCCGGCGUAGAUGAUGCGCGCCGCGGAAUGGAACGGCCCCGUCCAGACUGCGUACGCGCCGCCAAGGUCCUCGGUGACGGGCGGGAGGUCGGUGAGGGCCCUGGUGAGCGGGUUGAGGAGGUGCACGGCGUGGCUCGCCUUGUCGUGCAGGAGCAGGAGGCCCUCCGCGCUGGCCUCGAGGUGGUGCCGGGAGAGCUCCCGGAGGUCGACGCGGGCGCUGGCGUCGGUGGAGAGGUUGAGGAAGCGGCGGCCGUCGCCAUCGGUGCGAUUGGACAGCAUGAUCCAGCGCCGCGGCCGGAAGCGCGGGUCCAGGUGGUUGCGUCCCUCGCGCGGGUCGGCGGUGCAUCUCCUCCACUCCUUGCACGCGGCGUGGAGGCGGAUGUACUCGGCCACGUCGUGUGAUAUAGGGUGGAACCCUAAGUGGAGAUAUUUCACGAAUUGGAGGGGGAAUCCCCAAGAUCAAGAUGAACACAAAAGAGAAAACAAGAGGAACACUCAAGAACAAGUCUAAUCACACAUCCACUAGACAAUCAAACACACAAAAUCCACAAGGUACAUGAACAAUCAAAGGGAAAUAAAAUACAUGGUAGAGUUCAUCCCAAAUCCUAUGAAGGAGAUGAGGGCUUGAUGAAUCCCUUAGGAUCUUCUCCAAUGGAGGCCUUGAACUCCAAUGGAGUCUCCUCUCUCAAGAGGAAUCCCACAAGGGGAGAUACAUGAGCUAAGCUCUAGUGUUUAGAUCUAUUCUUAGCUAAGUCUAAAUGGAGGAGAUGAAGGAGUAUAUAUAGUCCUAGGCAAAGAGAGGGAUAAGUGGGGGCAAAAUGGUAAAACAAGGGCAAAGCCCGCAGCAUCACACAGGGGGGCCCGUGCACACGGGGUAUCCAGAGACCCGACGCAUGAGCCUGUGCGCACGGGGUCCAUGAGGCCCGUGGACACGGGGGUCCCGUGGGCAUGGUACACGCCUGUGCGCACGGGGUCUUCAGGACUGCCAGCCUGGGAUGCCCGUGGGCACGAGGUCGGAAGGGCCCGUGCGCACGGGGUCGCCUGGGAGUUGUUGCCUUCUUCUUGGCGCUUCCUUCUCCGCUUCCAGGCUUCCCUCUUGGAUGGUGUAUAUGUUCUUUUCCGCAUGAACUCGUCCUCGCUAUGCUUGAAGCUCCGACAAUACCUAUGAAUGCACGCGGAAGGAAUGUCAAGUAGUAUACCAUCCUCAAAGGGGUCAAGUGAACACGUGUAAAGGAGAUGAUUCACCUUUAUGUAUGUGAAGUAGAUGUGGCACGUGUCACUUGCCAAACGAACUCUUGACAUGGUGAUGUCCAUAGGAUGCUCCGCAUCAUCCCCUCCCCCUUGGGAGAGAUCCGACCUCGGAUCGAAAUCCAAAUCACCAUGGGAAAGAGAUGAUGGUUUCGUGUAGAAGUUGACUUUCACCAAGCAUGCAUCAUCUUGUAGUUGCAAAUGGGCACUCUCCAAUGUCGCAUGGUCUUGUAAUUCCUUCAAAAGGAGCAAAGAUAACAAGCACUUGGAAAAACAAAUGUGGUUGGCGUAAGAGCAAAACCAAGCAUUCAAGAGGUGAUUCACCCAACAAGUGUUGUUAUCAAGCAUAGCAUAUGGUUUGACCAAGAAGUGUGGCAUGGAAUUUAAACAUAUAAGGUGAGCACAAUCAAGGACAUCAUGGAAACAAGUAUGCAAAUGGGAGGUAAAGAUGCUAAUAUGUGUGACAGGUUGUUGGGGAACAUAGCAAAAAAACAAAAAAUUUCCUAGGGUUUCACCAAGAUCCAUCUAUGAGUUCAUCUAGCAAUGAGUGAUCGGAUGCAUCUACAUACCUUUGUAGAUCGCGAGCGGAAGCGUUCAAAGAACGAGGAUGAGGUAGUCGUACUCGAUGUGAUCCAAAUCACCGGAGAUCCUAGCGCCGAACGGACGGUACCUCCGCGUUCAACACACGUACGGUCAGCGUGACGUCUCCUCCUUCUUGAUCCAGCAAGGGGUAGGAGAGGUUGAUGAAGAUCCAGCAGCACGACGGCGUGGUGGUGGAUGCAGGGCAUCACAGUAGCAGGGCUUCGCCGUAUACUACGCGACAGAGAGGUGCAGCAGGGGAGAGGGAGGCGCCAAGACACAAGGUGCGGCUGCCCCCUCCCUCCCCUUCAUAUAUAUAGGCUCCCCUAGGGGGGGCUCCGGCCCUAGGAGAUGAGAUCUCCUAGGGGGGAGGCGGCCAGGGCUGGAGUAGCCCCCAAGGCAAGGUGGGGUGCCCCCCCACCCCUAGGGUUCCAACCCUAGGCGCAUGGGGUGGGCCUAGGGGGGCGCACCAGCCCACUAUGGGCUGGUUCCCCUCCCCACUUUGGCCCAUGGGGCCCUCCGGGAUGGGUGGCCCCACCCGGUGGACCCCCGGGACCCUUCCGGUGGUCCCGGUACAAUACCGGUGACCCCGAAACUUGUCCCGAUGGCCGAAACAGCACUUCCUAUAUAUAAUUCUUUACCUCCGGACUAUUCCAAAACUCCUCGUGACGUCCGGGAUCUCAUCCGGGACUCCGAACAACAUUAGGGUUACUACAUAUACAUAUCUUCACAACCCUAGCGUCACCGAACCUUAAGUGUGUAGACCCUAUGGGUUCGGGAGACAUGCAGACAUGACCGAGACGACUCUCCGGUCAAUAACCAACAGCGGGAUCUGGAUACCCAUGUUGGCUCCCACAUGCUCCUCGAUGAUCUCAUCGGAUGAACCACGAUGUCGAGGAUUCAAGCAACCCUGUAUACAAUUCCCUUUGUCAAUCGAUAUGUUACUUGCCCGAGAUUCGAUCGUCGGUAUCCCAAUACCUUGUUCAAUCUCGUUACCGGCAAGUCACUUUACUCGUACCUUAAUGCAUGAUCCCGUGACCAGACACUUGGUCACUUUGAGCUCAUAAUGAUGAUGCAUUACCAGUGGGCCCAGUGAUACCUCUCCGUCAUACGAAGUAACAAAUCCCAGUCUUGAUCCAUGUCAACCCAACAGACACUUUCGGAGAUACCCGUAGUAUACCUUUAUAGUCACCCAGUUACGUUGUGACGUUUGGUACACCCAAAGCACUCUUACGGUACCCGGGAGUUACACGAUCUCAUGGUCUAAGAAAAGGAUACUUGACAUUGAAAAAACUCUAGCAAACGAACUAUACGAUCUUAUGCUAUGUUUAGGAUUGGGUCUUAUCCAUCACAUCAUUCUCCUAAUGAUGUGAUCUCGUUAUCAACGACAUCCAAUGUCCAUAGUCAGGAAACCAUGACUAUCUGUUGAUCAACGAGCUAGUCAACUAGAGGCUUACUAGGGACAUGUUGGUGUCUAUUAUUCACACAUGUAUUACGAUUUCCGGAUAACAUAAUUAUAGCAUGAAUAAAGACAAUUAUCAUGAACAAGGAAAUAUAAUAAUAAUGCUUUUAUUAUUGCCUCUAGGGCAUAUUUCCAACACAGGUGAACAAGCAUCUACCUCAAGAUCAUAGCAAACAUGCAUAAAGCGCUCAACAAAUGAUCUAUGGUAGGCGUAAGAGUCAUUCACGACACCAAGAGAAAUGAAAUGUCUAAACACAUGGGGCAAGUGAAAGACAAUCCAAGUAUAAUGUGCAUAUGGUGUGAUGACGAAAGUGAUGCACUCAACACAAAUGAUAUAGCAAUUUUGCAACAUGUGCGAGGCAAUUAAAUCGUGCAAACUAGUGGAGCGAAGAUGCAACACACUAGAGAAAAUCAUGGCAAUCAUGUCAUGUGAGCAAAUAAGAGGCAUAGGCAAUGCAUAUGACAUGUCGCAAGCACGAACACAUAGCAAGAGCAUAGUAUCAUCAUAGGUAUGGGUCACAAAUGGAACAUGGCAAUAAUAAGCAAUGUCCCCACCAAGCUUGCAAAUACACAUAUAAGUAGUAAAAACAAUCAUCAUGUGUAAUGCAAAGCAUGGGUCACAAAUGCAUGGCAAAGGCAUGGGAAUGAUAAUAUCAUGCAAAGUGAACAUGGCAAGAUGGGCAUAUCUCUACUCUUAAUGGACAACUUGGUUGAAUAGUCCCCCCCACUUUCAACCGGUUUAUUUUCAACCGGUUUAUUUUCAACCGGUUUUUCUUCGUCCCACCUCCCACCACCUCCCUCCCACCGGUUUUUCUCUUUCUCGUCUGGCCGACAAUACCCAACGUAUUUAUGGUAAUCAAUCACAAUUAAUCCACGUAUGGUAAGGCUAUAAACUUAGAAAUCUCAAAUAUGAUAAUUAUAGUAAUAAAUCAAUCCAUUUAUGGUAAGGCUAUAACUAAGGAAAUUUCGAAUAUGGUAAUUAUCACCAGAAUCAAAGCUUUCCAAAAAAGUUCUUCUUGCCAUACCCUAAUCGUGACCUCCUCAUCCUGAGGCAUUAUUUCCAUCUAUUUCUCAGCUGAAUCAGAACUUUCCAAAACUUUGUGUGACUAAAUCAAAAUUUUCCUUCCUUCCCUAUCAUCUCAAUCGAAUCAUGAGCUAUAGGUAAGUCAUUUCAUUCUCCACCUCGCACGGGUUGUACUGAUUUUUAUCAUGGUUUGGCCCCCUGCCGUACAAGCCGCUCGAUUCCUCCUCCCUCGCUCAAUUCCUCCACCCUAUCUUCUUCUUCAUGGUGAGCGACCCAGGCAGCGAUGCGUGCCCGUUAUGCAUCAGCGAGGAGGACCAGGAAACGUUGAUUGCCAGCCCCGCGCUCAUCAUGUGAACCCGUUCACCGUCAGGUCAUGCUGGUGUGUUACGGGUGUAGGUGCACCUUACCUUAGCCAUGGAGGUUUGCCGGUGGACAACAGAGGCCUCACCAUGGACACCAGUAUCCCUCUCCUCUUCCUGCGCCCUACCUCUCCUUCCUCAGUCUCUACCUCUCUCUCUCUUUUUCUCUGUUCCAGGAGAUCUGCAGCCGACGCCGCAGGCCCUGCCCGUUCGCUGCCGGUCACCUCGCCUCGCUGUUCGAUCUCACCGCUGGAUAUGCACGACUCCGCCGCCCUGUGCCGUCCUCGUCGGGCACCAUCAUGGCGGCGCGAACACUGUAUGCAGUGGCUACAAUCAGCGGUAGUUGGUAGUGGUAGUUGGUAGUGGUAGUAGUAUAUAUCUUUAUGUGAUUGGUCACAAGUUGUAGUUGGUAGUGGUAGUAGUAUAUAUUCACUAUAAUUGUUUGUACGAAAUCACAUUAAAAAAAUCACACAUAAAUCACAACAAUUGCGUGCAAAAACACAUAAUCUUACCAUAUUUCAUAGGGUGCUAUCAUUUUUCAUGUUUGUAGUUGUAUGAGAAUAUUAAAUGUAUUAUUAACAUGAUUAUUAAAUGUAUGAGAAUAUUAACAUGAUUAAUAUUGAACUCUUAAAGUUAACAUGAUUAAUAUUGAACUCUUACCAUAUUUUCAUAUGUCACUUGAUAUGUAUGAGAAUAUUAAAUGUAUUAUUAACAUGAUUAAUAUUGAACUCUUGAAGUUAAUGUGGCCCCGUUGCAACGCACGGGCGUUCUUCUAGUAAUAUGUAAUGGACAAUAACCCAUAACCAUGUGAGAGCCAUGUAGAAGAAAUGCGCGAAGACUUUGCGCGAAGAGAGCGGUGGGAAAGGAAAUCCAUGGGAUCUCAAGUCAUCAUUGCUCUCUAGAGCUCGUUUUGUCAACUCAUGUGAUUGUGAGGUUGACGAGUGUUCAUGGGUACCUACACAAAAGAGACACAAACAAAAGAAUGUGUGUGCGUGGUAAAUGUACACAUCAUCCAUCAUGAUGUGUAUGUGCAUGUGUGAGUUAGCACAAGAUAAGCAUCGCUCAAAGAAAUUUGAUGCAUGGGUAUAAGAACAUGUCAUCCAUCAUGAAAGAAUAGUUAUUGUGUAUGACACGAUGGGGAUGCAAAUUUAACAUACACGUAUAUGGCACAUCAAUAGCAUGUUUAUUCAUGGGGAGCAUAUGGUGCACACAAGUAGUGGGAUCAUGCAAUGGAUAGGAUGAAUCAAAAUCUCAUAAAAUGUAUGAGGAAACUAUGGGGGUCUCCUCAUGAGCAAUAGUGGAAACAUCAUAUGGAGAAAAUGGACAACAUCCAAAACAAUGCAUAUCCGAAGCUAGAUAGUCAUGGCAUGGCAUAUGAGAUAAAUGAUGCAAAGGAAGCAUAGCAAUAUCAUCACAAGGAAAACAAAUGCCAAUAACCAUGGGCUUGUCAUCUAUGCCAUAAGUGCAAAUUGGAUUAAUUUUAAUGACAUAUGCAUAGUCACUACGAUGAGAUUGCAAAGAUGACAUAUUGUUGAUCUCAUGCAUAGCAUAUGACAAGUCAAGCGGAUUGUCAAACACGAUGUGACCUAGAGAAUUGUCACAAGAAAUCCUAUGUAACAUGGCAUCACAACUAGGCAAUUCAACAUGCUCAUCAUCAUAUUCAUCAUAAAGUGGUAGGUCAUGACAUGAGGAAGUCACACUAGCAUGAAGCAUGUGAAUAGGUGGAUCAACAUCAUGCAAGCAAUCAAUGUCAAGAAUGUCCACUAGUGGGACUAGAGCAUCACCUUCACCUUUGUUACCUUGUUCAUGCCACUCAAGUGGUGUAGGUGAGGUGGUAAAGACCAAAUGAUGGUCAUCUUCAUCGUGAUGGAACCAUGUGGGGGGUGCAUCAUAUUCCACCAUGGCCAUCGUCAUGUCCAAAGGGAGGACGAAGCCGUCGAGGAUCGGCGCGUCAUCAUAUGUGAAACCUAGCACCAAAGGAGAAGACACAAUAGAGGUAGAGGUUAAGUUGUUAGAAAGUGAAAUGGCCUCAUAUGCCUCAUCAACUACCUCACUCUCUCUAUGUGAUGGUGGCUCACUCACUCCCUCAAGGUAGGUGCACUCAAUGUUGCAUAUGGUGGAGUCACUCAAAUCACUCAAGUGGUGGUGGCGGUGGCUCUCCUCACAUGGGAAUUGGGGAAACUCAUGAGAUAUGGGGCUAGUGGUGAAGUCACUCUCAAUCUCAAUAUGGUGGCUAAAGUCACUCAAGUCAUCAUACGUCACCGUGGUCGAAGGGAAAAUCCCAUGCUCAACCGUCCCGUCAUCGUCGCCAUGGAUGAAGGCCGAAGAUGGCACAUCAUCACUCUCGUCGUGGAUGAAGGCCGAAGAUGGCACAACAUCACUCUCGCCUCCUAAGAUGGAAGCAUCAUCCUUGCUCGCCACCUUGUCACUUGCCUCCAAAGCAUGUUCCUUGAAGGUCUCUGUAGUCGUACUCGUUGCCGCACCAUCUUGAAAAAGAGUCGAAGAAGACUCGGCAUCAUCAAUGCCACAAAGAGGGAUGGCGGUGAAGUCGAACUUGGGAGCAUCGUCUUGGAGCUCGUCGGGCUUGGACAUCGUGGUGGUACUAGCCUCAUGCUCGUCGUGUUAGAGCUUGGUCUUCGAGAAGUGUGCUUGGGGUGGAGAAGCCUUGGCCUUCAUGAGUUCUUGUUCCGCCUUGAGAGCACCAAUGUAGUUGUCAUCGAGGGACUUGUAGUUCUGAGGAAGAUAGUCUUGGAUAUGUCGUUGUUCAAUCCCAUCAUGAAGUGGAACUUCAUUGACAUGGGGUCGUCCGCGCUGGCACGUCGCAAGGCAUGGUUCAUCUCCUUGAAGUACUCGUCAAUGGACUUGGAUCCUUGGAUGGUGUUCUCCAAUUGGCGUAGAAGUUGUUCCGUGUAGGUUGGAGGCACGAACUCUCGCCGCAUAGCUUUCUUCGUCUUGGGCCAACUCAUGUCAUAGAUCUCUGAAGGUGUGUGAAGCCACCAUGUGGACACGUAGUCGUGGAAGUUUCUUGAGGCGCACUUCACUUGAUCUUCGGGAGGAACUUGAUGUAGCUUGAGGUAGACGUCCAUCAAACGCUCCCACUCAAGAUACUCCUCGGGUUCUAGAGUCCCAUAGAAAGGAAUCUCGUGGUUUGUGUCGAGGUCGUAGUAGCUCGUGGAGGUCGCGGACUUGAGCUUGGGGAGCUUCUCUUGGACGUAGUCUUGGGGUGCUUGUUGGCGAAGAUGCCGUGUGUCCGUAGGCGAAGAUGCCUUGAAGUCGCUUGGCGAAGAUGCCAAAGGAGAUGGUGAAGUCGUUGAGCGAUUGUUGGUGUUGAGCUCUUGACCUUCACGUUCGUGGUGGUGAUGGUGUCGAUGCCGAUGUGAUCUUGCCGGAGAUAGUAGCUCAGAAGCAUGUGCACUAGAGCGUCUUCUCGAAGAUGAGGAAGAUCGCUUGUAGGACUUGAUGAGGGCUUUGAUGUCCUCCAUUUGAGCUUGCAUCUUGGCGUCGUUGGAUUUGUUCGUGGCAUCGAACUCGUCGUUGUUGUUGUAGACCGAAGGUGAAAUGCCUUGCCUAUCCAUCACAAGACUCGAGCAAAGGUGAGUAGGAAAUGAGAUAAACAAUACCAAGUUAGCUUUUCCCAAAGUUGAGGAUGUAUCUCGUAUCACUCAAUGUGAGAUGAAAGAAUAGUGGAAUUGGUACCAGACUUGUUCACUCACACCUAUCAAGUAAAGCUUAUGGAGGAGCUUGGUGAGGAUAGUGGCACAAAAAAUUUGAUGCAAAAUGUUAGCAAGAGUCAAUAAUGUUGGAAAAGAUUCACAAAUUCGCAAGUGAAACAAGUAGACCAAUAGCAAUAUGUGGCACACGGAUAGAUAAAUGGGGUCGUGCAACCAAGGAAUGAGCACUAAAUGUGUAAUCCACGAAAAACGCUCGUGUUGUACAACUCAAGAGAGACGCUAGCACGAUUGCUCAAUAGGCGGAUACGACACUUGUGCACAACCUAUAAGAUGCAAAAUGUAUGAGCUUUCUAUCCCAAGUAUGCUAUAUGUAUGAUGUUCCCGUUGUUCUUCUCAAGAUGAUCCAAGAUGAUCGGAUAUGACAAUCUUAUGUGCAAUGGUAUGAUGCUAUGGCACUUGCUUACAAGCUCUUUGCUCUCUUUUCUUUUGCUUAAAAGCUUAUUCUCUCCCUUUUUUUUGAUAUGGCCACUAUGCGAAAUGCACAAACCAAGAUAGUAAUUGUGUAUAUGCGGGAACAAUCUUGUGACACAAGAGAUGAUAUGCUACCAAUAUGAUAUGGUAUGUAUGCAAUGGAAGGGUGGAUCACUAAUGUGCACAAGUAACGUUGCCGGCAAUACUCAAAUGGCUAGUCUCGAUAGGCAAGUAACGCAAAAUGGGCUAGGGGUUAUCAAUGCAAUUGCAAGGGGAAUGUACAAUGGUGUCGUCGAGGUUACCAUCCUUGAUGAUGAUGAGUGGCGGUGUUCUUGAUGUAGAUACCAAGAUGAUGUAGACCCGUCCCUAAGUAGCUGAAACACCUUAGGAAACAGUAAAAACCGCAAACUCAAAAUCUCCAAAGGAAAAUGUCAAAUGGUGGUAGCGGGGAUGGCAAUGUGGAAGUGGUGGUGAUGGAUUAUGAAGAAGCAACCGUCCCUAAGUAGCCGAAACACCUUAGGAGACUCAAGUCACCACUCAAACAACCACAAAUGCUAAAUGGAGCAAAAUGGGUUAGGUUGCGGAAGGCUAUGUUGGGUUUUGCGGAUGAUAUGGUGGAAGGCCAAGGCAAAGAUGCCAAAAUGUCAAAAUUUGAUGGAGUCAAAUGGUGUUGAAACCAAGAUGAGUAGCUCGGGCAUGUCGCUAGCUUUUCAACGAGCCAAAGAACACCCAAAUCGGAGUUCGGAAGUGGAAGUUAUGACCGAAAAUAUAAAGUGGACGCGGCUGAUUCUGGGAGGGCCGUGCGCACGGGGUCCAGGGCCCGUGGGCACGGGGUGCCGUGCGCACGGUACACACACCGAGGGCACGGGGUCACCUGGGACACGUGGGUUUGGCAGAUUGCUUCCCGAUCUGGGCUCCAAAUGGAUGGAUCUCGUUGCUGGGGUUUAGCUGGGGGUAUGGGGGUGGUAUGGGGGUGGGAGGUCGAAGGGGCAGCGACCGAAGCGCACUUGAAGGGUCGUGCGCACGGGGUCUGUCUGGCCCGUGUGCACGGGGUGAUCUGUGAGCGGACGAACUACUCCGGAUCCGUGGGUAAUCUCGAAAUUGGGGUCAAAAUCGAAGGGUGGAAGGUAGGGGAAGGUGGAGGGAAGCUAGAUCCACUUGAAACCAAGCAAAUCCAUGGAUCAAAUCCAACAAAACAUCACCAAACCAACAAAUCACAAAAAAAUUGGGGCUAUUUUUUGUGGGGAUUUUCGAAAUUGGGGAAGAACACAACAAAACUAGGCUAGAGAACAAAGAGGGGUGCUCCAAUUUCGUGAGAAACCAUGGCUCAUGAUACCAUAAUGAGAUAGGAUGGAACCCUAAGUGGAGAUCUUUCAUGAAUUGGAGGGGGAAUCCCCAAGAACAAGAUGAACACAAGAGGGAAAACAAGAGGAACACUCAAGAACAGUCUAAUCACACAUCCACUAGACAAUCAAACACACAAGAUCCACAAGGUACAUGAACAAUCAAAGGGAAAUAAAAUACAUGGUAGAGUUCAUCCCAAAUCCUAUGAAGGAGAUGAGGGCUUGAUGAAUCCCUUAGGAUCUUCUCCAAUGGAGGCCUUGAACUCCAAUGGAGUCUCCUCUCUCAAGAGGAAUCCCACAAGGGGAGAUACAUGAGCUAAGCUCUAGUGUUUAGAUCUAUUCUUAGCUAAGUCUAAAUGGAGGAGAUGAAGGAGUAUAUAUAGUCCUAGGCAAAGAGAGGGAUAAGUGGGGGCGAAAUGGUAAAACAAGGGCAAAGCCCGCAGCAUCACAAAGGGGGCCCCGUGUGCACGGGGUAAGUGGAGCCCAUGCACACGGGGUAUCCAGAGACCCGACGCAUGAGCCCGUGCGCACGGGGUCCAUGAGGCCCAUGGACACGGGGGUCCCGUGGGCACGGUACACGCCCGUGCGCACGGGGUCUUCAGGACCGCCAGCCUGGGAUGCCCGUGGGCACGGGGUCGGAGGGGCCCGUGCGCACGGGGUCGCCUGGGAGCUGCUGCCUUCUUCUUGGCGCUUCCUUCUCCGCUUCCAGGCUUCCCUCUUGGAUGGUGUAGAUGUUCUCUUCCGCGUGAACUCGUCCUCACUAUGCUUGAAGCUUCGAUAAUACCUAUGAAUGCACAUGGAAGGAAUGUCAAGUAGUAUACCAUCCUCAAAGGGGUCAAGUGAACACGUGUAAAGGAGAUGAUUCACCUUUAUGUAUGCGAAGUAGAUGUGGCACGUGUCACUUGCCAAACGAACUCUUGACAUGGUGAUGUCCAUAGGAUGCUCCGCAUCAUCGUGGCUGAACAGCCGGUCGGCGAUGUCGUCGACGAGCGCCGCCGGCAGGUUGGGCCAGUCUUGCCUGCCAGUGUAGAUGAUCGUUAAGAAAUCAAGAGAUAUUAGGAUAGGAUAGGAAGGCAGGGGGAUGGGCUGACCAUUCGUCUUCACGGCGGAGUUGGGGCAGGGGAUGCUGGCGGGCGAGGUUGCUCCUCUUUCGCCUCUUGCUCAAAAGAGAGGCGUGGUGGCGGCUGAGACUGACCCGCCUUGGUAUUUGAGUUCAGUUCAGUACACGUGAGGAUGGAAAUGGGCCGCGAGGGGAAGUUGGCUAAUUGGUUGAUGAGGUUGCUGGGCUAAGAGAGCCCCACGAAAAUCCGGAAAACUACUUGCCUCAAGUUUUUCUGCCACUUCCUCAAGUUGUUGGGCUAAGAAGACAGUCAGAAUAGAAGAAAGAAAGAAGUCCAUUUUUCACCCUCAAAUGUACCCCAAUAGACAAAUCCCCCCUGAAGUCGAUUUUGGUACAAUUUUAACCCUGAAAUAUCUAAAACCAGAUAAAUUUGCCCCUUGAGUGGUUUUGCUGUGAUUUAGGUGGUUUUAGGAGAUGAGGUCGUCUUCCUCCUCUCUCUCCACUGAAGCCAAGUCCUGCAUAAGCACAAACACAAACGCAUGGUGAGCAUCUCCCGAAAGCAAGUGAAGUGUGGUGUGGCACGCCCAGACCGGGGUGAGGAAAUGGAUGAGGUUGAAGACGGGAGUGGCGGGCAUGUCGACGUCCUUAUCUAACUUGGCGAGCGCCCACUAGAGGACGUAGGCGUUGGGCUUGGAGCGGCUGAGUGCCAACACGACGGCGGUGGGCGCCGCAUCCGCUCUGGUCCCCUCUUCCUCUUGCGUGGCCAUUGGUGGAUCUCACAUACCCUGUUCAUCAGAGAGUGGCGGGGAAACGGAAUCGAACAGCAAUGGUCGCGGCCGGCGGCGACCGCUCUGGUCGAAGAAGAGCAAGAUAGAGGAGUACGUACCAGGUCGACUAGGUUAGGGGCUCCAUGAUACGCUCUGGUUAAGGACUCUCGCUGUUGUCGCGCGCGGAGCCGACGACUAGGUUAGGGGCUCUCGAUGCAAUGACAGAGGACCUCACCCUGCACUCGCGCGCCAGGUCGGGGAGGACGGCUGUAGUGGCUACCGGGGCAGCGCAUCAUGGAGGAGGGAGCUCGGUGUCGGGAGGAGCCAGGAGCGUCAGGAACACCGGAGGUAGCUCAGGGAACGCGACAGAGUCGCCAAAGCUCGUAGGAGCUAGGGAUUCUGCCAUGACGGAGGCAGCAUACCGAACACGGGGAAGGUAACUGCAGACUGUAAUUUUGCGCAACUAGGUCCAGUCGCUUUGUCAGACUAAAUGAGGGAGGCGCGGUGAAGCUUUGUGACUUGGCGGCGUGGCUCAAGGUAGCUGGUGGCCUUGUGUGCGGCGACGGCGGCGGUGGUGACCGCAGCACUGGCGUGCGGGGCGUGCGAUUCGUGCCAUGAGAGGCGGAGAGGAGGGGAGGAGAAGGGGAUAGAGGGGCUAGGGCACUCGGGGGCGAGUUAUAUAGGCCUAUGGCAGCGUUGUAGCAGCUCGGUGGCGAGCAUCGGCAUCCAUGGAGUCGGAUGAAUGACAUGCAGAAGAGAGGGGGAGAGGAGGAAGACGAUGCCAUCUCCCAAAACCACCUAAAUCAUUGCAAAACUGCUCAAGGGGCAAAUUUAUCCGGUUUCAUAGAUUUCAGGGUUAAAAUUGUACCAAAAUCCAUUUAAGAGGGGUAUUUGUCCAUUGAGACACAUUUGAGGGUGAAAAAUGGACUUCUUUCUAGAAGAAAAGGGAGCGCCUCAAGGACGCCCUAAAUGGUCCAGCCCAACUCGGCGGCAGCGCCGGUUCCGUAGCUACUUUUUUUUUGUUCUUUCUUUGUUUUAUUACUUCCAUACUUACAUUUCUGAAAUAAAAACAUAUUUAAUUAAAUUUUCGAAAAUGUUAAUUGCUUGUUUGAAAAAAUGUUCAUACAGUGUAAACAAAUAUGCAUGCAACUUCUAAAAAAUGUUGAUAGCAUUUAAGUAAAUAUUCGUAACAUUUGGUUGAGGAGGAAGACGACCCUAAAAAAUGUUCAUACAGUGUAAACAAAUAGCUGAGCACUUGGCGAACUUGGUACGCCGACCGGCCACCAAGCCAAAAACCCGAGAAGACAUAUGGUUGUGAAGAUGCCAUGCACGUCGGAGUGGCAAAAAUACGAUGAUGUCGUCGACCUAGAGAGACACACUCAAAGUCACGAGACGAGCAAUAAGGUGGUGAAGUUGAAUCGUACCUGGAGCCCCAUUGAUGAGGACGUACUCGUACACACGGAGUAGAAAAAGAUGAAAAUCCACUCCCUCCAAUGUUGGCUGAAGCCUAGCUGUCAAAGCGUCUCAUGGAGGAACGACCAAGAGACCGAAUUGAAGGCGCGAGCAAUGUCUGGCCUGAGAAGCAUCAAGGGACCCUGAGGUUAUGGAGAAGGCGCGCCGUCUGCUGGACAGAGCAAGAAAAUGCAGAUACAUAAAAUGAUGUUUAGAUGGCUGUUCAAGCCCUGGACAUAAGCCGGCACUUCAAAUUUCGCCGACUGUUUUUGUAGCUGUCGGUGGCUGUGACGGCUUGACCGUGACGCGAAGUUAGCGUCCGCAAAAUUAGCAGCCGUCGAGAUUGCAAAAUCUGUACAGUGGCAGCCAGCAGCUUGUGUUACGGCGCGGGCGCCCACCGUUCCCGUUUGCCCACGGCUCCGGGCGCGGCCCGCGGAAUGAACCGCCCGCGCGUCCACCCUUCCUUUUCCCGAGUCGCCGCCCCCCUUAUCUCUCUCAAGAAAAAGGGACAAAUGCCGUCCCUGGCUCCCAGCGCGUGCGUGCCCUUUGCUUCCGUUGCGGGGAGGAUGCAUGUGCACACGCUAGCGCCACGGUACGAAAGAGCAAGUGAUCCUCACGUAUCGCCUUCUUUGUUACUACUCGUCCAUGCUUAACUUGCCCGCAAUUUUUUUACUCGAACCAACCGUCGUUUAAUCCAAACGUACGCACGCACCCGGGUUGGUAACCACCACAGUAAACUUCAAGCCUAGCGGCCACGCUCCGAGGCGGACAAGGCAAUUAGGGCUCAACUGACUCUCGUCGUCGCUGUCGUUGGUUCACAUUGUUCAUAGAGCAACUCCAACACGGUGACCUAUUUGAUCCUCGUGUGUCCGUUUGUGUCCGCGCGGACAAAAACCACAUCCAGACGUAGCAACCAUUUUUAUUUUGUGUUCGUUCAGACCUAUUUCAGUCUCAAAUUUAUGCCAUAUUUAGGUCAGACGAAUACAAAAACAGACGUUUUCUGUGUCUGCCUCGUCCGUCUGUGUCCGGGCCUGGCCCACGUGUCACCCACCCACCCUCUCUCUCUCUCUCCUUAUUUUAUUCACUGGCCCACCACCCCUACCCUACAUCUCUCAUCCUGUUCUUCUUCUGCCACCGAGCCGCCGCCGACCACCUACCAUCGACGACUCCCGCAAGACACCACCGAGCCGCCGCCGGCGUGCGGCUUCAACCCGCACCCGCCACGGGCGAGGACCGAGCUGCGGUGAUUGUGGCUCCCUCGGGCGCCGCUCAAGGCCUCUAGCUGCUGGCCUCGGCGUUUGUAGCGCGUCUUCCUGGGAUGGCAGUUGCGCGUGGCGACAGGCCGCUGCGUCCUCUCGUCCCCUGCAUGCUCGCGCCGCCCCGCCGCGCCUGGCCUCGCCUCGCCUCGCCCAACCACGCCCGGCCUUGCGCUCGUCGCGCUCGCCGUGCCGCCCCCGAUGUGGGGUUCGAGCUUGCCCGUUGACCUCCUUGCGCGCUACGAGCUCCCCUGCCUGCCAUGUGUUCGAAGAAAUGUCAUGGCGCCAUGGACAUUAAAAAUGGGUUGGCUACCAUUGGUAGCACCUGCCGACCCAAUUAAAAAAGUGGACACGAACGGGCGGACGACCGACCCGGACAGACAAAAAAGGACAAAAUUGACAUCCGUUUGGGUCGGCCGGUCGGAGCUGCUCUUAUGGCCAUGGAGGCGGGAUGGAUCCCGGUCCUUAUCGAUGGGACAUAUCUUACUCCAUUUUUAGUUAGAGUUUUCAAUUUUAAUAGAAUUUAUGUUCUAUUCAUGAAGAUGAGACGACGAAGGCUCCCUGAAAAUUAAAUAAGGUCUUUCUUGCCUUGUUCCCGUCCACGGUGCGUCUAGCGGUGUCGGUGGAUGUGUGGAGGUGUGUCUUUGGUGCUUCUCACCAACUCGGACGGGAGUGGUUUUUUAUUGAACUGUUGGACCCUGUCUUCGUUCGUGUGUUUCCACAUUGGAUCCUUCCUAUCUAAACUUCUCUUCAUCAACAACUGGUGUUGUUUUGGUGUGUCGGUACUUUGGGGCCCUAACAUGAUGACUUCUCUACUAUCUAUCACAACAAUUCGGUGAGGAAGGGGCAAUAACGACGACUAUCACUAGAUGAUCUUCAAACUUGGAUGUAAUUAUUUGUUACUUCCAGUAUUCUCUGUGCUACCAUGACAGAUGAUGAUUAGAUCGAAAGUCCCCCCCCCNNNNNNNNNNNNNNNNNNNNNNNNNNNNNNNNNNNNNNNNNNNNNNNNNNNNNNNNNNNNNNNNNNNNNNNNNNNNNNNNNNNNNNNNNNNNNNNNNNNNNNNNNNNNNNNNNNNNNNNNNNNNNNNNNNNNNNNNNNNNNNNNNNNNNNNNNNNNNNNNNNNNNNNNNNNNNNNNNNNNNNNNNNNNNNNNNNNNNNNNNNNNNNNNNNNNNNNNNNNNNNNNNNNAGAUAGAUAAACAAAACGGAUAGCGCGGAAUAGGGGCGGCGGAGCAUAGGAUGGCCGAAAUAGGGCGUGGCGGUGGCAGGGUGAAUAUUAAGAUCAGGCGGUUGGGGCUCUCGCGGCAGCCGUUUAACGUCUGGUCGGCUGUUAGCGAUGAACCAAAUUUUACAUCACUUUUAACAAUUUUUUAGUCGGGACAAAAAAAAUGAUUGGUCGCCAUGUAGAUUUAGUGUUGUUGUUGGAGCUGCUCUUUGGCCUCCCAAACACAAAAAAACCGUUUUUUGUCACGACAACAUUUUUUCAUUUGAUGUUGGAGAUGCUCUUACAAUCGACAAAAACCUAGAUACGCAUAUCUUCAAAACAACACGAAACAUGAAGAUUCGGUAGCGGGGAGGAGCUUGGCGGGGACGACGAUGAAACUAAAUCAGACGACGUGCUAGUUCGGGGGCGGCGAUGCGGUGCUCGAGGCCCGUGACUGGGUGAAUACGACAGUUUGAAGCAUGGUGGGAUGACCGAAAUUAGAGGAGAUCUGGCGGUGACGCAAGCUCGGCGACGAUGACCCCCCAAGUGGAGGGGUGGUGGUGGCUGUAAUCGAAAUUGGCCGGGGCAGUGGAGAUGAAGACCCAAAUACUUCUGGGUUUUUUUCUUCACGUAAUAAAGACCCAAAUACACCAACCCUAUGUAUCUUUUUGGUCUGGCCCCCAAAAAAGUUUGGUCGUCAGUUAUGUUAUGUGGUAUGGUCAAAAUGAUAAAAAUAUUCUGCUUUGUUUACUUUUCGGGUACUUUUUUGUCUGUCAUUGGAAAUGUGUGAGCUCAUAAUUUUUAUUUUUAGUAACAAGAGCUCUCAAGAGAAAAUUAUUCCUCUUCGCUAAGAAAGGUGACUCUUAGGCGACAAGGGCUUCCUGCGUGUGUUGUCGCUCCAGUCUGCCUCACCGCCUAUGGCCUUUGGGCCAUGGAGACGCGUUGGACCUUGACCCUUGCUGGCGGGAGGGCUCCUGCUCCGUUUAUAGGUGUUUUUCUAAGAUUGAUUAGGGUUCGUGUUCUGCUCAGGCAUGUGAGGCGGUGACUGCUCCUUAAAGAUGGAACAAGGUUCUCCCCGCCUAGCCUCCUCCCCGGCGAUGCGUCUAACGUCGUCGAAGUGCGUGUAGUGGUGGUGGUGUGUGUCUUCGACGGAUCUCGUGGGAUUCGGCUGGUGUUGGUCUUGGGUGGAUCUUCGCGCACCAGAUUAUUACUUUUACUGCCCCAAGUAAAAAUUAAAAGAAUCACUCGAGCUAACCGUCACCUUUUUUUUCUUCGAGAAAACAGCGAACCGCUAUCUAAUCGAAACGUACGCCCGCACCCGGGUUUAGCAGUAACCGCCGGAGUAAACUUCAAGUCUUAGCGGCCGCUUGGCCCCACCACGCACGCCCCUCCCUCCUCGUGAUGAUAAAACGGCCAGGCCCACCGCCCCCUUCCUCUCGUUUUCUCCGUUUCCUCCUCUCCUCUCCCCUCGCUUCCCUUCCGCAUCGGCGCCCUACCCUACCAAACCCAGUCCACCACCCCCCACUUCUCCCCUUUCCUUUCCAAAUUCCAUCCCAAUUCCAUCCAAAACCACCACCACUACCAAAUCGUAUACAAUUCUCAGAGAUUCGAAUUCCCCUUAGCACCACUGCCAUUAUUAUCUUCUCCGUCGGGAAGGAAGGAAGGAAGGAAGGAAGGAAGGAAGGAAGGAAGGAAGGAAGGAAGGAAGGAAGUCGAACUCGAACUCGAGGGUCGGCCUGCCUAUUUGGGUGCCUUUUGUCGCCCACUGUUGGGUGCGCGUCUGAGCGUCUCCUCAAUUCUCGUGCGGCGAGGCAAGUUUUCCCCCUCCCCCUCUCACCCCGAAAUGGAACUCCCCUCCUUCCUUUUUACCCCUUUUAUCUUCUCUCUCACUGUUCUUCACCCUCUUCUCGAGUGAAAUCCGGCCGAUUCGCGUCGCGGAAUUUCGAUCUGUUGCGUCCGGAGGUUCGAUUGACGGUUCAACUGACUUGGAUUUGUGGCGUGCGUGCAGGGAUCUGCCCGUCUAUGGUCGCCGGCGGGAGGGCGGUCCUGCGGCGGGCGAAGAUGGGCGGCGACGACGACGACGAGUACGUCGUGGACGAGGACGAGGAGGAGGAGGUGGAGGAGGAGGAUGACGUUGAGUACGCGGCGGCCGCGUGCUCCGACGAGGACGCCUCCGAGGAGGAGGCCGAGGACGAAUCUGACGCCGACUUCGACGGGGACGCGGAGGAGGAGGAGGAGGACGACGAGGAUUUCGAGAUCGACAAGCCGCGGCACCGGCCGAGGCGCCCUCCCAGGCCUCCCCCCAGGCCCCGCGGGCGGGGCAGGAAGAAGGCCAAGUCGGACGACGACGACGAUUCCGACGCCGAUUCCGAGGAGGAGGAGGAGGAGGACUUCGAGAUCGACGCGCCGCGGCCCAGGCGGCGGCCGGCCAGGGCUCGCGGCCGGGGCCGGAAGCGGAGGCGGAGGCAGGAGUCGGAGCAGGAGGAAUCCGAUGCGGAUUUCGAGGAGGAGUUGGAGGAGAUCGAGACGCCGCGGCCCAAGCCUCGCCGACGGGCCAGGAAGGCCAAGCCGCGCGACGACGACGACGACGACGACUCCGAUGCGGAUUUCGAGGAGGAGGAGGACGAGGAUUUCGAGAUCGACACGCCGCGGCCGAGGCGUGCGCCGACGGCUCGCUCCCGGGGCAGGUCGAGGAAGCAGGAAGAAGAGUCUGACGCGGAGUUGGAUGGGGAGGACGAGGGCUUCGAGAUCGAGACGCCGACGCCGAGGUGCGCGCCCACGGCUCGCUCCCGGGGCAGGGCGGGGAAGCAGGAAGACGAGUCUGACGAGGAGUUCAAUGGGGAGGAGGAUGGAUUGGGCAACGAGGAGGUGGAGGUCGAGGCGCCAUGGCCGAAACGCCCAGCCACGGUUCGGUUCCGGCGCAGAAGGGAGGAGCAAGAGAUCGAGUCUGAUGCAGAUUUCAAAGGGGAGGAGGAAGAAGUGGAGAAUGAGUUGGAGGUCGAGACCACACAGCCAGCCAUGGACCCUUCCUGGGGUAGGAGUGAGGAGCAAGAGGAUGAGUCUGAUGCAGAUUUCAAAGGGGGGGAGGAAGAACUAGAGAAUGAGGAGUUGGAGGUCGAGACCCCACUGUCAGCCAACUUUCGCUCUGGUGGCAGGAAUGUGAAGGAGGAGGAUGAGCUUGAUGCAGAUUUCAAUGUGGUUGAGGAGGAAGUUGAGGAUCAGGAAGAGGAUGACGAGCUGGAGAUGGAGACGCCAGAGUCAGUCAAGUAUCACUCCGGUGGCAGGAAUGUCAAGGAGGAUGAGCUUGAUGCAGAUUUCAAUGUGUCUGAGGAGGAAGUUGAGGAUCAGGAAGAGGAUGAAGAGCUGGAGAUCGAGACUCCAGAGUCAGUUAAGUAUCGCUCUGGUGGCAGGAAUGUGAAGGAGGAGGAUGAGCUUGAUGCAGAUUUCAAUGUGGCUGAGGAGGAAGUUGAGGAUCAGGAAGAGGAUGAAGAGCUGGAGAUCGAGACGCCAGAGUCAGUCAAGUAUCAGUCCGGUGGCAGGAAUGUGAAGGAGGAGGAUGAGCUUGAUGCAGAUUUCAAUGGGGCGGUGGACGAAGUUGAGGAUCAGGAAGAGGAUGAGGAGUUGGAGACCGAGACGCUACAGCCGAGGAACCUGUCCGAGGCUCGUGGCAAGGGCAGGAAGGUGAAGUCAACACGCUCUAGCCGGCAGAGGCACGAGGAUGAUGAUGAUUACGAGGAAGAGAUCGAGGAUGAGGAUGAAGACUUUGAUCCGGAGGUGGACGAAGAUGAGGAGGAUGAGGAGGAAGAUGUUGAAGAAGAAGAUGAUGAUUUGGGGGAUUAUGCCCCAACUCGUGCCACAAAUGUUAGACCUAGGAACCACUUGGCCAAGCGGAAGCCAGCGGCUGGGCGCCAACACCGUAAGAGGAAGAGUAGUUCCAAGGGAAAGACAAGGAAUGGCACGUCAGCACGUCGGCGUAGGAGCAAGCGGCGGGUGGCUGACGACUAUGAAGACGAUGAGGAGGAAGAGGAUGAUGAUGAUUUUGUUGUCAAGGACGACGUGGAGGAAGAGGUCAAUUACCGGCCAAGGAAGAAGGCCAAGGUUGGGAGGAAGACGAGGGAAGGUACUGCAGAGCCAGUUGCUGUGGGAGAAGCAUGGCCAUCAGUCGAAUCUGACACAUCAGAAUUUGAGUUUGUGACAUCUGACGAGGAUCAUGCUGAGAAGGAAACACCAGUUGCUGAGCCUGCGAGGAUCAAGAGAAAGAAGGGUAGGAGGAAGAGGGGUUCUGAAUCAGACUCGUCUUCAGACUCUGAUUAUGUCAUAUCGGAGGAGGAACUUAAGGAUUUGGGGGUGCCUAGGCCCCAAGAGAUCGUGCCACAGCUGCCUUCGCCCCCAGCACGAAGGACCAUUGCUCCUAGGAGGGUAGACGAGAAGGGAAAAGAGCCAGAGGAGGCUUUGAAACAGAUAUGUGGUAUCUGCCUCUCAGAGGAGCAGAGAGCUACAAUACAGGGUGUGCUUAAUUGCUGCUCACACUACUUCUGCUUCGCGUGCAUCCUUGAGUGGUCAAAGGUGGAGUCGAGGUGUCCACUGUGUAAACGGCGUUUCAACACAAUUACCAAGUCAUCAGUGGCAGAUCUAGGAUUGGGGUUGAGGAAUGCUCCUGUUAGGGUAGAAAAGCGCGAUCAGGUAAUGGUUUACUCUCCUGGUCACUAUAAAAUUACAUAUCCACAGGGUAUAAAACCAUUCUGCAUUGCUUGCCCACUUAAUAUUCGAAUUGGUUAGUCAUUGAGAUGAAAUGCAUUUAUGUUCGAACUACCACUAAAAUAUAUGAAAAUCCUGUCCCCGUAGGAAUGGAACAUACAUUUUGCUGUUACUUAUUAUAAUAAGUGUGCUGUGUUGUUUCUAGUGACCAUCCAAAAUGUUGGUUAGUGGAUUAAAAGUUUUAAGCAGAUAUGACACGGAAAUUUACCAAUUUAGGGAUAACAUAUCCAUUACAUCCACUUUGCCAUUCAAACUCAGGGUUCGAUGAUGUAAAUUCAUAUUUCUGCAAGUAAGAGCUUUUCUUGUUGUAUUCACAACCUUGAUGUUGAUGUAAAUCUGUAGGUGUUGAGGACUUUAUAACCUUUUGAAUUUUGGAUUAUGUUCCGCAUGACAACAUAUAUAAAACCUCUUAAUUGUUAGGAUGCUAACUGAAACUUGUGCACUGGUUAGCUUAAAAGUAAUGUUAACAAUAAACCGUGACAGUUUGCAUGGUUGUCUCAUUUGUUCUGUUUCUUCCUUGAACAGGUAUACCAGCCCACUGAAGAUGAAAUGAGGCGAUGGUUGGACCCAUACGAAAAUGUUGUAUGUAUAGAGUGCAAUCAAGGCGGUGAUGACAAUCUCAUGUUGCUAUGUGAUAUAUGUGAUUCCUCUGCACAUACUUUCUGUGUUGGUCUGGGAAGAGAAGUACCAGAAGGCAACUGGUACUGUGGUGGGUGUAGAUCCAGUGUGGAAGGGCCUUCUCAUGCACAAACACAGGAUAGGGUGGUUCACCGUGGAGAUAGUAACAUGAACACCGCCGAUAGCAGUUCUGGUUCGUUGGGCAGAUCUACAUCAAGUGGAGUGUUCCAGAGACCACCACCAAUAAACGUUCAGCCUUCUUUGCAAGGAUUUGAUCUAAAUCUCUCUCCAAUAGAAACACCUGAGGAAGAUAAGCGAGCCGAGUCACAUCUCUCAGCUGAACCUGUAUCAACUCCUACUGGGAGGCAUGCAACUCUUGAUAGAAGGCGUGCCUUGAACCGACGCAUUCGUAUUCUUCUAUUUAGACCUAGGACUGCAACUAAUGCUUGGCAGAAUAGCAUUCAGCAAGACAGAAGCGCACCAGCAACAGAACAAAAUCAACGGAACGCCUGCACCUCUACAGAUGUGAGCCCAUCAUGUUCCAGGGCUGAUUUUAUGCAGAGCCAGCAGAGUAGCUCACAUUUUGUACAGUCUGCAAGUAAUCUUAAUCAAUGCACUGAUGAGGGUGGAAGCAAUUUCCGAGAAGUUGCAAAUGCCAAGGACCAGCUGAUUCCUAUUGUCAAGAAGAGCAUCAAGCACAUUUGUGCCCGGUCCCCAUUGGGUACGUAUAGCGGUCUGAGCAAACUGUUUUAUCGUAUCAAUUUUUCGAGCACCCACAAGUUAACAUUUGGGUGUAAUAGUUUGAUUUUAUCCUUAGCAUAUUAGAUUACCUAGAGAUUGAGUAGCCUUGUAUUUUCAUAUUUAAAAUGGUUGUUAGAGAAAAUUAAUUCAGUUUAUGCUAGGGCAUCAUCCCAUUGUAGCAGUUGUGGUCCCAAAAUAAAUUAUCUAAACUGGAAAUGUCUCAGGUUUGUGGCUAUUAGUAGCCUAAAUAAUAAUUGCCUGUCCUUUUUAUAGUCCUUUUUUCUGCUAUGCUGUUGGCCAUUGUAUGCUGAACUAAAUGCAAAGACAGCUGUGUUGGACUAUAUAUGCAAUCUUGCUAAAGCAUGACUAUUUAACUGGAACUAACCUCUCAUCCUUUAUGUUUCAGAUCAAUCCUCUUUCACGAAUGUAGCACGGCGGGCGACACACACUAUCUUAGCGUUGUCUGGUAUUGCGCACAACAAGGAUAGGGUUGUUUCUACACCUUUUCCUUUUCCUAGCCAUUGUUGCCACGCCUGUGAUGGCCGAGAGCCAGCGUUUCUCAUGAGAACCAUCUGCUCGUCAUGCUUCAACUCAUUCGUUGGUGAUGUCGUCAGUCACAUCGCUAAUAUGUUUUCUUGAAGUAGGUGGUCUUUUCAAGCUGGCAUUUCUCUCUCUGCUGUCAUCAUUCUUUGAAUUUAUAGACACUUGGAAAGAUUAUACGGAUACGAAGGUGUUAAUGGAUGUUGGAUAGCUUGAAAUAUAGAUCAUUUCUAAAUGAUGCAUUCUCUUUUGGAACUAACUUCUUAAUUGACUUGUCAUUAGCCAUCCUGACAAGUUUCAAGGCUUCCAGCAAGCUGCUACAGUCUUCAAUGAUGAUGCCCUCCAAUGAUCUUUUUUAUUGCGAACUGUGUAACUUGCUUUUCCUUUCUCUCAGUAUUAUAUGCUUUAUCUCCAACAGAAGUGGAGCAUCUUAUAUAUCAUGAGAGAAAUCCGGAGGAGAAAAACUGAACAUUAAUAUGUUGAGCAUGCCACUAUGAACAUUAGAAAUUGAGAAUAGGAUAUAGGACCAAAGUUUGUAUAUACAAGCAUAUAACCACAUGUGCGAGUCUGCUAGAUCUGAUGCACUGUUAAGAAAAUCUCUGCAUAUCAUUCCAUUAGUGUUUGUUAUACUUUGGAAGGAAUAACCUUUCUUGGUAGGAAUAGCUUGUGUCCUUUUCACUUGGUGUUCUCAGUUCGGUAUCUUUCUUGUCUGCACUUGGUGAAGCCCCCUCUCAUAACUGAAGCGAGGCGGUAUUCGAUUUAUCGGAUUUUGAGCUACCUGCCCUUUUCCCUUUUCUUGCUCUGAUAUUCCUCUUCCGAGUCUUCCUCUCGAGUCCUAUAUUCUUCUUCUAGGGUCCUAUAUAUCUAAAUUCAACAAUUCCUGAACCCUUUUUAUCUUUGUGUUCAUCUGUACGGUUUGUGCAAUUAUGUUACCAUCUUGCCCUUUUCCAACCGAAACAUACUGUUACCUUUCGUGCAGAUUAACCUAUUGUUGAUAUGAGCUGUUUAACUCCCUAGGUCAUGCAAUCAUUUAAGGGUUCAUCUUCUCUCUUUUUCGUGGGAUUUUNNNNNNNNNNNNNNNNNNNNNNNNNNNNNNNNNNNNNNNNNNNNNNNNNNNNNNNNNNNNNNNNNNNNNNNNNNNNNNNNNNNNNNNNNNNNNNNNNNNNNNNNNNNNNNNNNNNNNNNNNNNNNNNNNNNNNNNNNNNNNNNNNNNNNNNNNNNNNNNNNNNNNNNNNNNNNNNNNNNNNNNNNNNNNNNNNNNNNNNNNNNNNNNNNNNNNNNNNNNNNNNNNNNNNNNNNNNNNNNNNNNNNNNNNNNNNNNNNNNNNNNNNNNNNNNNNNNNNNNNNNNNNNNNNNNNNNNNNNNNNNNNNNNNNNNNNNNNNNNNNNNNNNNNNNNNNNNNNNNNNNNNNNNNNNNNNNNNNNUGCACUCUAGUUUUACUUUUAAUAUGUUCAUGUAUGUCAGUUCUUAUUAUAGGUUGUGUCAUGUGUGUUAUUUGCUCUCCCUGGGGCCUAUGGGCUGACAAAUUUGCAGUUGGCAUGUGCUUUGUUUUUGGGGUUGGAACAAAAAUGUGUUUACACAAGGUUUUUGGAUUCUUCCCACAAGACCUGCAUCCAAAAUUUACUGGUAUACAGCAGCAUUGCUCAUUCAUUGCCUGCCAAAAUGAACAGUUUUUUCAUGUCAUCCACCCACCGUGUGUGUCGGCGCGCAGCUGAAAAAUCAUCUGAAGGAAGUCCUAUCUUGUGAUUGGGUUUGGAUAUUCAUGCAUUUUAUUCAGCGCCCAUAUGGUUACAAGUGUGUGUGUGUUUUCUUGGUGGUUUGAGGUUCUUUCAGUUUUUUUUAAAUCUUUUUUGUGGGAACUUCCAGUUGUUUACUAGCAAUAUUUUACCCAGUUGCAAUCAGAGGGGUUUGCAUCUUAAAGGGAUUGCAACUGGCAUCCCAAGCCCGUCUGCAUCAGGAAGGGAUAAAGCAGCAAAUCCUGGCACAAAAGAAGAGAAUAAAUAUCUCCCUCUGUUCUCUUUUCUGUAGACAAUAAAGCAACACCGUAACCCCUAGCAGUUCUCUUACGAAGCAAGGCAUAUACAUGUGUUCCUUCUCAUAGCCGCCAAGCUGAAGGAACGGAUAUGCAUUUCGCAAGCAGCCUUUGUUGUCGUCCCCGGAGGGGAAAGAUAUCUCCGGUCUCGGGGGCUUUCGGCUCCACCACGCACCGCAUCGUGGUGAGGUUCCAGUCACGGAGCACACGCCAUGCCUUGCACUCAGACUCAUCUCCCUUCCAUUCGUGUCCGUCGACGCGGACAAGUUGAACAUCGAUCUGUCAACAAAUUAAUUACUGUAAUACCACUCCAGUAAAAUAUUACGGUAUAUUAUAUUAUAUAUGUAUAAAAUUGGUGAAACGGACACAUUGCUUGUCUCGACGCGACGAAAGGGACACUCGUGCCGAGGACCUUGAGAGGGUGGCAUGUGACGCGGAAAGGUAUACAAUGCGACUAUCUGGACACACAGUUGAGUGAGCCCUGCUUCCGAGGCAUCAGAUUCCCGAUCGGACGGUCAGCGAGGCGACGCCGAGCGCCAUAUGACCCGAGGCCCCGAGCAUAGGAUGCCGCUGGCCGCCAACUCGGUCGCUGCGGCCUCUUGAUAUCACGCACAGCAGCGGCCCUCUCUCUGCCUCGCGCUGCAGCUAGCUGGCCUUCAUUGUCGCGCCCCUGCCCGCCCUCCAGGCUCCCACCUCCCUCUCCUCUCUCCCCCUGCCCUCCAGCGAAGUAAAGAGGGAUGGCGCCGACGUACCGGCCUUACGCGGCGGAGUACGGCGUGGUGGAGCGGAAGGUGCCGGGGGCGCGGUGGGUGGCGUCGGCGGCGGCGGCGUCGUCGGUGGCGUGGUUCGUGGGGGACCAGGCGGAGAUGAAGCGGCGGGGGCGGGUGGCCAGCUACAAGGCGUACGCCGUGGAGGGCAAGGUGAAGGCGUCCCUCCGCAGGGGCCUCCGCUGGAUCAAGGCCAAGUGCUCCCACAUCGUCCACCGCUAGCCCGCCCGCCGUCUUCUUCUUCUUCCUUGGUAUUCGUCCUCCUCCUGCUCUGCCUCCCAUGGAUUCGGACCGCGCUCCACCACCACCUUGCGUUGCGUGCUCUUCUUUCUCUGCCUGCCUGCCUCCGAUAUCUGGUCUGGUCUCAUACUCUCAUGGGUUUUGGCUCGCCGGAUCUUGCAGGUGGCUUAUCAGGAUCGACGGUGGCAAGAAGGGAUGCGCGAGGGAGAUGGCCUCAUGGAGCAUUCCUUGCGAGUAGAUUAGUCAGUAGUGUAAGAUCAUCAUAUGCAUGGGUCUUUCUUCUUCUUCUUCUUCUUCUUUUUCUUCUUUUUCUAGCUUUUGUGUUGUCGAGAGAGAAUGUUUGUUUCCGGGCCGGGUUGCAAGCAAAGUUGGCCAUCAUCACACGCGAUUCCUUUCUGCUUCACUUCACUUUGCUUCUGCAAAGCAAGCAUACCUGAUUGUUGUGUCCGUUUGAUGCUGAGUGCUUGCAAAACAAAUUACUCCACAGUUGAAUUAAAUCCAUCGCGCAAUGGCACGAAAGCACGCGCAGGGGAAAUCAAGAAUGAAAAUGGAUCGAAUAGCACACGCUCCAGUCCAGAAUCACGGGACAAACCCUGUGGCACGUGGCGCUGGCCGCCCUGCCACGUCGUCUCCGCUGGUCCCAGCCAACAGGUUGUCCACACGGGCCUGGCUCGUCAGCACAAACCCCACUUUUGCCUGCCAACGCGAGAAAAAAAAAAUGCAUCCUACUUUGACGCGAAAAAAGGGUUCAAUUGGAGAAGUGGGGUAUCAAUCCCCAUACCUCUCGCAUGCUAAGCGAGCGCUCUACCAUCUGAGCUACAUCCCCUUGCUAGUACAUAAUAUUCUCUUCAGCUUAUGUACAGAAUCAAGAGCCUUGUUGAUUUUUAUUUUAUUCCCAAAUAAACGUUGUUGAGUUCCCACCUAUUCCAUGGUCGACGAUAAGGCAAAACGGUACUCCCUUCGUAAACUAAUAUAAGAGCGUUUAGAUCACUAAUUUAGUGAUCUAAAUGCUUUUAUUAUAUUAUUACUUUAUGAAUGGAGUACUUCAUAAUCGUAUGAUUGGUUUUAGAAAUUGUUUGUAUUCCUUAGAAAAACGACCAAGUCUUACAAUUUAUUACCAAGUUAAAGAAUUAAAAUACACACAAAUGGCAAAGCUCCGUCACAUAAAAACUAGAUGUCACAUCAAAGUCCUUCAAAUGACACAUGCCAAGACUAAUCAAGCAGGGUGAUCCUCUGUCACUGAUGUUGUCCAUAUUCGUCAUGAAGUGCCUCGCUGCGCUCAUGUUUGUUGCCGUCGAUGCGUGUAUGUUCAACUUCAUGGGUUAGUGUCAAACACACGCUCUUAGCCCUCAACAAAGCUAUUUCCAGCUUCGCGGAGACAAGAUGGAAGAGCUGGCCAAUAGGCUCGCCUCCCGUGUUAGAACCAGGCCUCACCUCAUCGCUACUCUCAAUCGGCUGAUCAUGUUAUUUCUUGCACUUAAAGUAAACGAUGACGAUUCUAUUUGUUUUUCAAGAGUUCAAUGAAUCCUCCAAGAACAUGGUAUGCAAUCCAAAAUGGAGCGCCCAGUUUGCAACCAAUGUGAACACAAUGGACGGUAGUCAAAGAUUCCACAAGUCUUGUUGUCCCAUUUCUAACAUUCAGUGCACCAGACGAUGGGUUGUGAGACUAGCUACAGUAGGGAGUAACAUGGACUAGUAACAUGCAUACGUUACUUUCACUAGUUAUUCUAGAAAGUUUUUCUCAGGUGUUGUGCAACCAAAUAGAGAAGAACAGUUAACAAGUAUUCUUCCAUCAUGUCAGCAAGUAUUUUUGAGAGAUUUUUCUGAACCUGUGGAUUGUCUCUUGGUGUUGUGCAUUUGUUUUUUUUUCUUACUUCUCUUUGGGCACUUUUCCUUUUGACAUGCCUCUCUGUUCUUUGCUCUUCUCUCUCCCUCUCUCCCAUGGCGUCUACUCUUUCUUCUUCUCUCUCCCCUCUCCCAUGGCGCCUCCCAGAUGAGUUCUAUGUGUUAGGUGAGAUACGUGAAUUGGUUAGAGUAGUAGAGUUCGGGCCCUUGUGUGGGAUGCAAGUUGAAGGAGGAUCCUAGGAAUCGCAAUCGCCAGUUGUUUUCUGAUUUUAAUUUUUUUCUUUGUCAGGUGAUUUGUGAUCCAGGAAAGGGUAAGGAGUGUGGGCGACCGAUCCAAUGGGAUUUUUUUUAUUUUGGUUAGUUAUAUUAGAACCGGAUCAGAUUUUCAGCCCGACCCAUUUUUUUGGGCAUACAAACAUACAAUUGUCGUAUGUUUUUGGACACACAACUGUCAACAUUUGAUUUGUGUGGAAAUUUGAAUGUUUUCCAAUUGUAAAUCAGUCAAAUGCUAAAUAGAUAGUCCGUGCUUUUAAACCAACAAACUUGCAUCACGCGCGGUUGUGCCCAAACACAAAAUACAUCAGCAAACUUCACAUGUGCUUCGCCCUGCCUCUGUCUUCUUCCUCCCAACGAACCACCGUCCGUUGCGCCGGUGCCAUCCCCACCCACGACGACCCCUUCCCGUGGAUCCACGCAUGGCAUCCCCACCCAUGACGACCCCUUCCCGUGGAUCCGCGCAUGGAGCAAUGCUAGCGUCGGGCAAGGCAGAUGCGUUGGUGCGGGAACGAAACCCCGAGCUAGAGAGGCCGCACAGCUGCGUGCCGAGGUAUGAGGCCGAGGAGCGGAUGUGUAGACAGCUUUGGAGGACAAGUGCUAGAGUUGAUGCUUUCGCGAUUAGGAUAAGAAUAUAGGACAAAAAAAAUACCCAUGGUACAUAAGUAGGGAAAUCUCAAAUUCAUUUGUGUAGAUCGGGUACGGGUAUGUGAUUGUGCCUGGGUGAAGCCUUUACCCGUACCCAAACCUAACGGGUGCCAUCCCACUUCCAUGUCAUGGGUAAGAACAGAACAAAUCACUUCAACCCUCCUUUUGUUUGUUGGAUUGUAUGAAUUUUAUAGCAUAGAAUUUUCGAAGGAAACAUUUCUUUCAAGCCAUUUGGUUUGUACGAACGGAUUCUUGUGCCUAUGUAGUAGGAUAGGAACCAAUCCUUCACAUUUCAAAAUGAAAAAAGCAUUAGCCUAAAGUCAAUUAAAAAAAUCCUAUGAUAUGCAUUGAACAACAUUUUUUUAUAGGAAUUAAGAUACAUGUCAUCUCAUUUGUUAAGAUUUUCUUACUCUUUCAUAUCUCUUUCACGUGAUGCACAUAUAUCUGAGUUCAAUGUUAAAACCAUACAUCGAUGUAUCAAUGGCAUAUUAUCAUUUUUUUCCUUCUUAAUCCAAGCACCCAAUACGCAAAGACUAAAGUGUGAUUAUGUUACAUCAACUUCACACUGUUGUUCUUUUAGUUAUAAGGUGCAUCAGAAUGACAUGCAAUCACAGAUGAAGCAUAGAGAUUUGUUGUUCAAAACUUCAAAUGUCUUGCAUGUUUGAUCAAGUUUACAAUGGUUUCAAAGUAUUCAUGCCCAAUAUAGGGCAUCUGCUGGAGCAAAAGCGUUUCAGGUGAUGACAAAUAUUCUUUUUGUGAUGUAAAUCUACCUUUUGUGCGCCCAAGAUCCAUCACCUGUUCUGAUGACUGAAGGCACCCAGGCACUAUUACCAUCACAAACACAGUAGGUACAUAAAUUUGCACGCACAGAAUAUGUAAAACUAGGUUCGGUGAACCGAAAUGUUUAAAGAAACUCUGCAUAAGCAACAUCCAACAGAACAAACACGAUAUGAUAUUUAAGGUAUCUCAUACGCGGCACACAGAUAUUGCACAGAAAACAGUUCUGAACUUCAGAUGCUCCAAAAUCAGGCUAACCCUUCAUGAUACCAGAAAGCUAAAGCUUCAUGUCAGACCUUCACUUCUUGGCCUUGGCCUUCUUUGGUGCCCUGUAAACGAUGCAAAUUGGAGAAGGUAAGAUAAAACAGAACAAAACACAUUAACUAUGUGGAGAAAGAUUUUGGAUGGAG